CAAAAUAUAAUGUUCAAGAUUAUAAAGGUUUUUUUUUUCUCCUCAAUGAUAGAAAAGGGCCUCGAAUUGACGUGCGCUUUAUUCUCAAGCCAUGGCCACAAUUUAGUAGAUGCUUAGUUAUUUAUAUAUUAGACAAAUGGGCACUUCUUCCUCUCUAAUAUAUGAUAUAAUGUCCUGGUCUUCCAGAAGCAGUUGACUACUCUCGUUUAGAAUAAGAUUAAAAUUAGUAGAGAAUCGUACUCAUUAAGAAAUAUAUAAGAGUCUUAAAUAUUAUUGGGCCAUGAGAUCACUAUAUAUAUAUAUAUAUAUAUAUAUAUAUAUAUAUAUAUAUAUAUAUUAUUCUAAGAAUAGAUGAAGAUGGACCUCAAAGAUCUCUCUUUAAAAGGUCGUUUUUAUUAGCCUUGUUAUUGGAUAUUAGGGGCUACAUGAUUUUGUAAUAAAAUAGGUACCACUUAUAUUUUGGGGGAUGGCUGGAAUUACUUGUACUUAAUUUAUUUUUUUUGUAAGAAUAAAUAUUUCCAAGCAGAAGAAAAAUAUAGAUGGAAGCAAAUGAUUUUUUAAGAAUAUUCCAAUUUACAUCCAAAGAUAUUAUUUGGUCUUAAGAGAAACUUGUCUUAAGAAUAUUCCAAUUUAGAUCCAAAGAUUUUUGAGCCAAUAUAUAUAAAAGAAACUUGUCUGUGUCUUUCCACCUAGCGGGAAAGGACUUGAGCAAACAGUUGAAAACAACCUGUGCAGUAAUGGAUUCAUGAUAAUAUCAAAGACUAGAAUGGUAAUGUGAUGUCAGUGAGAAAAUUUCAACCAUAGGCAAGUUCUCCUUUCAUGGAGACAGAGAGACACAAGUGCAAGAAAGGCAAGCCCUACGUAGCCAAUUCCAUGGAACAUGCCAAGCCAUUUCAAUGUCCAAUUAUGUGAAUCUCUGCUUUACAGUUUGCAACAAGAAGAUUUUGUUAGUUAAUGUAUCUGUAGCUAAUCAUUUUGUUUAUAUAAAUACAUUUAAUGUAUUAAUAAAAACUUAUUUAUUUUUUAAAAUUUAUCUAAUAUUUAAUUAAUAAAUAUAAUAUUUGAUUAAUAAAUAUCGAGUAAAUAUAAGGUUUUUGAGGCAAAAGUACAUUGCAAAAAAAAAUUAUAAUGUUAUUAUAAUUAAUUAUGAGGUCCUUAUUACAUCAAAACAUUGUUUCUAAAAUAUUUUUGGUCAAUACUCUAUUACAACUCAAUAUUAAUUAGAGUUGUUGAGACUAGUAAAUACUAUGUUUUUUUUUUUUUAUGAAAAAAAGCAAUUAUUUUUAAAAGCUGAGAUAUGAGGGAUAUCUCGAACUAAUAUGUAAGUUCUUGUUAGAUAAUAUACACACUAAAUUGACCUGCAUGAGAAUCUCUAGUGAAGAGAUUAUUUGUAUUUAUGGAAAGACUUAAAUGAGAGUUGUGUAAGCGAUCCUUAAACUUAAUAUCACUAAAUUAUUUUAUAUAAAGAAUGUUAUGCUUUGAUAUUGCUAUACGUUGUCAUAAUGAAGGGUAAUAAACAAGCAGAUAUUGGGUACAAUAUAAAAUAUAUGAAAGUAUUUGAAUAAUCAAAAGAGAAUUCAUCAUCCUUGAUGAAUUAGGAAAAUAUUUCAUUUGUUCUCAGAUAGUAUUGAUUGUAAAUCUUUAUGUAAAGUGAAAUGAGAUUUGAUAAGAGUUGUUGUAACCCAUUUUUGGGUCCCCAUGAAAAAAUAAAAUAAAUAGCAAAAAGAGUUUAGAAAAAAUAACAGAAGGCAGAAGCGCUCAGGAAACAGUCAGAAAAUUGGUCAAGAAAUUCAAAAAUACAAGGAUUAAAUUUUUGACAGUAUAUUCUUGAAGGAUGAAAGCCCUAUUGAGAAGGAAAAUUUGAAUUUUGAGGAGAAAAGCCCAAAUUUGGAUGUUUAUGGACUUAAUUGGAUUUUUAUGGACUUAAUUGGAUUUUUUAUUUGAAUUUAUAGAAGAUUUGAUUGCAAGAAAAAUUGAUUUUUAAGUCAAUUUGGGCUUUAAUUUGGAGAAAUUUAAGUUCUGGGGCCAAAAUAUAUUUUUUAGGAAUUUAUUGGGUCAAAUCAGGGGCUCAAUUGCAUAAAUAUUGAAGUUUAAGGGCCAAUUAGGGACUUAAUUGUGAAAAUCCGAAACCAGGGACCAAUUUGGAGAAGGCGCAAAGAUAGAGGGGGCUGUUUGGAUUUGUUUCAGGGGCUUAAUUGAAGAAAUUGGAAGUUUAUUGAUCAAUUAGGGGCUCAAUUGCAUAAAUCAGAGGCCAAGGACCAAAGUGAAAAAGGCGGCCAACAAGAGGGGCGGGGACCGAAUUUGGGGACUGAUUUGAAGUUUAGCCAUUUAAAUGAAACGGCGCGUUUUACCCAAAACGACGCCGUUUCAUAAAAAAAAAAAAAAAAAAGAACGGUGUCGUUUUGAACGACACUGUUCAUCUUCCUCCUUCCCCCCGUUUUAACAGAACAGAAAGAAAAAAAUUCGAAAAUCUUCCCGCGCCUCUCUCUCUCCUCGCCCCCACCACCUUUAGCAUUGGCCGACCAGCCGUUGCACCGCACUAACGAUGGUCCCCCACGGUUCGACCCCUAUAAAUAGAGAAGAAAACCGAAGCUGCAGGGGAACGGAGAGAAAAAAAAAAAACCGAAGGGAGGAGAGAGAGAGGAGGCCGAAGAGAGAGAGAGAACCGAACACCGAAGAGAGAAGGAGCCGCAGCGCCGCCCGGGAAGCCACGCCACCGCAGAGCCACCGCAGCACCGCCUCCUCCACGCCAGGUCACCUCUUCUCCCCCCUUUCGUUAGUUUUUUAUUUGUUUUCCCUGCAUGCAGAAUGAACAUUCUGCAUGCAGGGAGGAGGGGGGAAUUAAUUCCCCCCUGUUGAUGCGUAGCUGGGCCAGGUGGAUCCUGGCCCAGCACAUUUUUUUUUUGGGCCAGACUGAGUCUGGCCCGGCCUUGUAUCUGACGGGCCAGACCAGGUCUGGCCCAUACCAGCUCUCUAGGCAAAGUCCGGCCCAGAUAUUUGGGCCGGCCCAGCCCGAAUUAUUUUUAUAUUAUAUAUUAUAUUAUAUGUGUGUAUAUAUGUAUAUAUAUAUAACAUAUAAUAAUAAAAAAAAUAAUAAAUAUUUUGAAAAAUCUUAAAAAAAUAUUGUUGAUUUUGCUGCAUAUUUUUGUCAAAAAUGUUUUAAUUCUGGUUUGUAUUUUUAUACUGUAAAGAUACAAAACCAGUGUUAUAAAUACCCGGUUUUCGUCAAAACAUCAAAGAUUUUCAGAAUAAAAAAUGUUUUUGCUUUCAAAAAAAUUCUAAAAAGUCCCUAAAAAUGUUGUUGAUUUUUCUGCAUAUUUUUAUCAAAAUGGUUUAAUUUUGGUUUGUAUUUUUAUACCGUAAGGAUACAAGCUCAGUAUUAAAAUACCCGAUUUUCGUCAAAGCAUAAAAAAAUAAUAUUUUCCAAAAAUUGUUUUUGUUGUUUUAAAAUACGGCCUAGUCUCUUCAAAUAUAUAUAUAUAAAUAUUAUAACAUCAUAUUUUCACACAACAAAGAAAAUUUUCAAAACAAUAUAUGUAUUAACAUGCAUUUUGGCUUUAAUAACCAGUUUAUUCAAGCCAUGAGAACUAGGCCAAUAUUUCAAAAAUUCUAAAAAAUCUUUUUGUUUUAUUUUAGUAUUUGGGAUUACGAAUUUAUACGUAAACGUAUUCCUAAGUAUUAUUAAUAAAAUUUUGGUAUGGACGUUAGAACGGUUAGGAUUUUUGCCCGAUAAGAUAAAAGACCUUCUACUGAGGAGGAUUUUUCUUGAACCAUAGACAGAUCAACGACUAGGAAAACACAACAACACUUUAGGUUUUAUCGACAAUAAAACAAUGCAGCUUACCUUAGGUAGGGCGUAUUUGGGUGCUAAAUACCUUCCCUUUACGCAACCAGCUCUAAUACCGUAUCUCCGUACCCGAUCUCUGAGACCAGUUAGGUUCCUAGUGACCAAAAUACUAGGUGGCGACUCCAAAGAACCAAAUAAAAAUAAAAAAAAAUUCGCCAGUCGAACCCGCAAUUGAUGAAUUUGAUUUUUUUUUGGGGUGCGACAGAAUGGCGACUCCACUGGGGACCUUGUAGACUAAGCUUUGUUUUUGUCUGAUUUGUUUGUGUUUUUGUGUGUUUAUUGUUAAUGCCUUUCCUUUUAUUUGCGUAUUUUUUUUUUACGCGUAUUAUUCAUGCAUUGUAUAUAAAUUGUCUCAUGCAUCACUUGCCUUAAUUUUGAAAAGCACACACAAGCUUAAGUUAAGUGGGGAAUUAGCGAUUUACCCUAAGACUAUUGGUCAGGGUUUAAAUGCGUGAAACACCCAACUCAUAUCUGAGUGCCUGCUUGGUAAUGGUGGACAUACGUGUCUUAACUGUUCCUUGCAACGCCCCCAUACUGUCUUUACGAAGAACGUCACUGGGCAGAUAUGAGAACCUUCAAGACUAGAUAGAAAAAAUACCCACUCUCACUUAAUAAAUAGAGCUUGUCCUUAGGUUAUGUAUCUUAUUUGCAUCAAGAUUAAUAAGUAUACUCAUCGCACAUCACUUGUGCAUCACAUUUUCAUCACGCAUUUUUGUUAUCAUAUGCAUUACAGAUCGUGAAACAUAGGUCCUACAUCCAGAGUCCACCAAACCCGGUCCAGAUCAAGAAUGGAAAACGAAGAAAGAGCUCACUUAGAGUCGCACUACCAGACCGAGUUGGAAUCUGUGAAAAAUGAAGUUUCUCGACUGACCAAUCUGCUUGAGCAACUUUUAAGAGCCAAGAACGGGGAGGGAACAUCUACCCAACCACCUAUAGGAGCACCGUCAGUUCAUGUCCCGGGGAUAUCUCAGAACUUGGGGGCAGAUUCAGUGACGGGGCAGCACUUUGCACCUACCAUUCCCAUUCAGCCCCCUCAAGCUCACAUCACUGUGGAAGGGCCUUCCGAUAAUAGGUCCACCAGAUUUAUGAACGAUGACAAGAUAUCAGCCUUGGAAGAAAGGUUAAGAGCAGUCGAGGGAAAUGACUGGUUUGACCCCAUGCGAGCGUCUGAAAUAUGCUUGGUACCAAACAUCACGGUACCAAAAAAAUUUAGGAUACCGGAGUUUAUAAAGUACACUGGGUUGGAAUGCCCAAACACUCACCUUCGAUCUUAUUGCAAUAAGAUGGCUGAGGUGAUUCAUGACGAUAAGUUACUGAUCUACUUUUUCCAAGACAGUCUAUCGGGGUCGGCGCUAAGUUGGUACAUGAGGUGGAUAAUGCCAAGAUCAAGAAAUGGAAGGAUUUAGUUGAGGCUUUCCUUAAGCAAUACAAGUUCAAUUUGGAAAUUGCUCCAGAUCGAACGAGCCUUAUGUCAAUGGAAAAGAGAAGCCAAGAAUCAGUAAGGGCUUAUGCGCAAAGAUGGAGGGACGAGGCCAUGCAUGUGCAACCCCCUUUGAUAGAAACGGAGAUGGUGACUUUGUUCGCCAAUACAUUCAAGGCACCCUACUAUGAGCAUUUAAUGGGUAGCUCAUCUCAACAUUUCUAUGAUGUUGUACGCAUAGCGGAAAGAAUAGAGCAAGGGAUUAAAGCUGGACGCAUAAUUGAGCCAUUGGAGACAAAGGGUUUUUUCGGAAGAAAAAUGAAAGGUCCCGUUAACAACUUCGAAGGUGGGUCCAAUGACAAGAUAACAGAUUCAUAUAACCCACAAAUACCUACCUCUCAUGUGGCCCACAUAAACUUUAACAAACCUUUUUCCCCUAAUCGAGCAAAUGGCCAGUCAAACACCCAAAACAACCACCAAAGACCAAACACAAGAUACAUUUCAGAACAACUACCGCCAUUACCCAUGCCUCUGAAGGACAUAUAUGCCAAACUACUAGCAUUGGACAAAUAGCUCCUAUCCCUACAUUACCACUACAGCCACCAUUCCCCAUCUGGUAUAAGCCCGAGUUGACUUGCGAGUACCAUGCUGGUAUUCCCGGGCAUUGUCUUGAAACGUGCUACGGUUUCAAGAACAAGUUGUUGAAGCUCAUCAAGAUAGGAUGGGUGUCAUUUGAAGACACACCCAAUAUCAAUUCAAAUCCAUUGCAUGGUCAUGACAAAAGUGAUAGGGGAUAAAGGUUGGAAAACCUUGGUCAAGAGUCGUCAAUAAUGAAGAAGGCGAGAUCGAAGGAGAAGACAAGGAAAUGCAAGUGGGGAAGGAAGAUGAAGCAUUGCCUCGGUUGACUUUCCACACACUAGAAGAAGUUUCAGAACGGGUUGACCCAAGAACUUCUCGUAGUUUUCAAAAUGUAAAACAACUUUAUUUGCCUUAGCAUGUUUUUGUCAUUUGCUUUUGUCUUUGCUUUUAUUUUCUCUAGUGAGCAUUCAGAGCUCAUAUUGUCAGCCAGAUUUUUGUGUUUGUCUUUGAGCUUACCUUUAAAUAAAUGAUGAGUUUAUGCAUUUUUUUAACAAGUUUGAGUGGUUACAAAUAAAGUAUCAAAAAAUGGUUUAAUAUGAAAUUUAAGAAAAGCUAAAGUACAACCCUAUCUCUGAUAGCAUGGAUAAAUGUUUAAGUGGUCACUUUGUAAUUGUCUUUUAAAGAAUAGAGUUUAUCAACCAUAACAAUGGCAUUUUGAAAUAAAAAAAAAAUCAUUAUCUAUUCACUCACUAAAAAAGUUUAUCACCGGCUGAAUGAAUUGCUUCUCUAUAUAAAAACCCAGACUAAUAUCGCACCCCUAUACUAGGGGGCAAGACGGAUGUUUUAUGAAAAGUUUUACGAUUUGAAAACCAAGCUAAAGCAUUUGACAAAAGCAUGACAAAGAGGCAAAUACAAGUCAUACAUUUUGAGAAAAGGACUACUUGAAGAAAGUCAAAGACUUUUCUCCAAGAAUAUGAUAGGCAACACGAGAGAUGAAUCCAGCAUACGACUUCAAAAGCAAGUUCAUGUUAAGAGGGAGUCCCAUGAACUAGAAGAAGAGGAUGGGGCCUAUGUUUCAAAACCAGGUACGAAUGCAUGCAUUGCAUCUAAUCAUAAAUCAUUGCAUAUAUGUUUUUUUUGGAUCGUUACAGGAGGAGAUCUUAGCGCAUUCCAACAAGAUUAUGGACGAAGAAAAUCAUUGAGUUGAUUCUAGAACAACAAGAAGAGAAGAUAAUGGUUUUCAAACCCUGCCAGCAGGAAGAACGACAUCGAUAGCAUUCGGUAAAAAGGAAUCGCCAGAUGUGAUUCCAAGUUGUUGAGAUCGCCAGAAGGGAUCUCGUAUUUCGAUGGAGGUCGCCAGAAGGGACCUCAUAUUUCAGUUUUGAAUAAAAGGAAUCACAGAUGGGAUUCCAAGUUGUUUGAGAUCGCCAGAAGGGGUCUCGUUUUAUAUUCACCAAUGAAGGUCGCCAGAAGGGACCUCAAAUUUCAGCUUUGGUAUAAAAGGAAUCGCCAGAUGGGAUUCCAAGUUGUUUGGCUAAAGGAGAUCGCCAGAAGGGAUCUCAUAUUUCGAUAAGGGUCGCCAGAAGGGACCUAAUAUUUCAGCUUUGAAUAAAAGGAAUCGCCAGAUGGGAUUCCAAGUUAUUUGAGAUCGCCAGAAGGGAUCUCGUACUUCGACAUUCAUCAAGGAAGGUCGCCAGAAGGGACCUUAUAUUGAAACCAUUUCUUAGAAAAGCAUGGAGUUUACUAAGAAUUAUUCCCCUUGGGUUAGUCACCCAUACAAUGAGACCAUCAUUUUUCUUGGGUAGGUCACCCGUACAAUGAGACCAUUAUUUUUCUGGGUAGGUCACCCAUACAAUGAGACCAUUCUCCAUCAUUUUUCCUGGGUAGGUCACCCAUACAAUGAGACCAUCAUUUUUCUGGGUAGGUCACCCAUACAAUGAGACCAUCAUUUUUCUGGGUAGGUCACCCAUACAAUGAGACCAUCAUUUUUCUGGGUAGGUCACCCAUACAAUGAGACCAUUCAUUUUUUCCUGGGUAGGUCACCCAUACAAUGAGACCAUUCAUUUUUUCUGGGUAGGUCACCCAUACAAUGAGACCAUCAUUUUUCUGGGUAGGUCACCCAUACAAUGAGACCAUUAUUUUUCUGGGUAGGUCACCCAUACAAUGAGACCAUUCCUCUUUUUUUCUUGGGUAGGUCACCCAUCACAAUGAGACCAUAUUUUUUCGGGGCAGGUCACCCAUCAAAAUGAGACCACACACACAUUUUUUUUGUAUUGGGUAAAGGAAUCACCAGAUGGGAUUCCAGGUUAAAGGAGAUCACCAGAUGGGAUCUCGGAUGGAUUUCCAUAUGGAUCAAACUAAAGUAAGAAUUCAGAGGAUUGCUGGAUAAGGAUCUCGAGAUGGCUAAGUUUUGAUCAUAGUUUUUGGGCUAAGGAGGAUUGUUGUAAAGGACAAAGUUUCAGAUAAAUCAAAUCUUAUUCAAAAAAUAAUGAUUAUGGUGUUAACAACAAACAUAAUUUAACAUGGUAGGCACUUUAUGUUAUAAUGUUUAAAUCAAAAUAUUAUUGAUGAAUGAAUAAUAAUUACAAUGAGAAAUUAGUCAUUGAAAGGUUGAGUCAAAUCAUUUAUAACUUUUCUAAUAUUUAAAAGAUCAUAACAGGUUGUUAGAUAUUAUAUUUGAUUUUAAAAUAUAAAGCAAUCAAUUAUUGAAUUUAUAAUAAAUUAAUUUAUAUAAUUUAUAUAAUCCUAUUUUAUUUAGAAUUAUGAUAUAUAUUUGGGUCAACUUAUUAGGGAAUCUAAUGGAUCAUACACAUAAGAACCAUUUAUCAAAAACUAAAAUGAGAUGAUUAAUCAAAUGUGACUUGAUUGUAAAUAAAUCUUAGAAAUUAAGGACUAAAAUGUAAUUAAUAUAGGGGAUUACAAUUAUAGACCUAGAAACAAUCAAGUAAGGACUUGAUUGAAUAAAUUUCUAAAAUUAUCCUAAAAUAAUAUAUUUUAUAUUAUUUAAGCGACAAAUUAAUAUUUUUAUUUAUUUAUAGAGUUUUUAUGUUUUUCUAUAAAUAAAAAAGUUAUGUCUUUUAUUUUAAGUGAAUAGAGUGCAAUAAAUAAACUUUUAAAACAUAAAAGAAAAGAACAAGCAGUAAAAAUUAUAAUAAUCAUUAUCUUCUAAAAGGAUUUAAAAGAUUUAUCACUGCUUUUAAAAAAAUUUAAAUUUAUUAAUUUUUCUAUGUAUAUGUGUUUCGAGAAACCCAACAUAUUUUACUCUUUCUUUAACAUGAGAACGAGAGUCAAUUCUUGACCCGGUUGGAAUAAUGAUUAACAAGUUAAUAAAUCUGAUGUGAUCAUUACCAAUUUAACUUGAACAAGUUGACAUUGGAAGAGAUGAUUUUGAAUAAAGUUAGAACUAGAUAGUGGCCCGCGCGUUGCUAUGAGCUGAUUUGCUAACAAUAUAAAUUAUUAUAGUAAUGACAAUUGAAAGUUAGAUUUGUGAACACCAUGCCAGACCCAAACAAACUGGAUAUGGCAUGUGAUUUUACAACAACAACAAUAUUUUUUUCAAAUUUAUUAAUAAUUAUAUCAAUAAUAUGAAUAAUAAUAAAAAUACUAAUAUUUAAAAAAUUAAUAAUAAUAUUAAACAUGUUUGAUCCAUGUUUCUGUGGGCUUGACAAAUAUGUUGUACCCUAUUUUUUCCAAUAAUAAUAAUAUUUUUUAAGAAAAAUUUAAUAAGAAGAAGAAGAACACAACAAGAAUAAAAAAAAUUUAUUUUACUCUUUAAAUCAAUUUUAUGAUUUUUUCAAUAAUAAUAAUAAUAAUGUUUUUCAAAUUUAUUAAUAAUUAUUAAUGAUAAUAUUAGACAUGUCUGAUCCAAGUUUAAAUGGGUCUAGCAACAAUGCCAGACCUAUGCUGGUUGGGUCUAUCAAGCAUGCCAGACCCAUAUUACUUUUCAAUUUAGUCCUUUUACUUUUGUUUUUUUUCCCUUGGCUCUUUUUUGAAAGCUCUUAUAGUUUUUAAUUUUACCCUUCAAAACAAAUUUAUAGUAUUUCUUUAAUAGUAAUAAUAUUUUUUUUUUCAAAUUUAAUUCUUCUUAUUAUUAUUAUUAUUAUUUUAAAUUUACCCUUCAAAUCAAAUUUAUGAUUUUUCUUUAAUAAUAAUAAUAUCUUUUAAGGCUGGUUGCUAAAGGGUAUUCACAAAAGCAUGGCAUAGACUACACAGACGUUUUUGCACCAGUGACAAGGUUGGAUACGGUAAGGAUGAUUAUUGCUUUAGCAGCACAGAAAAGCUGGAAAAUCUUUCGGUUGGAUGUCAAAUCAGCCUUUCUUCAUGGUGAGCUAAGCGAAGAUGUUUAUGUUGAACAACCAAAGGGGUAUGAGAAAAGGGGCAGUGAACAUCUAGUUUACAAGUUGCAUAAAGCUUUGUACGGAUUAAAACAAGCUCCUCGAGCCUUGUUUAGCCAGAUUGAAGCACACUUCAUCAAUGAAGGUUUCCAAAGAUAUGACAGUGAGCAGACGUUAUUCACUAAGAAAAGCAGGGAAGGAAAGAUCAUCAUUGUAAGUAUUUAUGUUGACGAUUUAAUAUUUAUUGGUGAUGAUGAAAAUAUGUUGUCUGAGUUCAAAAGUUCCAUGAUAAGAGAGUUUGACAUGUCAAACUUGGGGAAGAUGCGGUUUUUUCUAGGGAUUGAAGUGUUGCAGGGGUCAGAUGGUAUCUAUAUAAGUCAAAAGAAAUAUGCAUUCGAGGUUUUGAAGAGGUUUGGUAUGAUGGAGAGCAAUUCAGUUAAUAACCCAAUAGUUCCUGGAUACAAAGCUAACAAAGAUGUAGAUGGCAUUAAAGUGGAUGAAACGUAUUAUAAACAGUUGGUGAGCAGCUUAAUGUAUCUCACAGCCACAAGACCGGAUAUGAUGUUUGUCUCUUGCCUUAUAAGUAUAUACAUGUCUAAACCUACACAACUUCAUUUACAAGUAGCAAAGAGGGCACUUAGAUAUUUAAGAGGGAAUGUAAACUUUGGAAUUCAUUACAAGAAAGGAGGCAGUGGUGAAUUACUUGCAUUUACGGAUAGUGACUAUGCCGGAGACAUGUAGGAUAGGAAGAGUACAAGCAGGUAUGUAUUUUUGCUGAGCUCUGGUGCAGUUUCGUGGAGUUCAAAGAAGCAGCCAAUAGUGACUUUGUCAAUCACAUAGGCAAAAUUUGUGGCAGCUGCAAUGUGCGUAUGUCAAGCUAUCUGGAUAAAAAGGAUUUUGAAGGAAUUGGGGCAUUCUAGCGAAGGGUGCACACAAGUCAGAUGUGACAACAACUCAACUAUCAAGCUAUCUAAAAAUCUGGUGAUGCAUAGGCGUAGCAAGCAUAUUGAUGUGAGAUACUAUUUUUUGAGAAAUCUUGUACAAUUGCAUUGGUUCAUUAUGGAAGUCAGGAUCAGGUGGCAGAUUUGAUGACCAAACCUCUUAAGCUUGAUGCUUUUCUAAAGUUAAGAGAGCUGCUGGGUGUCCGAGAAGUUUCUAAUGUAAACCGACUAAAAUUUUCAAUAAGUUUAAGGGAAGGAAUGAAGGGUUUUCUGGUAAUAUUAGAAUUAUUGAUUAGAUUUUAAUAAGUCCCUGGUCUUUAGGAAGUUGUUUACAGCUUUAACAUGUUGUUUAGGAAUUUUCUGUUUUUGACUCUUUCUUGUUGCACUUACCACGUUGUUGUAGACAUGGGCUGUUUUCUAGCUAUUUCAGUUAUCAUGCAAGGCUAUAUAAUAGCAACUGUUAUUCAAUAAAGUAAAUCAUUCAAUCCAGUCUUGUGUUUGAGUUCUUUGUUUAAUUUCUUGUUCUCAUUCUCAACAAAAAGGAGGUGAGAUUUUUAGAUGAUGCGAUUAUGUCGAGGCUGCAAAGGAGCCAAAUAACACUAAGAGACAUUUGGAGUACACAACAUUUUAUUAAAAAAGAAGUGUGUUGUUUGUUUUGUGAUGGUUUGUAGCUGGAGUGGAGUGGCAACAAAUGAUCAACGCACAAAUCAAAAACCCAUGUCAAAAAGUCUGAACCUAUACUAUACAUGUAAAUGACUGGGCAGUGAAUGAGCUGACAAACUUAGGAUGAAACUGGAGCAGAAGUUCAUCAUGAACAACUAGAUAAAAGCAGUAGCAAGAUGCAAACAUUCAUUCUGAGAGAAACAAUGCCUUUAAGAAUUUGGGACAAAAAGCAAUGUGACAGAGGUAGGCAAGAACAAUGGGAAAGGAAUCAAAUUAAUAAGAGCCGGCCAGACACAAAAUCAAGAUUAGAAAUUAGCAGUCUGUAAGAGGGUAGAACAACGCAAACUCAAUCCAAUAUCAUAGUUUAUGAGAAAACAGCAAGGUGCCAAUAGCAAAACAGUACGUAGUCUGGUAGUUUUUCUGUAGGUUUCUAAUUUCUAAUCAGAACUUAAUCACUUUAUAGUUCAUCCAACAGAAAAUGGCAAACAACAUAUAUUAAACACAUAAGCUGCUCGCAAUCUAAUCUAGCAUUGUAGGAAAAAGUAUAUCGGAAAAAAGAGCGUAUUUUUGUUAUGAUAAGUGGACUAAAAGUAUAUUUGUGUAAAAGUAGAGAGUUGCUCAAAACCUUUGAAGAGUUGUGGUCUCCUCGAAAAGUAGCCUCCUCCUUCUUUGUAAGGGGAAAAAAGUGUCAAGACAUGACUGGAUUGUUAAAGGAUGUGUCUGCAGCGAACCAAUGGUAACAACACAAGGUGGGGCGAUCUUCGCAACAAUUGUAGGUUUCAAUCAAGGACUUGUUCCAGAGCUUGAAGGAGCUGCUGGAUCGAUGGCUGAAACUGCUUCGCCUUGCAAUUCUUAUUGGCCAGGCAGAGCAUCGACAUCUUCAGCUAAGUUUUCAUCAAAAACCUUGGUGAUGAUGUUGUUGCAACAGUUGACUAUGGAUCGAAAAGUCCCAAACCGAAGCAUCAUAGCUGGAAAAUUUUGAUCUUGUUGAAUUGUCCAAGCAUCAUAGCUGGAACGGUGCCUUGGUCUGUGAAUUAUUUAUCUUACAUGUAGUGGUGGGUUGCAGAAGAAAUGUUUAGUAGUCUUUUCAACCAUGACGAUGGUGGCCUCAUCAUUGUCAUUGAUGAUUAUGCAUGUUGAAAGAAGGAUCGAUAAUUGUGUUAUAAGAUUAAAACAGAUUAAGUAUUUUUAAAAAAAACUCUUUUGGGUUUUUUUUUUUUUUUUUUUUGCUGCUGAAUAAUGUUGAAUUACAAGCUAUUUUAUAGAUAUAAAAUUAUAAACAAUCAAUGAAUUAAAUUAAUACAAAAAAUCUUAAUAUAAAUAAAAAUUGUAUUUUGUCAACUAAACUGGUUGACCAUUUUUCAAUUAGUCGACUACUUUAUUUAAUCCAACCAAUGGACUAGUUCCUUUGCUUUUUAGAAAAAUCAGAAAUCAAAUUUAAUUUUUAACAUCCCUUUUUAAACUUAAUUUCUUCAUAACUUCAAUAAUCUCUAAUUUUUUUAUAAAAACAUCAUUUUUUUUAGUUUUGUGAAGAUGUCGGCGACUUAGUAUUGUAUCUUCACAUCCUUGACUUUAAUUUUUUUAUUUGUAAUGCAAUUUCUUAGGUAAUGAAUCUUGUUUUAAUUUACUUACUUCAGUCAUGAAAAAAUAGAUUUUUAGCUAAGAUAAUGGUUGAGAGUUGUCCACAUAAAUUUCAUAGGUUUCUCUUGUGGCAUUUUAUAAUUCUUUUAGUAAUCUUCUUAGCCAUAUGGAAUAACAAACACAUGAUGUAGUGGCUUAUAUUCAACUUCACAUGUUGAUAUAAAGACUAUUGAUUGCUUUUUCAAAACUCUAUGUGAAUGAUUUCUUUCAUGUAGAACAAAAACCCGUGAUACUCUUUCUAUCCUCCAUAUUUCCAGCCCAAUCACUAUCAUUAUAACCCACAAGAUCAAAGCUAUUAGAAUAUCCCAAAAAAUAAGCCAAAAUCAACAUUAGUUUUGAUAUACCAAAGAAUUCGCUUCAAAGUUUUAAAGUGUCAUAGUUGAUGCCUCCAUAAACAUACUCACUUGUCUUACUCUAAAAAGAUAUCCAGAUUAGUGCAUGUCAAAUAUCUCAAACUCCUAACUAAGCUUUUGAAUGUUGUAGAGUUUAAAUUACUCCUUCAUCAUUCGUUACAUCUUUACUCCCACUUAACCAGAUAUUUACUUUUACAUAAUUUUUCAUCUUGAACUUCUUGAGAACUCCCUUACAAACUUCUCUUAAUUCACAAAGAUUUCAUAAUUCUCCUUAUUUUGAUCUCAAUCCUUGAGUAGUAUGUCAUAAAACCAAUGUUUGUCAUCUCAAACUCCUUGAUCAUUGCUUGCUUGAAGUCUUUAAACAUCUUUGGAUUAUUGUUUGUAAAAAUCAAGUUAUCCCAUACUAAUACAUACAAUAAGUAUCAUUACACUCUUUUAUCUUUACAUAUAUAGCAUAUUUGUCACACCCAGACAUUGCAGCAAUUAAUUAAAAAUUUCUUGAAAAAAAAAAUAUCUAGCAUCUUGUUCUUUUAGGGAAAAUGUCUAGUUUAAGGAGUCGCAACCUAAUAUUAUGAUCAUUAGAAACCCUAACUGGUCAACAAAGAUCUAUGGUACGAGACUAAUUAGGCGAAAAGAAGAUACUAUCACUCCUUGAACGUCCUACCUGAAACAAGCUGCAUUGAUGGUUUUGUCUUAAAUUGAUAAGAGUUUGUCUUUGUUCUAUUUUUAAGAUCAUCCUAUAAUAUUCCUGAUUCUGGCAUCAAUAAAUAUUCACUUAUGAAUAUUAUCAAUUUUUACGUUGGUAAAUAUUAUGUAAUCUAUAACUGUAAUAUUUCUAAUUCUGGUUUUAAUAAAUAAAUCUAUAAAAUUGAAUUUAAUGAAGAAAAUAUUUGUUUUUUUUUUUGGAUGGUUAGAGACCCAAACAAUAACCUGGUUUGGCCGAGGCACGCUCACAUGUGCACACCUAGCCACAUGUGAAUUAUAAUUGCUGAACAUAAGAGUGAAUUUAAAAUUACAUGUAACAAUACCUAUGCACUUAUAAUUGUAAAGGAGAGGGAAAUGAAGAUCUUCCCUGAGACGAAGCCGAUGGUAACAGAGACGAAGACGUGAGGCUGUGGUUCGUCAACACUCCUUUCUUCACUUCAGCUUCUCUCUGUCCGUUGUAUCUCAGCCUCCUGUGCCCCUGGUUUGCGUUUGUGUCCUCUGUUAGCGUUUCCAGGUCUUCCCCGGUUUCCUCUAUUCUGUGAUGUUAUGUUUAUGUUCACUGGUUCUGCCUGUCUGUAUAUGCUCUCUGUGUGCUCCUGUGGCUUCCUUCCCCCUGUAUUGGGUCUGUUUAUUCUCCCUUGUUCGUCCUGUUUUUCUGUCAAAAGCCCCUCAUCUGUGUGCCUUCUGGUUUUCUAUCCCGUGUUGUUCCGUCUCCUGUCUCUGUCGCGUCCAUCCUGUCUCUACUUAGAAGAGAAGGUUUGUGCUAUGGCGGGUGCAUGCUCUCGAUGCACAGUGCUGAUUGCUGGAGCUGGAGGAGGCGCGCAGCGCUGGAAGGAGGAGCUGAAGCUGGUACUUCUGUCAAGUGGUGUUUGUUGCAGUGGCAAAGAAAGGGUGGCUGGUACAAGGCUCGUCAUGGUGAGGGGAGAAGUUGGUUGCCUCUACUGUGUUUGCUGGGGGAGUAAGUUGAUUUGCAUCCCCUCUCAGAGGUCCCGCAAUCUUCCUUCGUCAAAGAUUGAGGUUGAUGACGUCUAAGAUUUGGUUGGCCAUGGGGAAGAAAUCUUGUUUUCUUUCCAGGUAGUGGCUGAGAAGAAAAAGGGGUGGUUCUUGUAAUGGUGCUGCUGGGAUGUGUUAGCCAGCAACGUCCACUAACCUGGUCUUCAGGGAGAUUGGUUGCUGAUGUAUUUAGAAGUUUUGGUUUUGAAUUUGAGUUAGUUUUAUCUUGUGUUUCAGUUUGUUAGUUCUCCUUCUAUUAAGGAAUUUAUCAUGGGUUUUUGUUAUUUAAAGAGUUGUAUAAAUAACUCAAUUGGGUUAAUAAUAAGACGUAGAAUUUGAAAUCUUUGUAAGGGUUAAAACAAGCUUAUCAAGCAUGAUAUACUUGACAAAGUGAUUAUCUUUUAUUUAUUGGAUUUCGUGCUUUCAAGAUUGAUACCUUUUUAUUCAUCUUGUAUAUGGGUAUUGAUAUAUUUUAUCUCUUUAUUUACAUUGAUGAUAUUUUGCUUACUCCAAUUCAAUCUUACUUCACCAUUUAAGCCGGUUGCUUAGCUUAUAAUUCAAGCUCUAAGAUUUAUAAGUUGCCUCUUAUUUUUUUAGGGAUUGAGGUUCAUCCUAUUAGUAUAAUUGUCAUGCUCCAACAAGUUAAGUAUAUUCUUGACAUACUUCACAAAGUAGGUAUCUCUUUUUACAAACUAGUCGAUACUUUUAUUUUUGCCUCCAAACUUGUUAUAGUGUCCAAUUGCAUGUUUUCUAAUCUUACAUGAUUGUCAAAUUACUGGUGCUCUUUAAUAUAUCACAUUUAGGAGACUAGAUAUUUUUUGUUUUGUUAUGAACAAAGUAUGUUAGUUUAUGCAUGUUUCUACAGAUGCGUAUUGACUUGCCGUUAAACACAUCAUGCGUUAUUUGAAAGGUAUAAUUUCUUUUAGGUUACUUAUCACCUACAAUUCUUCAUUUACUUUAGAUGGUUUAUAGAUUUUGUCUAGGUUGGUAAUGUUGAUGAUUAUAAGUCAACAGAUGGUUAUCUUGUCUAUUUUAGUUAUACACCAAUUUCUUGAAAAUAAAGGAAACAACAUACAAUUGCUCAAUCUUCGAUUGAGGCUUAGUAUAAGGUUUUAGGUAACAGGGCUUUUGAGGUCCUAUGGCUUUAAUACUUAUUGAUAGAUCUGCAAAUUACUCAUACUUCUUUGCCUAUAUUUUGGUGUGAUAAUUUAAUUGCCACUUAUUUGUCCGCCAAUUAUAUUUUUCAUGCUCGUACUAAACAUGUAAAGAUUGACUAUCAUUUUGUACACGAUAAGGUUAUUAUAUUUUGUACACGAUAAGAUUGUCAAGAAAGAUAUUCAGAUUCACUUUAUUUCCUCUAAGGAUCAACUUGUAGAUGUUCUUACCAAGCCACUUUUCAUCACUCCUUUUAAUUAUUUUCGAUUCAAUUUUCGAGUUGAACAUUCACCCUCUGCUUAAGGGGGUGUGUUAUAGGAAGUGCUAUUUUAUAGGGUAUAAUUAAGUAAUUCUAUUUAUCACUAAUUAUUGUACAAUACUCUUAUUUAUAUAUUUAUAUAUUUAUAUAUAUAUAUAUAUAUAUAUAUAAAAGAUUGACUAACUAAUUAGUUAAGCCAAUAUCCUUCUUAACUCUCAUAGUCAAACAGUUGAAUAAUAGAUAGCAAACAACGUACAAUUGCUCAAUCUUCAAUUGAGGCUAAGUAUAAAGUUUUAGGUAAUGGGGCUUUUAAGGUCUUAUGACUUUAAUACUUAGUGAUAGAUCUACAAAUUACUCAUAUUUCUUUGUCUAUGUUUUGGUUUGAUAAUUUAAUGGCCACUUAUUUGUCCACCAAUUAUAUUUUUCAUGCUCAUACUAAACAUAUAGAGGCUGACUAUUAUUUUGUACACGAUAAGGUUAUCAUUUUAUACAUGAUAAUGUUGUCAAGAAAGAUAUUCAGAUUCACUUCAUUUCCUUUAAAGAUCAACUUGUAAAUGUUCUUACCAAGCCACUUUUCAUCGCUCCUUUUAAUCAUUUUCGAUUCAAGUUUCGGGUUGAACCCUUACCCUCAGCUUAAAAGAGUGUAUUAUAGGAAGUGCUAUUUUAUAGGGUAUAUAUAUUAGUGUAAUUCUAUUUAUCAUGUGUAUAGUUUAAUUGUGUAUUGUAAACUCUACACUAACUAUUAUUCAAUACUCCCCUAUAUAUAUAUAUAUAUAUAUAGAUUACUAACUAAUUAGUUUAGCCACUAUCCUUCUCAACUCUCAUAGUCAAACAGUUGAAUAAUAGAUACUUGUUUCUGCAGUAACCCGAAUAUGAGUGUUGUUCCUUCUGAGCUAAGAUUGAUGAAAUAAUGGAGAACCUUAUCAUGUGAUCACAUGUUAUCAUUGAGUAAAUACAAGUCACACUUGGAAAUCUCAAGUUCUAUGGAAAUUUAACCAAAUCAUUGUCAAUUGCAAUACGAAUUAAUCUUCACCAUUUGAAUUUUAUUUAUUUUUCAGCUUACUUUCCUCAGAAAGAACGUAUUGUAGUGGUGAUGAUAAACCUACUGCACAUGGUCGAACGCAGCGCGCAGGCGUCAAAAUUAAGCUUUUCAUGUCUUUACCGGACUGGGAAAAGAGAAGAAAAAGGCAUGAAGUAGCAGAAGCUGAGAAAACCAAUCUAGAGACACUGAAACUGAACUAAAGAAGAAGAAAUAUUAGCCCAGUUAAAGUACUCCAAACAUUUUGUGAUUUACACAUAAGCUUUAUUGGUAUUGUGUGCUUAAUAUACGUACUGAGGGAAUUAUGCAAGAAAUCUAUAGUCUAUACAAACAUAUACACGCCUAGUUGCCCUUUUGUGCCUUCUGAUGCACAAAGAUGAAUCACUUAAUAUUUCUUCAUGCAGUCACUAAAUAUUACUGUGAUUGGAGAUGAUAUCUACUAUUCACUUUUGCGAAAGAGUAACGGUAAGCACGAAGUAACCUCCUCUGAAAUCUUCCAAGAUUGAGCCUCACAUUUUGGUUAUCAAGAUAGGUCGACUUUGUGUAUUGCCAUCCCUUGUCAGACACGCUUCUGGGAUCUCGAAGAACAGGAUCAUUCUUAUCGUAUUUGUCAUACAAUGAACUCUCUCUUGGAAGAAUUUGGUAGCCAAUAUACUUUAAACCAAGCUUCCUUGCAGGCUUACCAUAAUAAGCAUCGGCUGCCCAUUCUGUUCCUAGAGGAAUAACUUGGAUAAAAACAGAGCCAGGCUUCAUAAACAGAAAAUGAGUCAUGGCAGCACCAUGGACACCAAUCAUAACUUCACUUGAAUUAAGUGCGCGAUAUAUCCUGGCCAGUUCUGUCGUUGGCUCAGGCCUCAUCACUUCAACUCGAAAUCCGAUUUCUUCAGCCAUCUUCACCAAUAAAUUCUCAUUAGUUAUAGCUCUAGACCCAUUUCGAGAUAAAAUUACCAGUUUAGGUUUCUUCAAGGUGGCUUCAUGCACUUGCUUUUGUUUUUUUUUUGAUGAUUGAGCUUUCAGUUCAAGUUUCUUCUGAGCUCCUCGUUCUUCUUCUUUAAUCAUACUUUUAAUCCGAGGCCAGUACGCUCGGUCUAGAAAAUUGCGAAAAUCAACAACGCUUUUAUUCUCCUGCAUCAGUGAAGGAUCCACUGUGAGCUCAUCAUGGAUUCUAAGACCAGCAAUAGCUUCAGGAAAGCAAUGGGUUUUCUUGUCUCCGCUAAAAUCAAUGGCAGGAUAAUCCGAAAGAAGUGAAAGAAUGUUUCCAUACUUCAUGAUCCACCAAUUAUGAUAAUCGAGAAUAACAAACACAACCUUCUUCUUGAAAUGCUGUGAUGUAAUGUACAAAGGCAAAAUCCCAUCAUUGAAUUCAUGAUAAACAUUACCGGUGUAGCCUCCAGUCGAAAAGAACACUGCCGGUACAUCAUGCAUGACAUCGCAAUGAUGGUUAAUUCUAAAAUUCUCUGUCUUUGCAAUAAGGCCUAAUUCAUCAAUUGAGUCCAUCACACUCGUUUCCCAUUUUCGGGUGUAUGGUUUGAUCUUUUCAUGAUGGAGUUCCUCGUCUUUAUCAACUAAACUCGAAACCUUGUUCAUCACAGAAUUGGUAUUUCUUGAGGUGAAGAGGAAGAUCGAAGAAGAGGCAGAAUGUGUUCUUACAUCCCCUUUCAUAACACAGACAUCAGAACGCAUACUGCUUCGGUCACAACAUAUGGUUCCUGAAUUUACCCCAAAAAAAUGUGUAAAAAAUUUGAGGAAAUUAACAUUAAAACAUCAAUUCAUAUUACUAUACGAGCCUCACAUUUGAGCAAACUUCACAAAAUAAAAAACAAAGUAAGAAAGAGACUUUAACCCAGUAACUUUGUGUCUACUUUUUUUUUUUACAGAAACUAGAUCAUUCACUUCACUCACCUUGAUUGAGUGACCACUUAAAACUCCAAAAGAAGAAAAAAGAAAAAAUCAGUUCCAUCAUUAAUUCUCCCUAACUUUCUUGGUUACGUAAGUACGUAGCCCAAGGAAAUUCUAAAUUAAUAUCAGAAAGCAACAAACUUCAAGGCUGUUAAUACCUAAUACUGUUUGAUUCAAUCAAACUUUUAAAAAAAGAAAUAGAAGAAGAAAGGCAAAAAGAAUAGAACACCGCAAAAAAGAAAAGAAAAAAGAGAGUACUAACCAUUAGAAAUCGAUGAGCACAAAUAAGCUUUUGCAUUUACAUUAGUAGCAAACCCAUCACUUUCUACAUCAAAAGAAUCUGCAAAAACCAGACAAACAUCAGCAAAUGCAAAGAAGAGGAAAAGGAAAAAAAAAGAAGCAGAUAAAAAAUAGCCAAAACCCAUGAGAGAGAGGAGCUUACACGAAAGAGAGGAAGAGCAAAACAAGGGACGAGAUAAAAUAAGACAGCAAGAGAGAAGGGAAAGAAUGACAAGAGAGAAAAGCUUGGGCCUUGUCCUAUUGAAAUAAACCGAGCUUGCUGCACACAUCAAAGAUGACAACAGCACCUCCUCUUCUUCAACAUGUUGACGAUCACCUUUUUUUAACUGAUGAUAUCUAUAGGAGUGCACCAUUGCCACCUAUAUAUUCUCAAAUGUAAGGCUUCUAUCUUUUGGGGUUUUAUAAAAAACCCAACGACGACUAAAACAAGAGAAAGAAAGAAUUUUUUUGAGUGAACAAAGUUUCUCAGCAAACCCCAGUCCUCUAUUUAGUUAUUUAGUUUUUUUCCAGAGGUUCUUCCUUUUCUGGGUUGUAAAAGUGCUGAACUAAAACCCAGUUUUGAACGGAGAAAAGAGAGCUGUUCAAUUAUUUGUAGAGAGAGAGAGAGAAAACACAAGUUGCAAGGUUUCUACGUUGUCGUAAUGGUUAUGCUGUGAAGGUGUUUCUGGGGGUGUUUACGUUGCUAAAUUUGAAAGACAGAGAGAGAGGCUUUUGUCUAGUUAUGCUAAGGAUGUUUCUAGGGACGUGUUAUUUGCGUUUCUAUGAGAGAGAGAGAGAGGAGCCAAUGAGGAACGAAGGCGUCUAAAAAGGAGGCUAUAAUAUUCAACUUUCGAAAAAAUUGAAGAGCUGCAUAAGGUAUAUAUUUCGUUUUCGGCAGUCAAAUUCCGUGUGGAGAGCAAAUCAAAGAGCCGUCCUUACUCUUUUCAGUAGUGAUUCAUCUACAAAAUGUCAUCAUACAACAUUUAUGGUGUGAUUGUGAACCCCAAAUUUGAUGUAGUUUUGUCAUUCAAGUGUGUGGUUGGUUUAUCCUUCUAAAUAUAUAUGUCAUUGUUAAUGCACCGAGUUUUUUUAAUUAAAAUAUAUAUUAAAUUAUUUUUACUUUUUUUUAUUUUUAUUAUAAUGCAUAAAAACUAUUGAUAAACAUGUAAAAAUUAUUAAUUUAAUAUUUUAGCAAGUAACAAUUAAUUUGAAAGGCAAGUUGAAGCAAAAACAAAACAUCAAAGACACAAAAUAUGUAUUUUAUAUAAGAGAUUAUUAGUUUAGAAAUGUAAAUAUUAAAAUCACAACAGCUAUUAACCCAAAAGAAACAUAUAUUCAAUACAUGUGGAACAAAAAAUGAAUUUAAUUGAUCCCUUCAACAACAAAUCAACCACUACUAGAAAAUUAACAAAUACAAACAGAAAUAUCGACGGAAUUUUUUCGUAUAUAGAUUGCGGUGAAUUUUUCUAUAUGAAUAUGCCCUCACAGUAUUUAUUAGUAAAAACCAAUGAAAAUAUUCUCUUGAUUAUAUUGAAGGAAUUACAGUAAGAAAAGAAUGAAUGAAAAAGAGCUAAAAAAUACGAUAACGUGUCAUUUUUAUAGACAAAAUUACCGACAGAUUUAUUUCAAUAUAUCAAAAAAAUUCAUCUGUAAUAUUUAAUUUAUGAUCUGAUGAGCAACCCUCCUCUCAACAUUCCUCAUUUAUUCUUCUUCCUCUAUUUUUCUGCACACCCCCGAUUAGUAAUGAAGAUUAGAUCACAUAUAUAUAGAUGGUACAUGUGCUUCCUUUUAUUCACCUCAUGGUCCCGACAAAGACUUGCCUCCUCAUCCUCCUUCAGUGCCUCUAUUCUAAGUUAAUUGUAUUUAAACUUAUAAAUGUUUACAUUUAUAAUAAAUAUUUGAUUUUUAUAUUAAUUUAAUUUAAUUAUUUUUUAUUUUUGUUUAAUAGAUUUAAAAAAAUUAAAUUAUUACCGACAUGGUUACUAGCAGAUUAAGUCUAUCGGUAUAUUUUAUAAAGUUGAAAAAUAAUUACUGCAAAUAUCACUGUCGUUGUUUACUCACCGACAGAAUUAUAAACGAUAUGUUUGAUGGUUAUAUGUCAAAUUCACUAAGGAGAAUAUUGGCAGACAAAAAAUAUUAUUGAUGGAAUUAUAUACAGUUUUUUUGUUGGUGAUAUAUUAUAUUCAUCGAUAAAAAUAUUAAUAGAAUGAAACAGAUAACUUUUUUUUACAUGCUUUUGUCGUUAGUAAAUCUUUUAGUAAAAUUGUUACCGAUGAACUUAAUUAUAAACCACAAAUCACUUACCAAAGUUUUUCUGGUGGAGUAUUGCCAUCCCAUCUCUAAGCCUAUCGAAAAAAUUUGUGCUGAUGAUUUAUGAAAAUAAAUACUGAUAGAAAAUUCUAUAAGUAAAUCUAAAAAAUUUUGAUAGUCAAUGAUAUAACUUAGCAUUUUUAUUAACUGUUUUUUGUUAAUUAAUCAUAAAAAAAAAAAUGGACAGUUAGGUUGGCACUGAUAUGUUGUUUUUGAUGUUACACUUCAAUUUAUAUUAAUAUCUUACGUGAGAUUGUUCCAUUAAUUAUAGAUCAUCAGAUUUCUGGGGAAAAAAAAAGGUUGUUGUCAAGAAGUAUGUUGUCAGCCAACCCUUUUCCCUUGUUUCUCUGGUUGGCUUUGCCUAUCUCUAUUAAGUGGAAUUGGAUUCCAAUAUUUAGAUGGUAUUUAAUUUGGAAUACUACGAGCGGUUGUUUUUAUUUUCAUUUUGAAUACAUAAAAGAUAAUAUAUUUUAGAUAUUUAAAAUAUAUAUAUAUAUAUAAAUUUUUUAUUAAAAAAUCAAUUUUAAUAUCAAUGAUCAAAAUAUAAAAAAAAAACACAUAAAAAACUUUCAAACAAAAAUGAAGUUCAAAAUUUUUGAAAACUUCAAUUGAAUCAUUUUCUCAAACACUUUUUUCCUUAUUUGUUUUUGCGGUAGAAAUGUUAUUUUUUUAAAAAAAUAAAUUUCUUUUUUUUAAAUUAAAUUUUUAUUUUUAUUUUGAUGUUCUUGAUUUUUUUAGAGGUAGUUGGAAAACUGAUCCCUGUAAUCUUAACAAUUUCUUAAGAUGGUCCUUUCAUCCAAUUCACUACUUACUAGUCCUAGAAAGCAUGUCAGAAAAAGUGGACAGGUGUCUAGUACAUGUCAGAUCAAGAAUUAAUAGUAAAUUGAAUGAAAAAUGAACAUUAUAAAACGAAAAUCAUUAGCAAAGUAAAUUAAUUAAACGAAGAUCAAUCAAAACAUAACCCAAAGUAGACAGCCAAAGAGAACUUCGCUGUUGGCAGCUCAUCCAUGAAAAUAAUAUGCACUACCUUUGCAUAAUCCUUAAAAACUAAUAUAACUAAUCAAGCCCCGUCAAGAAAAUUUCAACGGACAAGAUUAUAUUUCUUAGGCCUUAAUCCACCCCUAGAACAUGAUCUCAUUUCAUUUAUUAACAACUUUCAUUUUUAUUCAUGUUUAGUUUAUUUUUUAAAGUUUUUGCGUUUAGUUAAAAAUGAGAUACAAAUCUAUAAUUGAUAAAUCAACACCACCAUAAAAUUCGCCUAAAACCGACGGAAUUACUGAUGAAAUAAUUAUGUCGAUAAAUUGCGGUGAUAAUUACCGACGGCUACUAUUCCGUCUGUAAUUCAGUCGGUAUAUACCGACGGAAUACUGCGGUCAGUAUAUACCAAUGGAAUUACAAACAGCGUAUUCAGAAAAAAAAAAUUUAUAUAAAAAAAAAAGGUUUGCUGACGUGGAAGUUUUGGCGAGCAAUUUUAUCGAUGGAACACCGAGAGAUUCAAACCGAGAUCUCUGUACAAUGACGUGACCAAUUCACCGUUAGAAUUGCAUCACUAGAUAAGUAAUAGAAACUAAAUGUAUAAUGGAGCCAAUAUUUCAUUACAGGAAAAAAAAAAUUUGUGUUGAAGAUCAAAAACUUAGAGACUAAAUAAAAUGAUUUAUAGCAAUCCACAGUGUUUUGUGAGGAAAGAUACAAUGUUUUUGUCACAUGAUUUAGCUUUUCUGUUAAUAAAAAGCAAAAAAAAUAAUUUUGAAACUAAAUUGGAUAGCCUAGAAAAAAAAAACACAAAAGAAACUGGAAAAAAAUCAUGUGAGGAAAAACUGUAUCAACUCAUAGUGUUUUGUAAGGAAAGUUACAGUGUUUUCCUCACAUGAUUUAACCUUACUUAUAUUUACUUGUAAUUGUAAUUCUUAACCAGCUUAAUAUUAAAAAAAUAAAAUUAACAAAGACAAUUUAAAAAAAACAUAAAAAAAAAAAAAACAAAGUGGGAAAAAACACUAUAACAAUCCACAGUAAUUUGCGAGGGAAGCUACAGUGCUUCCAUCACAUAUUGUAACUGUAAUUUUUAAUCAGUUCAAUAUUAAAAAAUAAAACAAAAAAAGAUAAUUUUUGAGAAAAUCAUAAAAAAAAAUUAAAAAAAAACCAUGUGGAGAAAUAUUGUAGCAAUCAACAAUGUUUUAAAGAAAACAAAUUACAAAACUAAAUUCUCAAUCAGCUUAAUAUUAAAACAAUAAAAUCGACAAAUAUAACUUUGAAAAAUAAAAAAAUAAAAUAGAAAACCAUAUGGAAAAACACCGUAGCAAUUCAUAGUAUUUUAAAGGAAAAAAUUACAAAGAAAAUUUUUUAAUCAGUUCAAUAUUAAAAAAGUAAAAUUGACAAAGAUAGUUUUGAAAAAAAAAUAGAAAAAAAGGAAAAAGAAAAAAGAAAAAGUGAAAAAAAUAUAAAGUAAAAAAAAAUAAACAAAAAAAAGGUGAAAAAAAUGAAAAAGUUAAAAAUAAAAAAUAAAAAAUGAAUGCACUGUGGAUUACUGUUGUGUUCUACAAUGCAUUGGGUGUGGAUGAACAGUAAAUUCCCCGCGUCCUUUAGCUUAUUACUUAAUUUGCAGAAAAAACUAAGAUGUAUCUAGCAUAAUAAUGUUGUCUGCUUGUUUUUUGGAGUGUGGUUGAAGUUGUUUUUCAAAGUGUUUUUCACUCAUAAAUGCAUCAAAAUAAUAUUUUUUAUUUUUUAAAAAAUUAUUUUUUUAUAUCAACAUAUCAAAACGAUCUAAAAACACUAAAAUAUAUUAAUUUUAAACAAAAAAACAAAUUCAAACGGAUUAGACCGCGUUCCCAAACGGUCAUGUAAAACUACUUUCAAAUAAGAAUUUGUGUAAUGAAUUUUUAAGCUCUUGAAUAUUCUGUAAAAUAAAAACAUUUUAAUGAAAUAUAUUAUUAUUAUUAUUAUAACCACAGCUAUAUUAAACGGAUCCUAAUUCAAAAGAUGGAGCUUUUAAAUUUUUAAGUUUUAACAUUUGAAUAUGUACACAAGCACUUCAAGUUAUAAACAUUGAACAUCAUGCCGUCCAACCAAUUCUUUAAUUAAUCUCAUACUCUUGGUCCAAGUUUUUUAAAAAAUAUUAAUUUAAUUUUACUGUACGAAACCUAGCUCAAAAAUAUCAUUUAAAUUCUAAGAAAAGAAUUUACAAUAACUUUAAGACAGCGGCUAAUUUUUAAUAACUUUUGGGUCACUGGACUAUUUCGCAAUCUUUCUGCGGGGUUUCGAAGGUAUGAAGCUUGGAAAUGCGUCAAGAAUGUGACCAGAAUGGUCCAAAACCUGCGUCCAGAAUGGCGAUUCCCUUGCAUAAUUUAAAAAAGUAUUGACUUUUACCCAUUAAUCCGAGCUCAAGUAUGUCGUGCCUGGGUUUCGAAACAGAACGGACAAGUCAACAGCUUCAAUUGCCUAUUUGUUGACCAUCAAGUAGGCUAUGGCUAUACUUAUUGUUAGACCUAUUAAUGUAUUAUUCAAUUAUGCUUUACUAUGUAAACUUAAUCUUGCCAUUUCAUAUUACUCAUUAAAUCAUUUCACCCAUCCCCACAUGUUGAUCACUGGUGCACAUGGGCGUGCGGUGUUGGGGUAAAGAAAAUCAUCACGUAGUUGUUUGGUUUAAAGUCAUUAAGAAACUCAGAUAUAUUAAUUUUAUAAUAGAUUUCAAGAAUAAGGAGCUAAUUGUGGCUAGAGAAGGUAUUGACAUUCAUAAUACACCCUACCUAAAAUAAUAUACAUUGUGUGGUCUAAAUGUAGUUUAAAGAUUUUGAUGGAUUUAUAACCGGUAGUCAAUUUAUGGCUUAGGGUGAAGAUUAAUUCGCGUGAAUAAAUCUGACUUUUCAAAUUUAUUAUGGACUUGUGUACUCAAAUGAAUUCCUAUGAAAAUAAUUCAUGUAGAUAUCCUGAUAGGAUUCAUCUAUCCUAGAAAAUAAAAUAGCUUUUCACAACUCGUGUGUUUUGGUGAAAAAUACUUUGAAUUAAAAUUGAUGAAUAUUUAAAAUAAUUCUAAGAAUUUUUUGAUUAAUUUCAUAUAUUUAGAUACCAGCGGUUAUGGUUUUACUUAUUAUUAAACCUAUUAAUGUAUUAUUAAGUUAUGCUUUACCAUGUAAACUUGAUCCUGCCAUUUCAUAUUGCUCAUCAUAUCAUUUCAUCCAUCCACACAUUUUGAUCACCAAAUCCUUUUCUUUUUUCUUUUUCUGCAUUUAUACAUUCCAUUCAUUUGCUGCACUUAUAUAUUCCAUUCAAAAAACAUUUAAUGCAUUUAUUAUUAAUAAAAAAAAUUAUCUUGGAACACACAAGUCACAACUAACCUUCAAUUGGCUGGCUUUCGAACUAUCAUAAAUUUCUAUGCUUAUUCCCUUUUUUUUCACUUGCACUCCACCAUUUUCUCCCACAAUACACUUCUUUUAUAGCUAAUAAAAUUCUUUUGAGUGUUAUUCAAAAGAAACUUCCAAAGAGGCUGUAAGGAUUAGUUUGAUAUUCAUUGGAACUCCAUAUAUAGCCUUAGUUUGAUAUUCGUUGGAAAUCCAUUAGCACAUGUUGAAUGCUCAACACUCAACCACUACAUCAAUUUCUAUUGCUGUUUAUAAAUGGUUGAAAAAACACUUUUGAUAGCCUUGUUCAAAUAUUUUUUUUUUUUAGAUUGUUUUAAAUGAUAACAUCAACACCAACUUGAUGAGAAAAGUAAAUCAAUAAUUUUGAAAUGAAUGCGUUAAAAAUAAAUUUUUUAUUAUUUUGUUUUUUGAAAAGACAUUGAAUAUAUCAAAAAUAACGUAAAUAUGUCAAAAAUAUAUUUUCUUGGAUUUUUUAAUUCAUAGUUUACUCUUUUUUUUGGAUUUUUCAAAAAAAAAUCAAGUAAUGACAGAACUUAAAAUUACUCACAUCAUAAUUUAUAUUUCUAGAAUUUUAUUUUUUUUUAAAAAAGCACAGGGUUUUAAUUUUUAUGACUGAUUUAUUUCCAUUUAAUCCUUCAAUAUUUUAUCAUUUCAUGCAAAUGCCAGAUUUUUUUUUUCUUCUUUUAUUUUUUUUUCUCUUCAUUUGACAUCUUUUUUAAGGAUGCAACUACACUUCAUGUACAUAAUACAUGAUUUUUUUUUUCUUGGAUUUUUUUUUUAUACGAACUGCGGUGAAGCACGUGUGAUAUAGCUAGUCCAAAUACAUUAAGUGAGGAAGACAUUUCAACCCUUUUUUUUUUUUUUCAAUUCAAGUCAAAAAUAGUUAAACUAGCUUACAUCCACGCCACACCUCAAAUGAAAUAUAAAGCACAAAUUAAGAACGUAUAGCCUGUUUUAGCUAAAACCUUCACCAAAAAGGAAAAGGAACGUAACAAGACCCAAAGGCUACAACCCACAUGUCAAUGAAUAGACGUUUCCCCUGUUUAUAUAUAUAUAUAUUGAAAAUAUAAUUAUGAUUAUUUUUAAAAAUAUUUUUUACUUAUAAAUAUAUUAAAAUAAAUUUUUUUUUCUAAAAUUUAUUUUUAAUUUCAACACAUCAAAACUAUCCAAAAUAAUAAUAAAAUAAUUUGAAGUAAAAAAAAUUAAAAUUUUUUAAAAACACUUUUUGAAUAAAAAACUAACAUAUUUUUUGAGAAUGUUCUAAAAUGAAAAUAUAAAAUUAAAUUCAAUGGCUCUUGGAUAACGUACUCUUCUUUCUUCCAUGCAUUAAUUUAUAAUGAGGAGGCUGUAUUAAUUUAUUGUUGUUAUUUUCUCGUAAGAGUUUGGAAGCUGCAUGGUGAGAUGGCUGGCGCCAGCUGUGUCAAUUUUUUCGUGGAAGACAAACCGGUGGUCAAGUACGUAACACUCUCCAUAAUGUCAACCAUCUAAAACAUGAAUUUUCUUUGGGAAAAUAAUUUUGAAGACACCGAACUAAGUUCUUACAGAACACAUCUCUCAAAGUUGAUGUGAUUUAUUAAAUUAGUGGUUAUAUCAUCAUCGUCAUCAUCUAAUAUGGUUCUUGUCUUGGUUUAAUUAUGCCACGCCCUUAAUAAAAACAAAAAAUUGUUUCUUGAUCCUAACCGAUCUAUUUUUAUUUACAAGUAUGGUUGUGAUUAUUUUUUAAAAUAACUUUUUGUUUAUAUAUAUAGUUAAUCGUCACAUUCUAAUUCUUUUAUCUUAAUUGGGUUUUAAGAGAUCAGAAAAUUCUUAGCUGAGCCCUCUUGUACAGAGUAAACGUUUAUCCUGGCAAAUUAAUGAUCAUGAUAUAUAUAUCAGCUAGCUAGCUAAUUUGGAUGGCAUCACUCAUUUAUAGAGGGAUAUGUUCCGUAAGAAUUCAUCUUGAUAAUUAGGAAAUAUACUUCGUUGUUUGGUUUUUUAAACUUUGAGUUUUUAUGGGUCCAUGCAUCCAAUGAUUCGAAGGGUGCAUCGUUGCAAUCAUUCGGGAAAAAAAUAAUCUUGGUUCAAACCCACUUGCUAUUGAAAUUAAAAAAAAAAGGGAGGGGGGGGGGUGGCAAAAUCCUAAUCUGCAUAAUUCAUACUGUGAUUGGUUAAUUAACUUGUUUGAUUUUUUGGCCUACGAGUCAACGAAUUGAAUAGAUGUACGUUUGUUUUCGUUAUUUUGUUUAUUUUAAAAAUAAAAAUAAAUAUCUUCAGAGCCCAUUGAGAUCAUUUUCUUGUUUAUUCCAUGUGUAUGGUAUUUGUUAUCGUUUUUUCGAGUAAUAGUUUAAUUUGAAGGUACAACAUGAUGCCGUUUUAUCUGUCAAAUAAAACUUGUUAUAAUGUUUUUUAACGACCUGGUCAACCACCUAAAACAUCAGUUCUCUUUCGGGGAAAGUGAUUUUCUAUGUAGUUUUAUAUUUGAAUCUUCACCGAACAUAUCUUUAUGUCAUUUAAAUUAGCUGUUAUAUAUAUGUAUAAUUAAUGCAUUGAUUAGGAAAAAAUUAAAUAUACAUAAGAAAAAUCAGAACAUCAAUCAACUAAAUCAUACUUUUUUCCUUUGCUUUUAUUUUAUUUUUCAUGCGAAUAAUAUUUGAUGAAAUGAAGAUAAACAAUAUUUGGACAAGCUCGUAGUAAACAAACAUGGAUAUCAGCAUGUUUGAAAGUGUAGUUGUGAUUGUUUUUCAAAGUAUUUUUUACUUAGAAAUGCAUCAAAAUAAUAUGUUUUUUUUUUAUUUUUUAAAAAAUUAUUUUUUAUAUCAACGCAUCAAAAUGAUCUAAAAAUAUUAAAAAAUAUAUUAAAUUAAAAGUAAAGAAACAAUAAAAAAAAUUAAUUUUUUUUUAAAAUAUUUUUAAAAUAUAAAAACAAAUAAUAUAAAUUCACUGGAUAAAAGCAAGUAAAAUAGAAAUAUCUUGGGAUCCAAUAAAAAGAGUAAGCUACAAAAGGCAAGCAUAUUAGGCGCUAAUCAAGGCUUUGAGACCUAUAUUGGAGGCCACGUAUCGCAGUUUGCAAGCGGUGAUUUGCAUGGUUACUCUACACUUUCUGGAUUAUCCCUACACUUUUUCUUGGGAUGUUUCCAAACUUUAUUACAAGAAUCAAGGUAUAGUGUUUAUUAAUUUAAUAUUUUAACUCUUAUUUUUCAUUCAAUUCUUUUGAAUAAUAGAUCGUAUUGAACUUUCAUUCUUCAAUAUCGCCAUAAAUACGUUAAUCAAUGUAAAAGUUUAUGUCAAACUAUGCUUAAGAGGGUGUGAAGUCAAAUUUUAAAAGCCCAAGCACGCCUUGAAUAAGAUUAGGGAGAUGGGUUUAAUUUUAAAAUACGAAUUGAUAAUACUUUUAACCAUAAAAAAAAUACAUGUGUUAAUUUGUCAUUUUGCAAUUUCCUUUGGCAUAAGCAUAAUUCCAAUACACUAAACUAUUAUUUAAUCUCUGUGAUUUUAGCAAACUAAUCAACUAUUAAUUAAAAAAAAACUAAUAUUCUAUCCUUGUAUUUUAUAUGUAUUUGUAACUUAAUCCUUUUAGUUUUUUUAUGGCAAUUCAAUUGCUGUUUUUCCUAUGUUUUUCUUCAGAUCAAGAUUUUCAAUUUCAACCACUAUAAACAAAAUGAGAAAUAUAUUAAAGAAAAUUAGACAUUUAAAAAGAAUUAACAAUCAAACUCUAACCAAGGGACUUACUAACUAUAGUUUUUAAAAAACACAUGGACUAACCUACAAAAUCAUUAAAAAAAAACACAAGAACUAAGGCCAUGUAUGUUUUUGUGUUCCAAAAACAAGAACUAACUACAAAAUCAUUAAACAAAAAAAACACAAGGACUAAGGGUGUGUUUGGUAUUGCGGUAGCUUUUGUGGUUGUGGUUUGAAAAAAGUUGUUUUAUAAAAAGUACUUUUAGUUGAGGUUGGUUUGAAAAAAUAGGUGUUUGGUUAAAACUGUGGUUGAAGUUGAGGUUGAAGAAAAGUAGUUUAAUGUGUUUGGUUAAAAAAAUGCUUUUCAAAUUGAGGUUAUAAAAUAAUAUAUAUAUAUAUAUAUAUAUAUAUAUUAAUACUAAUGAUUUUUAAUUUAAAUAUUGUAAAUUUAAUUAAUUAUAUUACAUCAUGAAAUAAAAAAUAUUUUAUAUAAAAUAUUUUUUAUUAUUCCAUUAAACUAUUUAUAAUUCCAUUAUGUACAAAAUUUAUCUGAUAAGAAUUACAGUUUUCAUAAUUUUUUUAGCGUAGAUAAAAUAUUAUCAGGUAUAAAAUUGAUAUUACAGUGCGAGUGAAUUUAAUUCACUCUAUAUUAGUUUUUCGGGAAAAAAAUAUUGUUCACAUUACAGUACGAGUGAAUUUAAUUCACUUUAAACUAGUGUUUUUUUUAAAAAAAAAAAUGUUAAAAAAUUUAAUACCCUGAAAAAAAAAAAGGUGAACAGUGCAUUAGUGUGCACUGUUUAACUAGUGUGUUUUUUUUUUUGAAAAAAAAUAAAAAUGUUAAAAAAUUUAAUACACUAAAUAAAUAAAUGAACUGUACAUUAGUGUCCACUGUUUUACUAGUUUUUUUAAAAAAAAUAAAAAUGUUAAAAAAUUUAAUACACUAAAAAAAACGUGAACAGUGCAUUAGUGUGCACUGUUUAACUAGUGUUUUUUUUUUUAUAUAAAAAAUAAAAAUAUUAAAACAUUUAAUACACGUAAAAAAAAGUGAAUAAUGCAUUAGUGCGCACUGUUCAUGCUAAUUGCACUGUUCAGUGAACAGUGCAAUUAGCAUGCACAGUGCGUGAAAAGCAUGAUUUCAUUGCUUUUCCUUACCUGCGGUCCGAACGUAAAAAAACAUGUGGGACCCAUGAACAGUAAUUCGCUUUUUUUCAUUGCCAAACGGCUGCCAACUGCGUUUUAAGUAAAACGCAGCCGCAACCGCUUACCCAAACACCAUCUAAGGCUCUGUAUGUUUUUGCGUUAAAAAAGCGUUUUUGAAAAAAUUUGAAUUUUAUUUUAUUUCUUUCUUUAUUUCAAAUUAAUAAUAUUUUUUUGGUGUUUCUAGAUCAUUUUAAUGCGCUGAUAUCAAAAAUUAUUUUUAAAAAAUAAAAAAAUAUAUUAUUUUAAUACAUUUCUGAAUCAAAAGCACUUUGAAAAAUAACUAUAAUCACACUCCCAAACAGACUCUUAUCAUAAUUUACCCCCCACAGCUCUAUUCAUGUUAAGCUUAUUUUUUUUCUUUUAAGAGAGAAAAAAAAACCUUUUAAGCUUUUUUCAUUCUCCUCUAGCACUUUGUUCAUGUUAAGCCCUUUUCAUUUACGAAAGAAAAAAAAAAAAAGAAGAAAAACCCCCCUUGAUGAUCAAUUCAAACACUCUUUUCUUCAACUUCAAAAUAAAAUACAAGAACUAAAUUACAAUUUAAUUCCAAAAAAGAUAUCCCUACACCUCAAAGCUUUGGAGUGCUUGGUAGUAGAUUUCUCAUAUGUUUAGUAAAUUGGUUAAAAUUAUUUUUUUAAAAAAGAUUCUUUAUAUUAAAAACAUUAAAUUGAUAUUAUUUUAGAUGAAUUUUAAUUAUUUUUAUAUUUUUAUAUCAAAAUCAUCUUAAAACACCUUGAUAAUUAUCAAUUUGAUAUUUUUAAAAAACCACAAAAAUCCUUGGCUUGUCUCAUGGAAUUGCCAUGACUUGCUACUUGCUUUGCUCUUGUCCUGUCAACCGUUCACAAUGCCUCUCUACAAUUCCAACCACAACCUAAAAAUCCUUGGAAGUUCAAGUAGUAGUUAUUGUCAGAAUUGAUUGAAAUGGGAAUCAUCCUUCAUGAGUACUUGUCACAUAGCCUCAAGUUGGCAAAAGAUAUGACCCAUCUUGAUUUUGAAAGGCAUUAUAUUUAUCUGUGUAGUAAUUUUUCUUUUUUAUUUAUGAAUGUAUUAAUAAUAUAUUACUUUGUAUAUUCUUUAAUAAUUUUACUUAUUUUAAAAUUAAUUAGAAUGUGGUUACUAAGGUUACCCUUUUCGUUAAAACUAUAUAUAUUACAUGUAGCUAGAAAUCAUCAACUGAGCUUUUGGAUUUUUCUUGGUUUUUACAAUAAUUUUAAGGCAGCAUACACGAGAAUUCCUUGAGAAAAUAGUUUAUAAAGGAAAAAGAACAAGAAUCUAGUCAUUUUUUUGGACUGGACAGAUAUGAUAAAUUAAGUAGAUACUUUAGGCACCGUAUAAAAUUAUCCAUUCCAAAUUUUCCUUACAUGGACCGCCUUGAGAUGACAAUUUCGUGAGAGCGAAGGAGAGAAAAAUGUUUAUGGCAUUUUGUGACAUGAAUUUGUAUGUGCGUAGUAAGGACUUCUGAUCCUUUGACAAAUAAGAUUCUCUAUCUAUGUCAAUCACUAGGGACCAAGCCAGGUCAAGUUAAUUUGAUUUUUCUAUAUACAGAAAAAAAUUUUAAAAAAAUUAUUUUGUUUUUUUUUUUUUACCGGGGUAUCUUUAUAUCAUUUUAAAGGGUAAAACUAGUUUCAUUCAGGGUUCGUGACUGCUCCUCUCAAUAAAUACGUUUUUUAAAAAUUGAAUUUAUGUUCUCACCCUUAUAGAAAUAUAGCAAUGCUUUAACCGUUAGACCAACACUUAGUUUAACUCUUUAUAAAACUUUCCUGGUGAUUAUUACCAAAAAAAAAAAAAAAAAAGAUUUUGAGUUUUUAUCAAAGGUUUUUUUAUAAAGAUAGUAUCACUAUCAUUAGCAGAUAAAAGUAGCUAUUUCGAUCCUUGAUCAGAUUUUUUGAAUACCCUGUUAUCAUCACCGAAUAAAAAAAAUAAUAGAAUUAAUAUCACCUUGAUAAUUCAAAUUUGAUAUUUUUCAAAAACCACAAAAAUCCUCGGCUUGUCUCAUGGAAUUGCCAUGACUUGCUACUUGCUUUGCUCUUAUCCUGUCAACCGUUCACAAUGCCUCUCUACAAUUCCAACCACAACCUAAAAUCCUUGGAAGUCCAAGUAUUAGUUAUUGUCAGAAUUGGUCGAAUGAGAAUCAUCCUUCAUGACUUGUCCCAUAGCCUCAAGUUGGAUAUGAUCGAUCUUGAUUUUGAAAGGCAUUAUAUUUAUCUGUGUAGUAAUUUUUCUUUUUUAUUUAUGGAUGUAUUAAUAAUAUAUUACUUUGUAUAUUCUUUAAUAAUUUUACUUAUUUUAAAAUUAAUUAGAAUGUGGUUACUAAGGUUACCCUUUUCGUUAAAACUAUAUAUAUAUAUUACAUGUAGCUAGAAAUCAUCAACUGAGCUUUUGGAUUUUUCUUGGUUUUUACAAUAAUUUUAAGGCAGCAUACACGAGAAUUCCUUGAGAAAAUAGUUUAUAAAGGAAAAAGAACAAGAAUCUAGUCAUUUUUUGGACUGGACAGAUAUGAUAAAUUAAGAAGAUACUUUAGGCACCGUAUAAAAUUAUCCAUUCCAAAUUUUCUUUACAUGGACCGCCUUGAGAUGACAAUUUCGUGAGAGCGAAGGAGAGAAAAAUGUAUAUGGCAUUUUGUGACAUGAAUUUGUAUGUGCGUAGUAAGGACUUCUGAUCCUUUGACAAAUAAGAUUCUCUAUCUAUGUCAAUCACUAGGGACCAAGCCAGGUCAAAUUCCUUUGAUUUUUCUUUAUAUGUACAGAAUUUUUUUUUUAAGAAUUUUUUUUUUUUUUUUAACCCAGGUAUCCUUACAUCAUUUUAAAGGAUAAGAUUAAUUUCGUUCGAGGUUAAUGACUGCUAUUCCCAAUAAACAUGUUUCUUAGUAAUCGAAUUUAUGUUCUCACUCUUAUAGAGAUAUAGCAAUGCCUUAAUUACUAGACUAAUACUUAGUUUAAAUCUUUAUAAAGCUUCUUGGGUGAUUGUUACCAAAAAUAAAAAUAAAAAGCUUUUUAAUAUUUUUGUCAAAUAUUUUUUUUAAAAGAUAGUAUCACUAUCAUUAGCAGAUAAAAGUAGCUAUUUCGAUCCUUGAUCAGAUUUUUUGAAUACCCUAUUAUCAUCACCGAAUAAAAAAAACAAUAGAAUUAAUCAUUUUGUAAUUGUUUGGUUUUAUUGUGCUUAUAAAUUAAACAAUUUCUUAUCUAUUUUUUAAGAGUACAAGUAUUUGAUAAAUAUCUUAUCAUUAGAAAAAAAAAAAUAGCAGGUGAAAACUGAUUCUAAAAAAAAGAACGUAUUUUCCUACUUCUCUUACAAUUAGCUAAAAAUAACCCCUUGAUAUAUAACCAUGCAUUGCCGAACACUGCCUCCAAUGUUUUUGCUUAAACGGGAAGAACUGGACACUUUAGUUUCGUGCUUCUUUUGGUGGGCCUGGUAGAGAAUGAGAGCCAUGCCUUGAUCUCAUGCACCCAAACAAUUUCUCAGCAACAUGUAUCCAUAUAUAUGAGCUUCUAUUCAUGGUGGUCGUCACUUAUUUCAAGAACCCUAAUCGAAUGAAGAGAGUUUUUUGGAUUCACAGCCUUACAUUUGGCAGCAUAAUUGUAGUUUGGUGUUCUGGAUGGAACAUAUAUAUGGAUAUGCAGAUAAUAAAAUAUUACAUGAUUGUACACUUUGAAUCAAAUUAUAGAUAAAAAUAUUAAAUAUUAAAGCUAUACUUUGAAUCAAAUUUCAUACAUGUUCAUGUCUGAUAUUGGAGAUCAUUGAUUAGUAAGAUCAUAUAUGAUGAAAGAAAGAAUAUCAGAAGAACUUCGUUGAACCAGAACUGUUUUCGCGGAUAAUUUUGGGCUGGAAAAUGAUUGUUUCCUGCGAAAUAACAGAGGAAUAGGCAACAGCAGCUUCAGAUGGAAGCUCGUUAUAUCCACCCUAAUCGAACUAAGCCCAACCUUGUAAAAGAUGUAAACACCCAGGCUUGAGUGCCAUUGGGCCUUGAUAAUAUUCUUCAUUACUGUUGUGGGUUCCUGGCUUAUAGAUUAAAAAUCAAACAUUGGCUUUUUUUUUUUUUUUUUGAGUGAAGACUGCUGUGAGGCUAUAAUAAUUAACUAGUCUGUUAGCCCCACUCUGCCGCUAUUAGAUUAAUUUCUUUUAAAUUAUAAAAAAAAAAAAUAUAAAAAGCACGAUGAGCUUUUUUUAUUGUGUCAUUAAACUGAUUAAUUUUAAAAAUUUUCAUUAUAACUCUUUGUUUAAUUUAAAUUUCUAAUUAAAUAAUGUGAAAUCUGACAUGAUUUAAAUUGAUCAAUUUUAUAGAUCUAAAAAUAAUUUGGAUAAUCAAUAAAAACAUAGUUUAAUUUUUAAAAAAAACUUUAAAACGAUAAUUUAAAAAAAAUAAUAUUAAGACAACGAUAUAUUGGAUCAACCUCAGUUCCUUUGACUAGAUCAUGAAUUUUAUAAUUUUUUUAAUUAUAUUAUAAAAAUAAAUACUCAUAAAAUUACUAAUUCUUAUUCUAUCUAUGUGCUAAUAUUGUUUUUAAAAUAGUGCUUAUAAGAAAAAACACCCUUCAAAAACUUUUAAAUAUUAAGUUGGAUUUUGUAAAGUAUAAUAUAAUUUUAUUAUUUAAAAUAAUUAAACUUUGGGGGGGAUCAAGUUUGACACUAAAGCAAAAAUGCAAUCUUUUUUUCUUUUCUUUACUGUUUAAGAGUCAGACUUUUUAGAAUUUUGGUCCUUAUAAUUUUUUAAAAUUUUAAUUUUAAUCUAAAUUUUAUUUUGAUUACUUUUCAAUAUCACAAUUUUGGUCCAAGAUAAUAUUUCCUAGAAUCCUAGACGACAGUAAGGCCCCGUUUGUUUGCUGGAAAGUAGUUUUGUCUGGGAAAAUGAAUUCCGAUAAAGUAUUUUCCGAUGUUUGGUAGUGUAAUGGAAAAUAAAUUGGAAAACACUUUUCAAUAUUUGGUUAUGUCAUGGAAAAUGAGCUGGAAAAUAACUUAUUAAUAUUUUAUUUUUCUCAAGUGUAUUAAAAUAAUAAGGAACAAAUCUUACAAAUUAAAAAGUUGAAUGAGAAUGAAAUUGAAAAAAAAUAUAAUUUCAUAAAUUAUCUCAAAUAAAAUAAAUAAUAAUCAAAAUAAUAGAGAUCAAAUCUAAAAAAUUAAAAAAAAAUAUGAAGAAAUUAAAAUAAUAAUAAUCAACAUUUCAUAAAUUAUUUCAAAUAAAAUAAGUAACAAUCAAAAGAAUGAGGACCAAAUUUGAUAGAUAAAAAUUUUCAAUAAAAAAAUGAUAAGGAAAAAGCAAAUAACAAUUAUAAAAUAAGGACCAAAGUUAAUAUAAAAAUAAAAUUUUAAAAGAUGAAAUUGAAAAAUAAAUAUUCAAAGCAAAAUAUAUAUAGCAAUCAAAAGUUUGAGAAUCAAAUUUAAUAUAAUCAACAAAUAAUGACAUUUCUAAAUUUUUCAUAACUUCCGAAAAGUGUUUUCCCCCUAAAUUUUUCAAGAAAACACUUUCCUGAAAACCAAGUCAAAUUUUCCUUUUACUGGAAAGUGUUUUUCAUUGACCAACUUUUAUAAUGACAAACAAACACAAGAAAGUUUGGAAAGUGAUUUUCCGGAAACCGCUUUCCGGAAAACAAAUACAACUAAAGGGAAAAUAUUUUCCUGAAAACCAAGUUAAUUUUUUUUUUUUUACUGAAAUUGACCGGAAAGUGUUUUUCGUUGACUAGAAAAUUUUUUCUGUUGAUCGAAAAGUAUUUUCCGUUGACUUACAAACAAAUAUAAAAAAAUUUAAAAAUUAAUUUCUCAAAAAUUAUUUUUUGAAAAAUAAACAUGACCUACUAAGUGCAUUGCCGGUCAACUGACUCGCAAUAAAGAACAAGUCAACUAAUCCGUCGUACGCGGGUGAGCUGGCUCGUUUUACCGACAUCCCUUCCGAAAAUAAGCACCCAAUUCACAGUCAUGUCAGAAUCAUGGAGGUAGUAGAUCCAUUCAGCCCAUUUAAAGGCACACCAAAAACAUCCACACCGCCACAUAAACAUCUUUAUUCGUAUUUAUGAAACUUGUACGUUUAUUUUAUACUUGAAGAAUAAUAAAGCUACUUUAUUUUUAUUUUUUUGUAACGAUAAAAUUAGAUUAUUUAAUUUCUCAAAUACCACACGUAAGUUUUUUCCAUAUGAUUUGGCAAUUAAGUGCACCGCGCGCUAAUUGCAAACAAUUUCAUGCUUAGACUAUAUGUUUUGGCUUUGAUUUUACAUUUACAUAUGGAAGUAAUGAGUCGCAUGUCACAAGAAGAUAAAUUGAACUGAAUAACAGGAGAAAAUCCAAAAGUCAACAUAAAAAAAUGCAUAAAAAAUAAAAGAAUUUUAUCAUACUAAAGAGAGAGUACUAAAAACCUUAUCACAAGUCCUCGAGACUUUUAAUACGGAAUAACAAGAAAUAAAUCAUUUGGUUCAGUUAACAACUUAAACUGACAACGUAAACUUCAUAACUUGAAACUAAUCAACUCCUCUACUUUAAUCCUCUAUUUAUCUAGAGAGAGAAACGAAGAAGGGUAAGUUAAUCACAAUUUGGUAAGUAUAACUCCACACACUAUCAAGCCAAGAACAAGUAACAUAUAUAUUACGUUGACAAUAAUAAAAUAGCUUAAAACAAUUAAAAAAAUUUGUUAAUAGCUCAUAGUUCAUAAACACAUGUCAUAAAACAAGUUAUUUAUCCAUGUUUUUUCUUGGCAUUUAAUUUCAAAAACAUGACUUUAUUCUCAAAUCAAAUUUUUAUAAUCACAUUGUGCUUAUGACUAUGCCAAUUAUUGUAACUCGUUGACAAGUGUCAUUACCAAUUAUUAUAAAACUCAUUGAUGGACCAUUAGAACUAGUUGUAGUGUCAAUAACCCUACUCACGAGCCAUUAUGCAACCAUUUGCAAAUUUAUUUUGAAACACUUUCUUUUAUAAAUUAGUUUAUAAAACAUUAUUAUAAAAAUUCUAUAUUGUUCAUUCACAAACAUUCAUAUAAGCAAAUUAAUUUGAACAUAACAAGUGAUUGAUCUUCUUUUAAAGAAUGUAAUAUAUAUAGUAAAUGAAAAAUACAUAAUUAAGAAAAAUAUAUCAUGUUUAAAAAUAAUAGAGAGUGCAAAUAUUUACUUAUUUUCAUUGGUUAAACAACUAAAUUCUAAAAUCUUAGCUCAAACAAUUUAUUUACAAGUAUAUAACCUGUUUAAGCUCUUCAUACACUUAAAGAAUGUUUGAAAUAGAGGUGUAAUGAGGUGUGGUGAUUUUGUUUUUAAUAUACAGCUUAAUUAAUACACAAAAAGCAACCACCAAAGGCUAGUUUUUGUUGCUUUUUGUAUAGGUCUAACAAAAAAAAAAAAAAACCACACCUCUAUCUUAAACACACUUUUAAUCACAUUAAUUUGUGAACUGCACACUACCUAAUAAACAAACUACAUAACUCCUAGAAAAUUUAAAAUUUAAUUUUACUUUUUGUGUGGUAAACUAGUCUCAAUUACCUUUCCAUUCAUAUAUGAUUCGCCUAGUAAUUCAUUUUAUAGAAUUUAUAAUACGUCUCAAAAUCAUUCUUGGACAUUAAUGCUAAAUAAUUUGUAUAUCAUUUAUAAUUUUCACCAUAACGAUCUCUACAAAAAUCAAAUUAAUACACCAUUUAUGGUGUUAGAAACUAGAUAAAACAAGAUUUUUCUAAAUAUAAAAUUUGAUUAAAAAACUGAAUCUAUUCAAUAUAGUUUUUAGGUUGAAUAGAAGCCUCUGUCAAACACUUAAACUCAUAGUUUCUCACUUUUAUACCUAAUUGUUAACCUAAUACUUUUUAACCAUUCAUCAUCCUUUUAGGUGUCUUAUAAUAUCAUAAAACCUACCAUAUUCAUUAUUAUAUUAUUUAUAUAAAUAUCAUUUAAAUUUUCUUAACUUCAUACACCUUUCAUAUAAUUUUUUUUUAAUUAAUCCAAGACCUUUCUAAAUAAAAAGAUAUCUUGAAAUCUAGAAAAUAGAAUAAAAUUUCAAUUUGUUAAGGUCAAUUUAUUUCACUUUUUUUUCUCCCGCACUUAUCAAAAAAACAAGUGACCCUCAGGAUUUAUUUUUUAAACUGUCUUGAAGAUUAUAAAACUAGGGUAAAUAAACUUUUUGCCACCUUUUCUUUUAUAUUAAUAUAGGACUACAUGUGCCAAUAUUUGUUUUUCUAAUUAGUCCAAAAGAAAUUAUACUCUAGCACAACAAACAAAUAAAAUUAUACCAAAAAGAAUUUGGUAUUGCAAGCAUGGUCAAAUAUAUUUAGAAAAAAACUAAUAAAUUCUUCUAUAUAUUUACCCAAAUUUGAACUUUUUAAAAAAUAAAAUUCUUUAACUAUCAAAAUAAUAUUAUAUUAAUGUAAGACCAUGUCAACUGAACUAAAUGGUAAAAACAAAAACAAACCCUCUGGGCCUCUUGUUUCUAGAGCUAAGCAAGAGACAUCUACUAAAUAUGUCUACCAAACAUACCCCAAAGUCAUAGACCUCUUAACUCACAGCAAUCCCUUUCUCCCCUCGUUUUCCCUUCUCUCUCACCCUUCCUCUCACGGCUCAAAACCUAAGAACAAACAACUAAUGGGGGACGCUUUCUGUUCAGAUUGUAAGAGACACACAGAGGUAGUUUUCGACCAUUCAGCAGGAGACACAGUAUGUUCAGAGUGUGGUCUUGUCUUAGAAUCUCACUCGAUCGAUGAAACAUCAGAGUGGAGAACUUUUGCGAAUGAAUCAGGAGAUAAUGAUCCAGUUCGUGUUGGUGGACCAACUAAUCCUUUAUUAACAGAUGGUGGUCUUUCUACUGUUAUUGCUAAGCCUAAUGGUGCUUCAGGAGAGUUCUUGUCCAGUUCUCUUGGUAGGUGGCAGAAUCGUGGAUCCAAUCCUGAUCGUGGGUUGAUUACGGCUUUUAAAACUAUUGCUACGAUGUCUGAUAGGUAACCUUUUCUUUUAUUUUUUCUUAUGUUUUUGCGGGUUUUGCUUUACUUGAUUUAUUGUGAAGUUGUGGAGGUGUUUGGAUGUUAAUGGUUGAGGUUAAUGAGUUAAAGUUUAUGAAUUUUAUUGAUGGGUUGUUUAGAUUUUUGAUUUAGAUGGGUAAGGGAAUAUAAACUCUUGGAUGUUGAAUUUGGUGGGUUUUGAUUGGUUGCACUGUUAAUGGAAUUAGUUGAUGCUUUGAGUCUGCUGUUAGGUUGAUGAAAUUGGAACUGGAGGGGCAGAGUAGUGAUGGUACAAAUGCAAAUUCAACAAUAAAUUACCUAUUUUGAUUUGAUCAUAGAUGGAUAUUGACUAGAAGUGCUGAAAUUUUGAAUGAUUUGGUUGUUUCAACUAAAGGCAGUCCAAUGGAAAAUUUUCAGCAUCUUUUGAAAGAAAGGAAUUAGGAUUAAAGCUCAGCUUCAGUUGAAUUAGUGGAAUAUUCCACCAGUUGCGAGUUUGUUGAAAUGGUUGUGGAAAUAGCUGUUCCAAUUUGAUUUUGUUUAUGCCUUUUAAUGCAAGGGUGUUUUUUGUUCCUCAAGAAAGUUCUACUUUUUAUACAUGGAAGUUCCAACUUUUUAAUUGAUUUGAGGUUGACUGGAAUUGGAGUUGUGAAUCCAUUUGAUUUUGACAAUUGAUGUAAGUUCAUGACUUCACUGAUUGUUUGGUGGUUUUGGUUUGUGUGAUUAGAUUUGGACCUUUGUUGGUUGUUUGUAUUGGUGCUGUGUUUGUGGGUUGAUUUUAGAUGAGGAGGGAACUGAAUUUAGAUUCCACAUUUGGUUUGAUUUUGAUGUUGUAGCAGGGGUUUAAUUGGCUGUGAUGUUAAGGAGAUAAGUUGAUGGUUUGAUGCUGUGGUUGCUUGAUGGAACUGGACCUUUAGGUACUUAAUAGUGAUAAGAGAUGUGAAUUCAUCCCCAAGAAGGAAUUUUUUGAUGCAAGGCAGAAUGAAUAUUAAUAUAAUUGAUAAAGUUUCAAGUCAGAAGGAACAAGAUUAUCUUGCAUCUUGAUAGGCAUCUCUGGAUUCGAAUUAUGAGUUAUUAGUAGAAGUUGACUUGGGUUUCCAGCUUGAUUAUGUUGGUGCCUUUUAAGGCUGUGUAUGCUUCAUGCAACAAAGUUAUAGUCUUUGUAAAGUGAUAGCAUUAUGUUACUGAAUUCUCACUCUCUAUUAUGUACUACAUUUUAUGCGCAAUGAUGUUUAUGAAAAAAUACACUUUUGCAAAGUCGUUGCUAAUGUGUGAUAUUUAUGUUUCAGGUUGGGCCUUGUUGCAACUAUCAAGGUAUUCACACUUGAUAUUUAUAUAUUGAUAUUAAAACUGAUGGUUUCAACAGUGUCUUUUCUGAAAACAUCCUUGCAUGAAUAUGGAAAUAAACCCUUUACUAUCAUGUAAUAAUGUUGUCUUGUUAUUUAGUGUAUUAUCAGGCAACUAGCCAUGUAUAUCUUUCCAAUCAGAUUUGUCCUUCCCCAGCAUUCAUAAAUGUAUAAGCACAUUCCUAUGAAGUUAUGAUAUAUGAGAAUAUUCUAUAAAUUCUAUGGCUUGAUUGGAAUAAAGUGACAGGUUUUUGUAAAUAUGAUUAAUCUCUUGUAAAAUAAUGAAAUUAUGGCAUAGGAGAUACAAAAGAAAUUUUAUUCGCAAUGCAUCACCUGUGAAUGAAAUUUUUUUAUGUAUUGAUUGUGAAUAGAGCUGCAGAAUAUUUGUCUUUACAGUUAAAUUGAAAAAGCCUAAUCUACUCAAAGCAAGCAUGGAAUUCAAAGAUUUUGAUAACUGUUCACUCAUCUCAUCGAAGCAACAGGAGACUCAUUCAUUUGCGGGGGGAGAGAAGUGAGUUAGGGGAGAUGAGAUAGCAUAUUGUUAAAUACAUUUUUUGCAAGCUUAUUGAGAAAUUAUUUGACAUAAUUCUCAUGUAGGUAUCUAAACUUACAAUGAGUAGAUCAAUCACAAACAUCUAAAGUGCUUCCCCAUCUUUUGCUCUUACGAGGAGGAGGGGAAAAAGAUGAAGGGAGUGGGUUGUGAAGGCAUCAUGUUUAUUGGAAAACCAUAAAUAUGUUUUGAAAUGUUCAAUUUUGAUGCUUUUCUUGUUUGGUAGUUCAUGAGAACUUCCCUAAUAUUUCUUUUGUUUUUCUUUUUUGCUCCUCUGGUGAUGCGUUUUUCAUAAUAUUGAAGGAUCGGGCCAAUGAGAUCUACAAGAAGGUGGAAGAUCAAAAGUCCAGUAGAGGAAGGAAUCAAGAUGCUUUAUUGGCUGCUUGCCUCUACAUUGCUUGUCGACAAGAAGACAAGCCCCGAACAGUAAAGGGUAUUGUCUAGCAUUCUUUUAACAUAUGGAUAUUUCCUGAUUUAAUCUUUCCCCAAGUGUUUGAACUUCCCUGAACCUCUGAAUUUCAACUAGAAAUUUGCUCUGUCGCCAAUGGAGCCACAAAGAAAGAAAUUGGCCGAGCAAAAGAAUACAUAGUGAAACAACUGGGUUUGGAGACUGGUCAGUCCGUGGAGAUGGGAACUAUACAUGCUGGGGAUUUUAUGGUGUGUUUUUUUCCCCAUUAAAUUUACUGUCUUGGUUUUAUUGUUUAUUUAUAGGGAGUGUUCCUUAUUGUUCAGAUGCGAAUAUGGGUUUUAUCUGUAUUAUUAGCACCAUUGUUAUUAACAUCAGCCUCAACUUGAUCUGCAGAGGCGUUUCUGCUCCAAUCUUGGAAUGUCUAAUCAUACAGUUAAAGCUGCCACAGAAGCUGUUAAAAACGUCAGAACAGUUUGAUAUUAGGUAUUUACAAGUUUCUCACAUUACCUCUACUUUUACUAGAAAAGUGAUGGUUUUCUCUGUUAUGCUCAUUUUUGUUGCUCAUUCAUCACUUCUGGUUAAUAAUUGUUGCAAGAUCCAUAAACUUUAGAAUAAGAAGAAAUAGUUCAAAGACCAGGCAAAGAAAACACUCUUUACAUCUUUGUUUUAUUAACCUUUUGGAUCAAUGUAAGUUGUUCAACAAAUAUAGCCGCUCUUUAUAAUCCCUUCUAAUGCUUGCAGGAGGAGCCCUAUAUCAAUCGCAGCAGCAGUCAUCUAUAUAAUUACUCAGCUUUCAGAUGACAAGAAGCCUCUUCGAGGUUUUGAUCGUUUUGAACUCUUUUUAUCAAGUGGAAACAAAUGAUUCAUUGGUGGAUAGAAUCAGAUAUUUCUGAAGUAACCCUAUUCUAUCAGUUUUAUUUAGACAAACCUUUCAGCAUUGUUGAUUUUAAACACCGUUAGACAUCUGCUCACUUGUGUUUCGGUAUUUUGGCUGCCUUGAGUUUCAAUUCAAAGAUAUGCUUUCAACUGAUAGUAGGCUUGGAUGCAGAUAUUUCACUAGCAACUGGAGUUGCUGAAGGAACAAUCAGAAAUUCCUACAAAGAUCUUUAUCCCCACGUGUCAAAGAUUAUACCAUCAUGGUAUGCCAGCGAGGAAGAUUUGAAGAACCUUUGCGGUCCUUGAAUAAUACAGUGAAAAAUACCGGGAAGAAAAACCCGUUUGAUUUGAUCUGUAAGCCUCCAUCUAGGAUGUAAUUAAGAAACUGUUGAGACAUACAGGGGAUGCACAAGUCCUCUCGUUCUUUUUUAUUUAAUUCCGCAGUCGACAGUACCGUUAAUUCAGGGAUAGGAAAGAAAGGAAAAAAAAGAAAAGAAAUAGCAAUCAAUUUUAAUUUAUGCUCAGCAAAGACAACAAUUUUAAUGUAAUUUUGAUGUGUAUUAAUAUUCAAAUGGUGAGCCGGCUUUUCAAUUCAUUUCUUUUUGUGUUAAUUGUGAUUACUCAUUGACCUUUGAUCAUUUGAAGAAGUGUCUGUUUCUGAUUGGGAUUUACUCAAUUGACAUGAUAAGCUCUGUCCAUGGUGAAAGAAACACUUCCGCCCCAGUUUGAGUUUCCCUGUGGAAGCUCUGUCCAUGUUGAAGGGGAAAGAGAAGGAAAGAAAAGGAAAGUGGAAGUAAAGAAAACGUCUAUCUAUGUUUCAAAUGAAGUUGGCAAAAAGAAAUGAAAAGAUAAAACUAAGGUGUUUCCCCGUUUUCUGCUUGUUGAAUUACUACGACUCUUUUCUAAACAAUUAAAAAAAACUAAAAUAGUUUUUUAAAGACAACAAAUAAAAAAGAUUUUUAUUUUUAUACUUUGAUCUUUUAUAUACAUGAUAUUAUUAUUAUAACUAUCAUAUCACCAUAAUUAUCAUUUUACCACUAAUGUCCCUACAUUUUCAUAAUUACGAUCACCAUUAUCAUCAGAAUACCAAUAUUAUUAUCAUGAUAAUAUCAUUCUUUAUUUUCACUUUUCCUUCUUAACUCACCACAUUUUAUUUUAAUAUUAUAAUUAUCAUCAACUCCACAGUCACUAUUAUUAUAGAAAACUUUAAACCACGUGGUGUUUUCAUUCUAACAAUUCAUAAUGAUAUAUAUAUAUAUAUAUAUAUAUAAUUUAGUCCUUAAAUUUUGUUUCACUUCAAUUGCAUCUUUUUAUGUCCAAAUUCAUGACCAAUUGAGGGAAAAAAUCAAAAUUGAGGGGACCAAAGUGUAAAACAAGGAGAAAAUGAGUUAUAAUUUUAGAAAUGGGGUGAAAAGUUCACUUUGGUCCUCUUACUUUUUAAAUGAUAACUUUCGAUCCCUUAAUAUUUCAAAACGCAAUUAUGUACAAAACUUCUUCUCUCUCUCUCUCUCUCUUUUUUCCCUUUCAAUUCUAGUUUGAGAAGAGAGAGCGAAACUAGUAAGAUUCCAGUUGUAGAAAGAGAAAGUCUCGAUUGAUAUCAAUUCUAGCUAUGAAAAAAAAUAAUCAAUUUUAGUAUUAACAAAUUUUAUUUGAUGAGAAGAAUUCUACCUAGGUAUUCUUUGGCCUUACCAUCAUAUGAGAUGGUAGAUUUGAGCUUGAAAAUUUUCUAUUUAUUUAUUUUGGGUCAAUUUUAGAUUUUUAGGUAUUUUAAGGUUAUUUGAGAGUAUGAAUGAGUUUGUCAAGGUGUAUAGAUUAUUUUAUAGGUGUUUUGGGUAAAAAAAAAAAAUAGAGUUUUUUUGGCAAAAAAACUAUGACCCAAAUUGUAAACUCCUUGUUAUAAUUUUUUAGGUUAUUAAAAGAUGAGAAAUUUAACCAAUACUAAAAUAGGUUAAAUUAAAUUAAAGAAACCUAAAUCAACAUAAAAACAGUGAAAUUAAUGAAAUAAAAAGUGAAUAUAGUACUAAAUUAUUGAAAAAAAUUUAGAUGAUAUUGAAAAAUAAUAAUUUGUGAGGACAAAAUGAAUACGUAAGAUCAAGAAAUGUCAAUAUUUAAAUAAUAGAAGGUUGAGAGUUUAUGUACAAAUGAUAAAAAUGGGUGGGGAUAAAUGUGCAAUUAACAAGAUGAUAGAACUAUAAAUAUCAUUCUAUUUUCUCUCUUGGAGUGACUGGCAAGAACAAGAGAGAGUUUAGAGAGAGGCUGGAGAGAAGUAUAUUGAUAGCAGAAUAUCCGACAGCUAUAACUCCACCUUCCACCGUUGGAUCAUAACGAUAUUUGCAUAUGUUGUUCUCAUCCAUGUUAUGUACAUUUUCACCAGAGGGAUUUUUUAUAUUGGUCCCCGUUUGAGAGAUAUAUAUCGAGGGAGGAAAAUAUCUGGGAAAAUACACUUUUAGACAAUCUUCUUUGCUAUCUGUUUCUCCUUUGACCACCGUUGGAUUAGGCUAUAAUUUGGAUAUGUUGGUCUUCUUGAUUCUGUCUAGAUUCUGAAUGGUGGUGAUUAGAAACAAUCAUUCAGUAUAGAAGUUGUACUUCUCACAUAGUAGGUCUGCAAGUUUGAGGCCAGUUCAGUUAAACCUAUAUUUCUGGAAAUUUCACCAUUUGAUGAAGUUGAUAUUUGGAUAUGUUAUACUCAUAAUAAUGCAUUAUAACUUGACAAUAUGGAUUGUUUGUAAUAUUAUUCAUUUUUUAUUUAUGGUUGAUUGAAACUAUUGUCAAGGAUUGUGUUUAGAAGAAUAUUGUUCGGAAAGUUUGUAAAAUCGAUAAGAAUGUUUUAUUUUGACGUUAAGAGGAAAGAUUAAAAUAAAUAAGAUAAAUUGGCUCUUAUAAAGAUAUUUUUCUUUGACACUCUUAAACGAUAUGUGAUAUGGCUAGGGGUUGAGAUAAAAUAGAAAAAGUUAAAUUGUGGAUGUUGUGUGUAAAUGGAAAGGUUGAUGAAUCUGGACAAAUUUGUCUUCUGACUUUUGGAGAGAAUUUGAGUAGGAGGAUGAGAGACUUAAGAUCAAGUUUCUUUAUAGUAAUUGUAGUUUUAGAUGUUAGCUAACUAAGAAAAUUGAUCUUGCUCAAUAUAGUGCUGUAGAACCCCAACUAUGGGUCAUCAACCGAGAUUGGGUCCUGACAGACCCUGUAGGGUAGUGUUUAUUGAUGAGCAAUUUUGAUUGUCUUAGAGGCAGAACUGAGUUCUCCUUCAUUUAAAGAACUUGUAGCCUCAUGUAUUAGCUUUCCAACGAGAUUAAUCUCGCUUGAAACAGAGUUCUAUAACUCUAUAUAUAGUUAAAAAUUUGAUGAGUGUUCAGACAGUAACAAUUCAAGGUCUAGACGCUAGCGUAGACUUUCACGUGAAUACUAUAUGUAAGAAUAUAAAAUAAUUGAGUCAUACAAACACUUGCACAUUGAGAUACUAACUCUGAAAAUAUACAUCAUAUAUGUAUGAAUGUUAUUAUGAGGAAAUGAACAUGCAUAAAAAGUAACAUAUGACUAAUUGAUGAAUAUGGAUUCUUUGUAAUAUCGGCUUGAAGGAAUAAUAACUAUGGUUGGAUAAAGGAUGACAACAUUAAUGUGUGUAAUGAGAAAAAUGUAAGAUAUAAAGAAAGAAAUUAUUGAAAGAAAGAUAUAUUAGCUAUUGAUAUGAUUAUUAUAAAACAUAUCAUUGAAUGAGGAAAAUUUAUGAGAUGAGUCUAUGACUGCAAGAGAGACUACUGGUGUGGUGCAACAUUAGCAAUAGAGGAGCACGAGUAGAGCUUCUAUUGCAGGUAGGUGACUUUCACCUUUCUUUUUAAUAAUGUUGAAUAAUAAAAGUACUUUAUCAUAAAUGUUACAAUAUUGUGUUAAUUCAGAUGUCAGAUUGUCAAAUGCUUAAAUGUUAACAAUGGAUUAGCUUCGGUGAAUGGAUGACCAGGACAAACAAAUGAUUAGCUUGGGCUAAUUGCAUCUAAAAGGAUGACUAGGACAAACAAUUGAUUAGCUUCGACUAAUGGCAUACGAAUGGAUGACCGGGACAAACGAAUGAUUAGCUUUGGCUAAUGGCAUCCGAAGGGAUGACCGGGACAAACGAAUGAUUAGCUUGGGCUAAUUGCAUUCAAAAGGAUGACUAGGACACAUAAUUGAUUAGAUUCAACUAAUGGCAUCCGAAUGGAUGACCGAAAUAAAUAAAUGAUUAGCUUUGGCUAAUUGCAUGCAAAAGGAAGACUGAGACAAACAAUUGAUUAGCUUCGGCUAAUGGCAUCCGAAGGGAUGACCGGGACAAAUAAAUGAUUAUCUUUGACUAAUUACAUCCGGAGGGAUGGCCGGGACAAAUGAAUGAUUAGUUUGGGCUAAUUGCAUCCAAAGGGAUGACCGAGACAAACAAUUGAUUAGCUUCGGCUAAUAGCAUCUGAAAGGAUGACCUGGAAAAAUGAAUGAUUAACUUCAGUUAAUGGCAUCCGAAAGGAUGACCAGGACAAACGAAUGAUUAGCUUUGGCUAAUGACAUCUAAAUGGAUGACAGGAACAUGGACAAAUAAAUGAUUAGCUUUGGCUAAUGGCAUCCAAAUGGAUGACCGGGACAAAUAAAUGAUUAGCUUUGGCUAAUGGCAUCCGAAUGGAUGACCCAGACAAAUAAAUGAUUAAAUGGACAACCGGGAGAAACGAUUGAUUAGCUUUAGCUUAUAACAUUCGAAGGGGAUGGCCGGGGUGAGUGAACGGUUACCCUCGACAAAUUAUGCUUUAAGAGGAUGGUGGGGUUUAAGAUUAUGGCUGAUUGUAAGAAUUGGUGCAUAUAUAUGUACUGCAAGUUGUGUAUACUAAGAACAUGAAAGAACUACAAAUGUCACACUUUAAACAUGAGAUAAUGUUAAUGCUUCAUUAAACUGCCAGACCAUUUUCUUCUUCUUCUUAUUAUUAUUAAGUAAUUGCAUUCUUGUAAAUGUUUUGUACUGCAGUAGGGAUGUCACACAAACAAGGUGCCUAGGAAACCCAAUACACGUGAACCUACUUUUGCAAGGAAUCAUGUAGUUGCAUUCUAAAUCAUGAUGUAUUUUUUAUGAAUCAUUGUACUGAAUGUAUAACUAUUAUUAGAUCCUUUUAGUUUAAAUUUGUGAUGACUAUUUGUAGGAUAUAAUACAAACUCAUGUCUAUGCAUGCAUAUUUUAAAUGUGAACUUCUAAUCAUGUAAACAUAAUAUUAUGAGCUUAUGUAAGAUUCACUUUUAAAUAAAAUGUUGAUUGUUGUUGAUGUAUGGAUUGUAUAUUGAUGAUGUGAGGGAACAUAUUCACUGAUUACCGACACGAUGUGUGUCAAGUACAAAAAAAAAUAAUAAUUUAUUGUUGGUUUGGGCUUGAAAAGCCGGGUUGUUACACAAAUUUCCAAUGAUCCUUUAGUUGCUUGAAACUGGGCCAGUAGGCGACUUAUUAUUAUGUUUUUGUAAAUGUCAUCCAUCCCUUGAAAAGAAUAAUUCAAAGUUAGUCCAAUUGCAUAGGCUUGGGUUAAAAGUCCAUCCUAAUUCCUAAUAAGAUUUUAACAUUAGUAUCUUUUAAUAGAAAUUUCAAAUCAGAUAGCCAAGGUUUCAUUCUACUAACAUUUAUAACAAAAUUAAUAUGUUUAAAUUAUGGAUAACAUGUCUAAUAAAGCUGUCGCACGUGUGCGGCAGCGCGGCAAUCGUCCACCCUCAAGGAAAAAAAUUGGAAAUAUUUAUUCCUGGCAAAUGGGGAGAGACAAGGAAUUCUUGUCUCUAUAUGUAAAAAUAUGGACCGGGAGUCGCCACCUAGUAUUCUGGUUACUAGGAACCUUAACUGGUCUUUAGAGAUCGGGUACGGAGACUGGUUGCGUAAAGGGAAGGUAUUAGCACCCCAACUACGCCCUACCUAAGGUAGGCUGCAUUGUUUUAAUGUCUGAUAAAAUCUAAAAUCGUGUUGUGUUUUUUUUUUUUGAAUUGUUGGUUCGUUUACGGUUUAAGAAAAGUCCUCCUCUGUAAGGAGGUCCUUAUCUUUAUCGGGUAAAAAAAAACACUAACUAUUCGAAGUCGUCAAAAGAAAAUAUUUUUUUAAUAUCAGGAAUACGAUUUACGUAUAAAUUCAUAAUCCCUGAUACUAAAAUCAAACAAAAUAAAAUAUUUUGUUGUUUUUGAAAUUUUGGCCAAUGUUCUCUUGACUUUAAUAAACUGGUUAUUAAAGUCAAAAUGCAUGCUAAAAUAUUGUUUUUUGACUUAUGAAAAAUACGAUAUGAUUUUUUAGAUUUUGAGACACUUGGCCGUAUGCACAAAAACAUUUUUUUCUCUUUUUUAAUUUUUAAUUUUAUUUUUGGAAGUUUUUUGCCGAAAACCAGGUAUUUUGAUAUCAGAUUUUUGUAUUUUUAACAACAUAAAAAAACACCACCAAAUAUUAAUCAAAAUGACAUAAAAAUUACACGGAAAAAUUAUAAAAUGCUGAAACAAAUAUUUUUGAUUUUUUUUCUUUGAAAUGGGCCGGAUUAGGCCCAAAUAUAUGGGCUGGGCCGAACCUAGCCCAAAGCAUGGGCUGGUUACUGUGCACAUAGUAACCGGGUUACUGUGUGUACAGUACCAAAGAAUUAAUCUGCGGGUUACUGUGCACAUGCACAGUACCCGUGAAUUAAUUAGCGAGUUACUGUGCUGUAUGCAUGCAGAACAAAAAAAAACGACGGGAAAAACAGGGGGGCGGAGUCUACCUGCGGUGGACUCUCUUCUCUGCUUCUUCUUCUUCUGCUUUCUUCUCUCUGUCUCUCCCUUCUCUUCUCUUCUCCUCUCUUCUUUUUUUUUUUUUUUUUCAACAGCCCUCCCCUGUAUUUAUAGGAAAACAGGGGAGGGAGAACGUGUUGGGGCGGCUACUGUUGGCCGCCCCCCUCCACUACCUUCAACGGAUAACAAUGCCAAACAAGUGGGUGAAUUGUGGGCGUCUUAUUGCGCCAAAGCCGGGAAAGAAAGUAGGCGAAAAGGGGAAGAAAAAAUCUUCUUCUUCCCCUGCCUCGCGCGUCCAGGGGAAGAAGAAGAGCUACAGUGCCGUCAAAACGGCACCGUUUUGGGCUUCUGUUUUUUUUUUUUUUUUUUUUUUUUAGCAACAGUGAAUGAAACGGCGCCGUUUUGGUCAAAACGCGCCGUUUCAUUUAAAAGGAAAAAGGCGCCAAAAGAAUCAGAUUCAAAUUUCGGCCCUCCAUUUGCGCGCGUUUUACAAUUUAGUCCUUGGUCUCGGAUUUCUUCAAUUCAGUCCCUAAUUGGCCAUUAAACCUCAAUAUUUAUGCAAUUAAGCCCCUGAUUUGACCAAAUUAACUUCCAAAAAUUAUAAUUUGACCCUAGAAAAUUAAUUUCUCCUAAUUAAAGCCCAAAUUAACUCCAAAAUCAAUUUUUCUUGCAAUUAAAAUCUUCAUAAAUGCAAUUAAACCUUUAAUAAAAUUUAAUUGAGUCCAUAAACUUCUGAUUUUGCAUUUUUCUUCCACAAAUUGAAUUUUCUUUAUCAUCGGGGCUCUCAUCAGUUAAUGAUAUACUGUCAAAAAAUAAUUUUUAUAUUUUUGAACAUCCUCAAUCAAUUUUUGAACAUUUUUAGGGCGCUCUGGCAUUUUUUCACUGUUAUAUUUUUUUAUAAUAUUUUUUUGAAUUUUUUUGUAUUUUAUUAUUUUAUGUGGGGACCCAAAAAUGGGUUACAACAGUUGCCCCCCUCUUUACAAUGCUUACGGAGCAAAGAUUUGUGCAUAGUAAGUGUUGUAAAGAUAAAAUAAAAUUGGUCUUCCGAAACUGGUCGUCUCAAAAUUUGAUUGACCUAAAACUUCAACCGUACCCAAAGUCCUGUGUGUGGUUGGGUUAAACUGAGAUUCAUUUCGCCAAUCCCCUUUAACCUGAAACUUAAAUAUUAUGUGUGUGUGGUUAGGAUAGACUGAGAUUCCUUUCGGCAAUCCCCUCUAACCAGAACCAAAAUCCUGUGCGUGGUUGGGAUAGACUGAGAUUCCGUUCGGCAAUCCCCUCUAACCAGAACCAAAAUCCUGUGCGUGGUUGGGAUAGACUGAGAUUCCUUUCGGCAAUCCCCUCUAACCAGAACCAAAAUCCUGUGUGUGUAGAUCGGUCAACCUGAAAUCUCAUAUGGAGAUUCCCUUUAACCAAAGCUACAUGAGAUCCCAUCUGGCAACCUCAUUUAACCAAAACAAAAGAAAUGUGGGAAAAAAACGGUCUCAUUGUAAUGGGUGACCUACCCAGGUGGAAAGAAUGGAAAAAACGGUCUUAUUAUGAUGGGUGACCCACCCAAAGAAAAAGGAAAAAAAUGUGAAGUGCGGUCUCAUUGUAAUGGGUGACCUACCCAGAUAAAAAACAUGGAGAAUUGGUCGCGUUGUAAUGGGUGACCUACCCAGAAAAAUGUUGGCAAGGGCUCAAAGGCGCACUCAAAAUGGAGGUGAGGGCUCAAAGGCGCACUCAAAAGGAGGUAGGGUUAGAAAACGCACUACCGAAGGGAUGAGGGCUCAAAGGCGCACUCAAAAUGGAGGUGAGGGCUCAAAGGCGCACUCAAAAGGAGGUAGGGUUAGAAAACGCACUACCGAAGGGAUGAGGGCUCAAAAGCGCACUCAAAAUGGAGGUGAGGGCUCAAAGGCGCACUCAAAAGGAGGUAGGGUUAGAAAACGCACUACCGAAGGGAUGAGGGCUCAAAGGCGCACUCAAAAUGGAGGUGAGGGCUCAAAGGCGCACUCAAAAGGAGGUAGGGUUAGAAAACGCACUACCGAAGGGAUGAGGGCUCAAAGGCGCACUCAAAAGGAGGUAGGGUUAGAAAACGCACUACCGAAGGGAUGAGGGCUCAAAGGCGCACUCAAAAUGGAGGUGAGGGCUCAAAGGCGCACUCAAAAGGAGGUAGGGUUAGAAAACGCACUAACCGAAGGGAUGAGGCUCAAAGGCGCACUCAAAAUGGAGGUGAGGGCUCAAAGGCGCACUCAAAAUGGAGGUAGGGUUAGAAAACGCACACCGAAGGGAUGAGGGCUCAAAGGCGCACUCAAAAUGGAGGUGAGGGCUCGAAGCCACUCAAAAUGGAGGUGAGGCUCAAAGGCGCACUCAAAAGGAGGUAGGGUUAGAAAACGCACUACCAAAGGGAUGUUGAAACAAUGAUUGUCAAUGUUGAAAAGCAAAUGCAUUAUGAGUGAUAUGCAUGUAUACUUACCUGAGAAAUAUAGGCCCCCAUUUCUUCAUGGUGUCUUUGUUUUCUCUCAAAAGUUGUAGUGUUGGUAGUAAACUUCGAUGGCUUUUCCACUUUUGCUUACUCGGGUUACAUAUUGUGAUCUUGACCUCUGGGAAGGUUUGAUGUCAUCAUACAUCUUUGUCCUUCACCCUUUAUCUCAAGAGUUGCCAAUUUUGCCCGACAUUUUCCUUAGAAAAGGAAUCAUGGAGCCAGCCCUACCAUGUGUGUUUGAUUGCCCCCCAGCUUGAUGCCCCCCAAGUGUUCAACUUGGGUUUAGUUUGGGGUGAGGAUAUGUGAAAGUAAGUUUGGGUUUUUUGUACAAUGAAAUGUUUUCAUGCAAAAUUUUUGGAACUUCCAAGUUAUUCCAAUCACAAAAAUGAUUUUGAUAUUGGUUCAAAAUAAACUUGUUUUAAAAAAUUCAAGCGAUUCCUAUGGACAGGUUUCUUGAAGUGAUGAAAGCUUUUUGCUUUUGGUUUAAAGAUGAAGUGACAUCUGGUUGGUCACAAAAGGUUUAAAGUUCAAUUUGAGGGUUAUUGAGAACCGAAUUGAUCAAAGCAUUUAUUUUAUUUGCAUGAAUAAUGAUUUGACUCGCACGAGAAAGCACUGCAUACCGAUCCAGAUUGCUUGCCUUUGAUCAGAAAGGGCUUUAUCAGGUAUGUAAUGUAGGCUUUGCUAUUGGUUACGAAGAAAAUGGAUAUGUUGCAGGCUCAAAAGGUGUUUAAGGGAUUUCAAGACUAGGGAUCACUUGUGCUUGUUUCCUGACCUUUUGUCUUUUGGAAUUGUUUUUUUUUCAAAAUGAUUUGUCCAGCCCCCAGUGUCGGGUUUGGGUUUUCUCUUUGUUUUCUUUGUUUUUGUUUGGUUGAGCACAAUCAUAUCAGUUGUUUUUAUGAGAAGCUCAAAUCUUUUAGAUCCUUUAGAUCUUCUUCUUUUCUUUUCUUAACCAAUCACUGCUUCAUUUAGAUGAUAAUGAAAGAUUAAAAAUUACAUGAUCAAAUCCAGCACCCAUCUUCACUGCUUUGUCUGGAUGGGUAAAAACUCUUAUUAUUUUGCCCCCCAGUGUGGGGUGUGAUCCUAGUCAAGGUUAUUUCCAAAAAACAUUACUAGGCUCAAAAUGGGACUGCAAAGGAUAUAUUUUUAGCCUUGUGAAAGGAUUAUCAAAGAUGGCCUUUCCUCAUCUCAAACUCAUGCAGUGAGGAUCGAUAGGUCUUGCUUUCAUGCGCGUAUGCAAAGUGAUUUAUUCAGUCAAAUAAAACUCAGCUUUUGAGUCACCUCAUAGUGUUGUUUGUCUUUAUUUGUCUUUUUUUUUUCUUUCAAGUUUUCUAGGUAUAUGUGUACCUAUUUAAGGAAUCACUUGAAUUUCCAAAAUGCAUUUGUUUUGGACAAAUAUCAACACGAUUUUUGUUUUUGUACUCACUUUGGAGGUCCCAAAAAAUAUCCUUGAAAACAUAUGAGAUUAUGUAUGGGUUUGGAAGAAAGGAACACCAAAGGAUUCUUCAUGUUGUAGUGUUGUGAGCAAAGUUGCGCUCAAAAUAUUAUUUACAUGUAAUAACAAGAAGAGUGUGAUGUGAACACAAGAAAACACAUGAUCUUAUUUCACAAGAGAAGCUCAUUAACAGAGAAAGUCUUAUUCAAAAGCAUUAACAAAAGGCAAUAACAAGGUAGGCUUCAUUCCUCUAUUUUGGCGAAUCUGUUCAUAGGCUAACUCCUCUCAAAAGCUCUGCGUAGAGGACUCAAAGACAAUGCGGAACAACACCACGGUCAAAAAUUCAAGCUAUCAUGCUGGACCAUUGAUGCUUUCCAAUUCCCCAAACAUUCCAUCCUAAUAUGCUUCAAGCAUGAUUAGGCAACGGGUUCGUAUUCACAUUGGGGGCAUCUUCCAAUUCUAUCCACCCAGCCUUGAUUAAUUGUAGAAGCUUUCUCUUGAAGGCGUUGCAGGUAUAGAUGCUAUGCCCAGUAAUACCGGCAUGGUAUUCACAAUUGAGUUCUGGCUUGUACCAAUUAGGAUAAGGUGGUUGCAGAGGUGUUAGAGGUUCUGGAGCUAUUUGCCCGAUGCUUAAUAGCUUUUGAUACAUCUCAUUCAGGGGUAACGGUAGUGGAGGUAGUUGUUCUUGAACCCUUUGGAAAUUUCCAAUUUGGCUUUUGGCUUGAAAGUUUUGGGGUUCAAGUUUUCUGAUGUUGGCAAUUUGGGAUGGAGUAUGGUAAUUUUGGGAUGUAUUUGUUUUACCCUUGUAGCCAUCUUCAACAUGGUGAACCUCUUUUCUUUCGACGCCUCUUUUCUCGGUUGGUGCAGCAAUUCUACCACUCUUGACACCUUGCUCUAUACGUUCACAUACUAUCACAGCAUCAGUGAAUUGUUGCGCUGAACUACCCAUCAUAUGUUCAUAAUAUGGUGCUUUGAGUGUGUUGGCAAAUAAAGAGACCAUCUCUUUGUCCAGAAGUGGGGGAUGUACUUGAGCAGCUAAUUCUCGCCAUCUUUGAGCAUAUUCCCUUAUGCUUUCUUUAUCCUUUUUCUCUAUAUUGGUCAAACUGGUUCUGUCAGGCGCAAUGUCCAUGUUGUACUUGUAUUGCUUGACGAAAGCAUCCACAAGAUUUUUCCAGUUGCGAAUUUUUGUGUUAUCCAAUCUCAUGUACCAACUCAAAGUUGCCCCACUUAAACUGUCUUGGAAAAAGUGCAUUAGUAGUUUUUCAUCAUGUACUACCUCAGCCAUUUUAUUGCAGUAAGACCUGAGAUGAGUCAUGGGGCAUUGUGUUCCACUGUAUUUGAUGAAUUCAGGAACACGAAAUUUCUUUGGGACAACCACAUUUGGGACCAAACACAUCUCUGCUGCCCGGACCGGGUCAUAUAAGUCUAUCCCUUCAAUGGCUUUAAGUCUGGCUUCCAACGCCUCUAUCUUAGCUUGAUCAAUGCUAUCAGAUGACUUAGCCUUGUGGGACUCAUUAGCAGAUGCCUUCACGACUGUUGGGGAUGGUGCAGGUGUCGUUGACUGCACAAAUGUUGGAUUUUGCUGAGGUUCUUGACCAUGUUCGCUCAUUCUUUCCUCAGGCUGAACUGUAGUAGGAGCCGGAUUAAAGGUGAUCGGUUGAUUAGAAGGACCUUCAUCAGAGGUAUUUCUUAGUGUUUGCUUGAGUAAGCUAGUGAGGUGAGCCACACUUAUUUUCAGAGACUCCAACUCUCGUUCAAAUAGGCCUCACGUUGAGCACGCUCUUCAUCUUCCAUGUUUCUUGCUCGAAGUCGGGUGUUGUAGACUUUUUGGGGACCUAUAUUUCAAUCUGACAUGUAUGCAUGUUAAAUGUAUGAACAUGUAAUCUAUAUGACGAACUCGCCCUUCGAGGGGUGACAUAUGGUCGCAACUCUUGUAUGAUGAAACAAGAAUCUUGAUUCUUGCACAAACUCUACAAUGAAAAUUUUCUGAGCGACGGCCAUUGUGUCACCCAAAAGUCUGGAGUUCAAGAUGCUUCAAGAAGGGCUUGCUUGGAUGCAAAUAACGAUAGCACAUACAAACUAAGGACAUAUUUUAUUAUGUGAACAUGGGUAGGUUGGCUAUUCAGUCUCUAAAAAAGGGUCUCUUGCUGUCCCAGUGAUCGCCCUCGUGGAGGCAAUAUGGGGGCUUGUAGGCAAUGAGAUGGCACGUGUACCAACUGUUACCAGUCUAAGCACUCAGCGAAGAGUUGGGGUUUACACAAACUUAAACCUUGACUAAAAGUCGUAAGGUAAGCUGCUAAUCCCCCACUUAACUUAAAGUUUGUCAGUACAAACUCUCAUAUGAAUGAUGCAUGACACAAUCUAUAGUGCAUGAACAAAUAUGUACAAAUUUAAAGCAUAUGAGCAAAUAACUAAGGGAAAUUCAUCUUAAAAAUAAAACACAAUAAAUCCAAAGAAAAAAACUAGACAAAACAAUGCUUAGUCCACAAGGUCCCCAGUGGAGUCGCCAUUCUGUCGCACGUGUGCGGCGGCGCGGCGAUCGUCCACCCUCAAGGAAAAAAAUUGGAAAUAUUUAUUCCUGGCAAAUGGGGAGAGACAAGGAAUUCUUGUCUCUAUAUGUAAAAAUAUGGACCGGGAGUCGCCACCUAGUAUUCUGGUUACUAGGAACCUUAACUGGUCUUUAGAGAUCGGGUACGGAGACUGGUUGCGUAAAGGGAAGGUAUUAGCACCCCAACUACGCCCUACCUAAGGUAGGCUGCAUUGUUUUAAUGUCUGAUAAAAUCUAAAAUCGUGUUGUGUUUUUUUUUUUUUGAAUUGUUGGUUCGUUUACGGUUUAAGAAAAGUCCUCCUCUGUAAGGAGGUCCUUAUCUUUAUCGGGUAAAAAAAAACACUAACUAUUCGAAGUCGUCAAAAGAAAAUAUUUUUUUAAUAUCAGGAAUACGAUUUACGUAUAAAUUCAUAAUCCCUGAUACUAAAAUCAAACAAAAUAAAAUAUUUUGUUGUUUUUGAAAUUUUGGCCAAUGUUCUCUUGACUUUAAUAAACUGGUUAUUAAAGCCAAAAUGCAUGCUAAAAUAUUGUUUUUUGACUUAUGAAAAAUACGAUAUGAUUUUUUAGAUUUUGAGACACUUGGCCGUAUGCACAAAAACAUUUUUUUCUCUUUUUUAAUUUUUAAUUUUAUUUUUGGAAGUUUUUUGCCGAAAACCAGGUAUUUUGAUAUCAGAUUUUUGUAUUUUUAACAACAUAAAAAAACACCACCAAAUAUUAAUCAAAAUGACAUAAAAAUUACACGGAAAAAUUAUAAAAUGCUGAAACAAAUAUUUUUGAUUUUUUUUCUUUGAAAUGGGCCGGAUUAGGCCCAAAUAUAUGGGCUGGGCCGAACCUAGCCCAAAGCAUGGGCUGGUUACUGUGCACAUAGUAACCGGGUUACUGUGUGUACAGUAACCAAAGAAUUAAUCUGCGGGUUACUGUGCACAUGCACAGUAACCGUGAAUUAAUCGCUAAUUAAUAUGCAUGCAGAACAAAAAAAAACGACGGGAAAAACAGGGGGGCGGAGUCUACCUGCGGUGGACUCUCUUCUCUGCUUCUUCUUCUUCUGCUUUCUUCUCUCUGUCUCUCCCUUCUCUUCUCUUCUCCUCUCUUCUUUUUUUUUUUUUUUUUUCAACAGCCCUCCCCUGUAUUUAUAGGAAAACAGGGGAGGGAGAACGUGUUGGGGCGGCUACUGUUGGCCGCCCCCCUCCACUACCUUCAACGGAUAACAACGCCAAACAAGUGGGUGAAUUGUGGGCGUCUUAUUGCGCCAAAGCCGGGAAAGAAAGUAGGCGAAAAGGGGAAGAAAAAAUCUUCUUCUUCCCCUGCCUCGCGCGUCCAGGGGAAGAAGAAGAGCUACAGUGCCGUCAAAACGGCACCGUUUUGGGCUUUUUUUUUUUUUUUUUUUUUUUUUUUUAGCAACAGUGAAUGAAACGGCGCCGUUUUGGUCAAAACGCGCCGUUUCAUUUAAAAGGAAAAAGGCGCCAAAAGAAUCAGAUUCAAAUUUCGGCCCUCCAUUUGCGCGCGUUUUACAAUUUAGUCCUUGGUCUCGGAUUUCUUCAAUUCAGUCCCUAAUUGGCCAUUAAACCUCAAUAUUUAUGCAAUUAAGCCCCUGAUUUGACCAAAUUAACUUCCAAAAAUUAUAAUUUGACCCUAGAAAAUUAAUUUCUCCUAAUUAAAGCCCAAAUUAACUCCAAAAUCAAUUUUUCUUGCAAUUAAAAUCUUCAUAAAUGCAAUUAAACCUUUAAUAAAAUUUAAUUGAGUCCAUAAACUUCUGAUUUUGCAUUUUUCUUCCACAAAUUGAAUUUUCUUUAUCAUCGGGGCUCUCAUCAGUUAAUGAUAUACUGUCAAAAAAUAAUUUUUAUAUUUUUGAACAUCCUCAAUCAAUUUUUGAACAUUUUUAGGGCGCUCUGGCAUUUUUUCACUGUUAUAUUUUUUUUAUAAUAUAUUUUUUUGAAUUUUUUUGUAUUUUAUUAUUUUUUAUGUGGGGAUCCAAAAAUGGGUUACAACAAAAGCAAUGCAUAUAAGAUUUAUAUGUCAACUCCCAUACUGUUGAUAAAAUUAUUUUAGUUAGUAUGCCACGAUAUUUCAAUCGAUCAGGUUUGUAACUCAAAACGUAAGUAAUGAUUUGCAAGCAUAACUUAUUGGCCUAAACAAUAAAAAUCUAUUACACUAAACACUUUUUGAGGACUUCAUAUAUUUCAUUUUGACAAUUUUGAGAAAACAAGGAAUGAUUUAAUGAUAUUUAUGGAUGUGUUAUGGCCAUUACAUACAUUUCUAAUUUCCAAUUUACUCCACCUCCUUUGUUAAUGGCUACUGCAUUCUUUAAUAUUAGUGGUUGCUUUUUUCUUGUAGGUGAACUGCUAGUGUAUUUUGAUGAUUUUUGAGUAAUGAUUACACACUUAGAAAGUAAAGUUUAUACUUUUAACAUCCCCUUGACUCUUUUGAUAUCAUCAUUCCAAACAUGUUCUAUAUUCUUGUAAACACAUCAUACUUGAAUAACUUUAUGAAUAUGUCAGUAAGUUGAUCAUAAGUUAUGUAAGAUACCAACUCCAUUUCUUUAUUUUUCACAUGUUCUUGGAUGAAAUGGUAACGACUAUCAAUGUGUUUGCUUCUUUUAUAGUAUGCUGGGCUCUUUUAUAGAGCAAUCACAUAAUGACUAUCUAAUAAGAUUUUCAUGUGGAAUUUUUGAAAAACUUUAUUACGUUCCUCGACCAACAUAUGUAUAAUCUUAGAAGGUUACAUUACUUUUUUGGCUUUGAAGUGGUUUAAUCUACUACUAGAAUUUUUAUUUCUCAAAAGAAAUAUGUUUAAGAAGUUUUAGAUAAGCUUCAAAUAAAGAAUUAUAAUUUGGGGAGUACAUUAACUGAGUUUGGUUUGAAACUAAAUAAAAAUUAUGGAGGAAAGAAGGAUGAUAACAUUCUUUACAAGAAAAUUGUAGGAAGUUUAAUGUAUAUAAUAAUAGACAUAAUAUACUAAGUAAAUCUUAUCAAUAUAUACAUUGAGAAACCAAUAAAGAUACAUCUUCUAACUAUUAAAAGGAUAUUUCGGUACUUAAAAGGUACUAUAUAUGAACUUAGGUUUGUUCUAUAAGAAGGGAGAAAAAUCAAACUUGAUUAAUUUUAUUUAUAGUGAUAAUAUAGGAGAUUAAGACAACAGAAGAAACACUCUAGGUUAGGUUUUUAUGCUUGGUUGAAGGGCUAUUUCAUGGUCUUCGAAGAAGUAGUCAUUUGUCACUUUAUCUACUAUAAAAAUUGAUUUUUUUUAUGCAAAAUUCAUGUGCAUUCCAAGCUAUAUGGAUGAAGAAAAUUAUUAAGGAACUUAAUUUCAAGAGACAAGGGCAUACAAUAAUUUCUAAUUGCGACAACAACUCAGUAAUUAAACUCUUUAAAAACUUAAUUCUACAUGGUAUAUAAAAGCAUAUUAAUGUAAAGUUUUAAAUUUUAAGAGAUCUCACAAAACAUAAAAUGAUUGAGAAUAUUUAUUAUAAAAGUGAAGAAUAUGUCACUAAUAUAUUCACCACGUCUCUUAAGUACUUGAAGAUGUUUUUGAAGUUUAUAAAAUUACUUGGUAUUUACAUUUGAGAAGAUUUUAUUUAAAGAAGAGUACCUCAUUCGUAAACUGAAUGUUAGAACAUACAUUUGAGGAGAAAAUUGUUAAGAUAUAAAAAUGAUUCUAAUAUGAGAAUGAUUCCAUAUGUGUGUGUGUCUGUGUGUGUGUGUGUGUGUGAGAGAGAGAGAGAGAGAGAGAGAGAUGCAUGCAUAAUUUAUAAUGAAUAGGAGAAGGAAAGUUGAAAAUACUUUGUGUGUGUUUUAGUUUUUAACCAUGAAAAUGGGUUAUCCCCGUCAUCUCUGAUUAAACAGUGUUUAGUGCCUUGGAGUACUGAGUAGUCAUCGAGUUGAUGACAACUGGGAAACUAAUCGACAGUGAAGAAAGAUCAGACUUAGGAAUUAGAAAAUUGGUGUCGUUGCAUAAGAUGAGGAGCAUCAGUUCACACUCUCAUUCAAUGGUUGCAUCAAUCCGGCUCUAAUAGCUACAUGAACGGAUUAUUAGACAAGGCCUGCAGCUUUCUCGUUAUUCAAAACAAGUACAUAUAAGCAUAGUGUUGUUUUCCAAAGAGACAACAUCAUCAAGAAAAUUGUAGAGCAAAUGCCACUUCAUUUGUUUGUUAGUUUACUUGGUCUUUGGUCCAGUCUUCUUGUUUUGCAAGCAUUGUAUAGAUAGAUGCCGGUAGAUGGGCAUUGCGACUGAUUAAUUUAAUGAAAUAGGUAACUUUCUAGAGGUAAAAAAAAAUGAAAAACAAGAAAAGGUGAAUGACCAUGAGAUGAGACUUUGUCCAGAGUGUUGUUGUUAACCAGAAAUUGGCCACAUACCUGAAGUAAACACAGUUUUCAUUUAUGGCUCUAUCCUGGCAAGAAUCCAUCAUCUAGCUAGGCUUACAAGGUACUUAAUACCUCUCUAAUUACAAGUAUAGCCUUACCAACAUAGCACAUUAAUUAAUUAGAGAUUGGAGACGUAUACGAACAAUGUUUUCUAAACAAUGAAUAUAUGCAGUUUUUCUCCUAUAUAUUAUCCAAUUGCAUUUAAGGCUAUUGCUACUUUCGUUUUUCAUACAGAAAAGUCUAUAUAUUAUCCAAUUGCAUUUAAGGCUAUUGCUACUUUUAACAAAAAAGAAAAGGCUAUUGCUACUUUUGUUUUCAUACACAAAAGCACGUUUCUCCCUUGGUUGUCAAUCUCAAAUAAUUUGACAACUUCUACUGACGACAAACACAGCAUUAUCAAUUUCAUAUUCUACUCAUUAUCCCAACCACCUUAGUCUCUAUAUAAAAGCCCAUCCUCUAACACAACAGCAUCAUACGAAACACAUAAAAUCUAUACCCACAGCCAUUUCAAACAUCUUCCACCCUAUGGCUAACCAACGAGACCCACCAAGCCACGGCAUAAAUGACCUCACAAAACAAGCACAAGUUGUUGUGGUCAUGGUGCCCCUUCCAGCACAAGGCCAUCUUAACCAGCUCCUCCAACUCUCUAGGCUCAUCCUAUCCCACAACAUCCCGGUCCACUACGUUGGCGCCACCACCCACAAUCGUCAGGCCAAGCAGCGCGUACACGGUUGGGACCCAAACGCCGCUGCAAAUAUCCAUUUCCAUGAUAUCGAAAUCCCUCCUUUUCAUUCCCCCCCGCCCAAUCCAAAAGCCAAAAUCAAAUUCCCUUCUCACUUACAACCAGUCUUCAACGCCUCAUCUCAACUUACCGAGCCUGUUUCUAUGCUUUCUUACGUGCACUUUCUUGCAAAGCAAGAAAGGUUAUUGUAAUUCAUGACUCUUUAAUGGGUCUGUGAUUGAAGAAGCUCGUUUCCUCUCGAAUGCCGAGUCUUACACUUUCCAUAGUGUGUCUGCUUUUGCUAUUCCUUGUAUGAAAGGGAACGAGAAGGGAAGGUUAUAGAGGAAAAUGAGUUGUUUCCACGGAAUACUCCUUCUCUAGAAGGGUGUUUUACCGAUGAGUUUGCGGAUUUCGUUGAUUGUCAUUAUAGUAAGCACCAAAAGUUUAACACUGGCCGUGUUUACAACACUUGCAAAUUGGUAGAAUCUGCUUAUUUGGACUUUCUUGAGAAGAUACAAUUAAGGAAGGAAUUAAGCAUUGGCACUAGGGCCUUUCAAUCCUGUGACAAUACCAGAAAGCUCAAAAAAAACAGCAUUUUUGCUUGGAGUGGCUUGAUAAACAAGCAAAAAACACGGUAAUUUACGUGUCCUUUGGGACGACGACCACCUUCGAUGAUGAACAAAUCAAGGAGCUGGCAAUUGGGUUGAGAGAAAGCAAGAAAAAGUUCAUAUGGGUUCUAAGAGAUGGUGAUAAAGGAGAUGUUUUCAAUGGAGAAGAGAGAAGAUCUGAACUGCCAAAAGGGUAUGAGAAUUCAGUGGAGGGGAUAGGACUUGUGGUGAGAGACUGGGCACCCCAACUAGAGAUUUUAGCUCACCCGGCAACAGGAGGGUUUAUGAGUCAUUGUGGAUGGAAUUCUUGCAUGGAAAGCAUUAGCAUGGGAGUGCCAAUUGCAGCUUGGCCUAUGCACUCCGAUCAACCAAGAAACACAGUUCUGAUAACAGAAGUCCUCAAGAUUGGAAUUGUCGUUAAGGAUUGGUCGCGGCGAGAUGAGAUUGUAACAUCAAAGAUUGUUGGAGGUGCUGUGAAAAGGCUAAUGGCAUCAACAGAAGGUGAUGAGAUGAGAAAGAGAGCGGCAGAAAUGGGGGAGUCCGUGCGAGGAUCCGUGGCUGAAGGUGGAGUUUCUCGUAUGGAGAUGGAAUCCUUCAUUGCUCAUAUCACUAGGUAAUUAAUUAAAUCCAAUUAAUUAACCCUGUUUUAGUCAUCAUCAUGUGGAAUUAUCAUGGCUAUCAAAUCUGAAUUACAAUAAAAUGAAGGCAGGUAAGUCCAAGAAAUGUUGUCCUUGUACUCGUUGGAUUGUCAUGAAAUUAUAUUCUACUUAUAAAGGAGGAGAAGAAAAUGCAGACUGUUUGAUAUAUAUAGAUUAUACAUUCACUAAGAAUAGUUUGAGCGAUUCCAUCAUAUUUAUGUUGGAAUUAAAGUUUAUAGGAUCUUUCAAUUAAUUGAAUCAAAAGAAACUACUUAAAUGUUGGAUUGGAUGUUUCCAUGUUUAAUCAAGUUGUUUUAACUCGUAGUGAAAUUUUUCUUAUUGACUAGACACAAAGAGAGAGAUAAUAUAAAAAAUUAUUUUACUAUGAGUAGAUUACCCGAAUGUGGCCGGUUUAUCAUGGAAUUUGGUUCUUGUUGUAGAAAAAAUUCAACCAAAUACAAGUACGGUCAUAAAAAGCAAUCCCUGUGCUGUGCCUCUGAGAAAUUAAGGACAAAGGAAAGUGUUUCCCUCUUAAUUAAUUGCAACAAAGAAGGAUAUUCGUCCUAUUGGUCACACAAGCGUUAUAGAACAAAUAAUUUGCGAGGAAGGAAAAGAGUUGACAAAUUCUAAUUGAGAACUAAUUUAACGACUAAUCUACUACAGAAUAACUUGGCUUUAUCUAGCAAGCGCAUAAUUAAUUAAUCUACUUUCGAUGAAUAUUACACAUCAAACAAAAUUAUUGGGGAAAAAAUUCAAUAGCGUAAGAUCAACACACACAUGCAUAUGACCCGCCCACCACUUACCUACACUAUCUUUAAUAUUUUAAAAUUUUCCUUGAUGUUAAAUUAUUAGUUUUAAAAAUAUUGAUAUCAUCUUGGGCAAAAUAAAAUUAAUUUUGCAUUAUUUUCCUAAAUAUAAAAAAGUUAAAAUUACUUAUUUUUUAUUUAUAAAACUUAAUUUUUAACUAUUUUAUAUAUAAAAAUCAUUUAUAAUAACAAUAACAACUAACACAAUAGCAAAGACAAACUUAAGUGGUCAUUGCCGCGCUGCUUGCUUUUUGUUUUGAAAAACGAUGACCAUCCCAAGACACGUUUUACAUAAAUUAACCAUAUUUUCUUAGCUUGACAACCUCAACUUUUGUAAAAUGACGUUUAUUAUACUUUAUGUACUAAAAAAACUUUGGAUGCAACGUAUCUCGUUUGUUGUUUAUGUUGCUAUUUAAUUUUUAACUUUAUUUUGAAAAAAAAAUUGAAAAACAAUAAAAAUAGCAAAAAACCAUAAAAGCCCCAUAAAAAUAUGUUUUUGACGUCUUUACAUUACUUGUAGCAUUUUUUUCUACAUGUUCAGUUGCUAACAUGCUUUUUAAGUCGACAUUGAAGUAGCUCCUUUUCUUUUUUAUAUAUAUAUAGAAAGAAAGAAGUUUACUUGGAGACAACACAAUUAAAAAUAACAAAUUUAUUUACCUAUAAACAUAUAGUUAUAUCACACACAAAAAAGAAGGGAGCCAUUAAAAAAAUCCUUAACCUAUUUUCUAUACACUAGUCGCCACCCACUUUUCUAGUCGAAGCCCCCCUCCACCAUUUCAGCUUUUUCAUCUCCUUCAACUAGCUUCCAACAGCCCAUGGCCAACCCACCAACAGCCUAACCAACAACUAGCUUCCAACAAAACCUUAAUUUAGCCGUCAACCGGUUGUCUCCUCUUAAGACCCACGAUAGACCCAUCGACAACUAAACACACAAAACCAAUAACUCUAUACCGUGAGCCAUAAUAGCCUUAGCCACCAUAAAAAGCCAACCCCCAUUUACCAAAUCACCCCAGCCUCUUCCACCACUAGUUCAACUUCAACUCAUGAAAAGACACCUUUUAUCUCGAUAAAAAUAGCCUCCACAGUAGCCCGGUCAUACGCCACCAAGCAACUCCAGUUCACGACCAAUAACCGCUGCCCUUUUCAACCUCAAUCGUCGGCCAACAUACCUCUCCACUAGCCAUUGACUAUAGCGAACACCAUUCAUAGGCUAAGAGAGGGCUGGAAAAAAAGAUCCCCUAAUAAGAACAAAGAAGGAAACCAAAACUUGUUGUAUGUGUUUUUUCUUUUUUAGGUCUCCAUUGGUGACACCGCCCACAUAGGAAGGGAGAAAAGAAAGAGAUCUUCUGCUGUCAGUAAAAGAUAUAUGUCUGAAAUAAAAUUCAGACAAAUACAUAAUUAUGUGUUAUUUAACUGCGAUGAACUGAGACCUUUUAUUCAAUAAGUAUAUUGCUUAAACUCUAUUAUUAAUGAACAAUUUAUCUCAUAUAGCAUCAUAAACUAACAUAUUAUUGAAUAUCUUAUAGACAACAUUGUCAAUAUUUACUUUCCUAAAACUCACAGUUGACUAAAUUAUAAAUCUUUCGAUUACAAGAUAAACAAUUUUUAACCUAGUUCAGAACACAUGUAAGUACUGUUUAAUUAUUAUUAUCUAUCGGGAUACUUAAUUUCAUUAUACAUUUCUUGUUAACUGUUCAUGGUUGUACUUCAUGUACCAGGUUUAUAAAUUAGAAGGGAAUGGUAGUGUUACUUUGUCUUUACUAAGUUUAGGUCCUGAAAGAAAAGUGAAGUGCAACAACGGUAUUUUAUCACUAGACACAUGUUUCAUACAGAAAAAUAUAGGCAAGGUAGAAAGACAUGUAACAAUAGGAUUUGUGUUAAGGGAUCGACUUCUAAUGAGUUUAAAGUUGACUGUUAUGGGAAAUUAGAAAAAGUAAUUGAAUUGCAGUAUCAUAGCGUGCAAAAUAAAGUAUUUUUAUUUAAAUGUUAUUGGUAUGACACCACUGAUAAAGACAUCAAAGUAGAUUUCUAUCAUGGUUUGGUCAAAAUUAAUUCAAAGGCUAGAACAUGUUAUCGAUUUACUUCAAUUUCCAACGAAUCAACAUGAUUUGGCCAAAAAUAGAUUUCGGUACAGAAACCAAAUAUUAGAAUUUAAACUUAUUAAAUCAUGUUAUUGAUGCAAAUGAAUAAUAGAUUAUUGACUAAUCAAGUCCAAUGAAUAAUUCUGGGUAAAGAAAUGGACAAAUCAUGUAAUUAAGGCAAUGUUCUUCACAAGAGCACGGAGAACAUUACCCAGCUAACAAACCCAACAAACAUGCCCAAAAUGCAGCAACUAUCAAACCUUCAAAACUGAUAUUUUUGGUCUCUAAAGCAUGUUUUAUUUAUCCCAACAGGUUACACUAACAUACACAAACAUAUAUGAAUAAAAAAACACUAGCAAAAAACAUCAAAAAACUAAAAUCAAGCUUAAGAUACUAAAUCUCGAAACAACAAUGACUUAACACAACCUAUAUACUCAUGCAACAUGGAUUCAAAAUUAGCACUCAAAAUUAGCUUUUUGAACCCAUUUUGUACAUGAACAUGCAUAGAAAAGCCAAGGUAAACACCCUUGUAUUAACAUGCAUAAUCUAGGUCAAAAAAACAAACUAAAACAAUAUUAUAUAUCAACAACAAACUUAAAACAAUAAUAAACUAGUAUCAAAACAUAAAAAAAAACUUUAGAAAUAACAACACUAAAUGGGAAACAUAGCAACAAAGUGGUGAAUGCAACAUUAUUUGUUAAGCAUUUUGAAUCUCUUUGUUAUGCUUGUAAACAUAAAUAUAAAAUAAAAAAAAAAUAAAAAACAACUAAAUAAUGCCACAAAGGCCUGAUUUUGGAUUAGAAAUGUAUCUAGGACAACUACUUCUUUUUUUUUCUUUUUUUUUUCAGACCCUUUUCUUUUGAUUUUAAGGGGGUAUUUAUAGGGUUUUUGGGAGGAUUUUGAAUCCAUUCUUAACCCUUUAUCUUAAGGGAAGGGUUGUGAAUCCUUGAUAAGAACCCACGAGAAGCCUUUGGUGUGAAAACAUGAAAAGAAAGCUGGGUUUUUACACAAUUGAGUUUCACCCUGGGAUGACUGAGUUGUCUAUUUUUAAAGCUUCGUCGGAGCAUUCUGACAUCAUCAUCCCUUGUGACCAUCUUAACUUGGUAGAGGGGAUGCAUACCUUUCAUUUGAAUCCAACCUUACUUAAUUUGGGGAUCUAUCAGUCCAUAUUUAUUUGUUUGAAGUUGCUAACCCGAUUAGUCAAACAACGAAAACAGAGGUCUAGUCGACUAAACACCGUGUCGCUCACCUUCUCUUCUUUAAGUUUGAAAGACUCGUCGUUUGGGUGAGAUUAUGGGUUUUAAUUUGGGAUUUGCAAAUUUCAAUUAAGUCUCUGUUCUUUUAAUUGCUCCCCUAAUUGCCUUUAAACUUUUAAUUUCUUGCAAUUUCAUCACUGACAAACUCAACUAUCAGGCUUUAAGUUGGCCGCCUUUUUCAUUUUGAUCAUUGGUUAUUAAGUUGUUCAUUUUAACCCUCAAUUGACCAAACAACUUUUAAUUUCUUCAAUUUGGCCUCUGAUUUGGUUAAUUUCAGCCCUUACAUUCACACUUUUUUUCCAGUUUGAUCCUUGGUUUUGUAUUUCUUCAAUCAAGUCUCUAAUUUCCUAUCAAACUUCUAUAUUUAUGCAAUUAAACUCUUGAUUUGGCCAAAUUAACUCUUAAAAUUUUCAAUUCAACCCUAGACUUUAACUUCUUCCAAUUAAAGCCUAAAUUGAUUUAAAAAAUAAUUUCUCUUGCAAUUAAGCCCUUAAUAAAUUCAAUUAAACCUUGAAAAAUUCUAAUUGAUCACUUAAACAUCUAAUUUUGAAUUUCCCUACUCAAAUUGAAUUUUCUUUGUCAAUAGAGUAUUCAUUAGUGGAAAAUACAUUGUCAAAUUUGUUUAAUUUUGCAUAAUUCUUCUCAGCCAAUCUUUGAUGAUUCCCUGGGCGUUCCUUGACAGAGUUGAUAAGUGUGCUAUAAUUAAAAAAUACAUGAAUAUCUCAUAUGAGAGGAUGAUGAAGUUGUAAUUAGGCUGGAUGAUGGAGCUUCUUCCAGGUGGAGAAGGGUUCAGAUGACCUAGUUAUACGAAGUAGGUCACUGUUGUGUCUUGGUUCUAUAUGUGAUAAUUAUUGAGAGAUUUAUUUUUUCUUCCUAAUUAUAAACUAAUAAAUACUCCUUUCAAGUCCAACAUUCCAGACUAUGAUCAAAUUAUGAAGGCAAGUAUCUUUUUUGAGAAUCAAAUUAAGAAUUAUUAGUAGUUUUGCUUAGCUUAUUAUUUAAUCUCUACGGUUAUUGUUAUUAAGAAUUAUUUAUUAACAUUCAAAGUUUAUGAAAUCAUAAUUCUUUAUACAAUUUAACUAUAAUUUUCAGUUUUGUGAAAUCCUGAUUUUUUUUCCUUGUCGCUAUAUAUAUGUUCCGUCGUAUAUAUAUAUUACAAGCUUCACUAACACAAUUCACAAAUAAACUACUAGAUUAUCCUUACAAAAAAUAAAAUAUAAUCAAGGGAGCAUGCAGGGCAAGAGAGCUUGGAUUACAAGGCCGAAGACUUUAUAAACUUGCUAUUUGGAAGCUAAACACCAAGAGACUUCAACCGUCUACGAGCCUUAAAAAGCUCCCAGCAAUCUUCCCAGGUGUAUGUUUCAAUAAAAGAGAUGCAUCAUUAACAUCGACAACAACUAGCUAGUGCCCCUAUUUAAACCAUAAAUCUAAAUAAAUAAAAAUAUCAUUUAAAUCCACAUUUCAAAUCUACUCUCCAAAAGGUCACCUUCUUUUAGAAAACAUUAACGCUAAAGAAAGAAAAUUUGCUAUAAAUCUAUCCACAUUUCAGUCCCAGUCGCCAGUUGUCGCUGCUGCCUCCAUGGUGGUGAUUGUGGCGGUGGUUGAUGGUGAGCAGGUUUUAUUACAUGAGGAACAAAAAAGCGCGCGGUGUUUUCUUAAAAUUAAAACGAGGAGAGAAACUAUAACCGUUUUGGUCUGUGAUUUUUCCCUGAUGAUUAUUAUUCUGCAGGCCCAUUAGUUUCGUUAAGGAAACCCAAAAGUAGACGAAAGCCCACGAACAGUAGUAGCCCUUUAAAACAAAUUAAAUAACCCUCAGGAUUGCUUCAUAUCCAUCAAAAUUUAGUUCUUUUCCGAAUGAUCUUCAUGAAUACAUCCUUAUAUUAAUUUAAUUUAAAAAAAAAUUCUUGAAUGUGAUUAAGUCCGAAUUGUUUUUCGGUUAUACAAAAAUAUUUUGUUUUUAUUUCAAGUUUGGAUAUCUUCAGUCACAUUGUUUAAUUCAUAAUUAAAUCAUCUUUCCCAAUAAAUCGCAGAUAAAUUAAAUCUCUCUGAACUUUAAAUAUUUUAAUCACCAAAAGAUAACCAUAAUGUUGCAAAGAUUCCUUGACAAAGUGUAUGUCAAGAUAAAGUGUAACGUAAAUUGCUGGAAACAGAGCAUAUCUAUGGUGCUAUUGGUAUGAUCCUGAUUCUGCGACAGGAACUGCUAGAUUUGUUUCAGCUUGCAUGUUAUAACUUCAGUGCAUGCCUGCUGCUUAUGUCAAGGUCAUUUCUCACUUACAAAUUAAAAUCUAAACGUUUUGAUUGUAUUAAGGUUCAUUUGUUCUGAAGUUAUCCUCUCUCUCUAUUGAAUUUUGUUUUUCAGAGGAGGAAAUAUAUAUCUUAAACUUUGAUUGAUCCCCUUCAGAUUGAUGGAAAAUUGUCGAAAAAUUAGUUGCUUAAAUGUUGAUGAAAUAACUUUAAAUAUGAAUGAGUACUUUAAAUAUAACUUUGAUCUAUAUCUUAAACUUUUGAUUCACCCCUUUACAUGCCUGAUGGACAGGAAUAAUUAUGAUCAUUAAUUAGGACCUUGUGUGGUAUGCCUGCAGAAUUCAAGAAACAAUCCUAAUAUUGCAUGAUACAGUAACCUUGUGAGCAUCUUAUUGAUUACAUUUAACUAGACAUAGUUUUUUCUUUUCCCUGCCUUCUUCAAGGAUUACAGUCUUCUUAUUUAAUAUUCUCCAUACAAAUUGGAGAGUAUCCUCCACCACCAUUAUUCUAUAGAGAAAACUUUUUGGCACUCUUUAGUUGAGAUUGAUGUUAUAUUUUGGCUGUUUAUUUGGAGAAAAGAGCCCCCAAUGUUUCUCAAGUUCAGGGUUUUUGUUACUCUCAUCAAACAUGGCAAAAAUAUAAGUUUCUAUAGGCUUUCCAGGCCUCUUUGGGCUUCCUCUCUUCACAUGUUGAACUAAGUUGUUGUUAUAAGUUCUUGCAUUAUCAACCGAUGUUCCUGUCCCUCCAGCCGUUGGCCAACCACUCUCUGAUACCACGAUUUCCAAAGAACCCCCUCCAGAUUUCUCCAAAGCAGCGUAAACAGUGUCAAGAAUGGCAUCGAAGAGGUUUUGGUAACUCAGUGGUGGGUCAGAGACUUGUGGUGAUGAAGCUGUGAAAAGAGCAUAAUCAAGACGAAUGUCUUUUGUGUUACCUGAGUAACUGAAGUAUGGAUACAAGUUAACCAGUAAUGGAGCUUGGUUGUUCACUAAAAAGCGAAUGAUCGGAUCGAGAAGUGGUCUAUGGUCUCCCUUGAAAGAGCCUUUUGAGGGAGGGAAGGAACCAUCCGCUAUGACCCCGUUAUCAAUAGCGGUUGAAACUUUGAUACUUCCUAGUCCAGCUGAAUUGAGUGCGUUGCGAAUGUUUUGCAUGGCAGGAACUAGAAACUGUGCAGAUGAAUCUGAGGGUUUGACCUCAUUUCCUACCGCAAUGUAUCGAAACUUGACAUUGCCAAAUUGUUUUACAUUGUUUUGCACCCAUGCAUUCGCGUUGGCCUGACUGGAAGCAAUCCUUUGAAGAUCCGGAUUUGGAAGACCUAGCAUGAGCUCAAUGUUGGUGCCUUGAAGGGCUCGUAGAGCAUCUUGGUUUGGAUCAUAGAGUCGCAUUCUGCGAAUGCCCCUCUGGUUGUAGAGAGCUAUGACUUCUGAUGGUGGUGGUAAGUUACCAAGCAUUCCAUAGCAAACACCUAUCUGGGCACCUGUAUUGAAAUAUUGUGAUUAUUUAGCUAACCAUAGAUGUUUAAGUUGAUAGCUUCAGUAAAACUGUCAGAUAGCAUAAAAUUAACAUGAUUAUGAGUAUACCUGUUGUAUCUAGGCUAGCUAGUAGGAGCCCAAAGAGUAGCAUUAUGGAAACCAUGGAAGGGCUUCUGCAAGCUAAAUUUGAUCUAGCCAUGCUUAAGGAAAUCACAAUAAACUAUGAAAGAGAGAUUGCAACUGUGUUUGCCAAACUCCCUUUCUUGCCUUCCUUUUUAUAGAGAAAAUGUAUACACCUAGACUUGGUCUUGCUAAGAAUUUUCCCAUUCUUAAUGCCAAAUUCAUUAUACUGUAAACUACUGUGGAGUGUAUAUUUUCCACAAAUUGCAAAUGCUAUUGCUUGAACCAUUCAAUGCACAUCUAACAGCUUUUCUUCUGGGACCUUAUAACUAGCUUUGAAAAGUCUUGAGAGCUAUUAAUUAUCCUUUUGUGGCAGACAAGUCGCAUCCUCUACGGCCUAAAUUUUUCACAACCACAACAAGUUGUUUCACAUAUCUGCAUCAUAUAAGAGCAUUUCCUAGGUAAUUAAUAAACGUUCAGGUUAAAAUUCAUGUGUAAACUCGACAAUUUUCAUCCCUGCGCAACACGGCAUUCUUGACUUAGAGUGAUUGUUUUAUGCUAUGCAGCACAACACUAUAGAUGGUGUUAGGUUUGGAAUCAUUUGGAGCUUAUAAAAUCGAUACCGUUGUGUUCUAAGCCUUAAGACAGACGAAAGAAAUUCUUGUAUAUUCUCUGCUGCUUGGCUCAUUUGAAGGUUUAUUCUCGCUGGGUUAUCAGCGAUAGAAGCAUGUAAAAAUUCUGUGAUUCUAGCCGAGUUUUUACCGCAAAAAAAGAGUCUAGAAUUCAUAUUCUAGUUCCUAAUAGGAGAUUUAGUUUGUUCGCAUCAAUUCGUGUUUCAUACCCCCUGUAUCAUAGCUGUCAUUUCCAAACCAAUUUUCCAUCCUUGUUUGACCACAUGGAAAGCCUCCAUGAAUUUUCAACAGCCCUCUCUCCUAGUGGGUUAAUUAGUGCAUUUAUGGAAACCUAACUUAUAAGGGGCUUGACUGGAAUAUUUUUUAACUUGGAUCAUUUUGUGGUGCAAAAUGAGGUGAUUGCUGUCCAUACAAGAGGCCAUACCAUUUAAUAUCUUCCAAAUUUGCGGAUGUCAACUUCAGUGUGUGGAAAAAAAAAUUUGGAAAAUGUCAUAAACGAACAAGAUUAUGGUAGUGCCGGUUUGUUUUGUUUGUUAAAAAGUUUUUUUUUUUCUUUUUUUUGUCCUCCUACAAUCCUCUCUGUGUAAUUUUAGAUUAGACGUUUCAUUUACGUAUUGAGAACAUCUACCUCUCUACAGCACAAAAGAUUUAUCCCUUCUAAAAUCUUUCAAUGGUGAUGUCGUAGACAUCAUGAAAAUCUUUAAUUAAAAAAAAAAACAAAUAAAUAUUUAUCAUUUUAUUUCUAGAAGGGAUAGGUUUGAUUUAAGGAAUUAUCAUAUAGUAUUAUGAUUAAUAAAAAUUAUAACUGGUUAACAGAAAUUCUAUAAUACUAGACUGAUUAUACAAAGAAGAAAGAUAUUAUCACCCUUUAAAUGUUCUAUCAAAAAUAUAUUGCAUCGCUGAUUUUGUUUUAAAUUGUUAAGAAUUUAUUAUAUUAUGAUAUUGAUGAUAUAAUAUUCAUAACUUAAGUGUUAGUGAAUAAUGAAAUUAAGAAUAAUUUUUAAUUCUAGUGUGAAUGUUCUUAAAUCUGGUCAUUAGUGAAUAUCAAAAGUAUCCUCAACUUUGAUAUUUGUAAAUAUGAAUGUUCCAAACUAUUUUUAAUAAAAAAAUAAUUUUAUUUAUGCACAAUUCAUACAGCAAUGCUAACAAGAAAUAUUUGAUUUAUAUAUGAAUUUUACAAUAUAAUUUAUUUUAUAUUGUGAAGGAAUUUAUAAUGGAUAAAGGAUAUUUAAACUUAUUGAAGCAUAGGGUAAGAUAUGGUUAAGUAUUGAAUAAAAUAUAUGAUAAAAUCAAUUCUUAAAUAAAUUUAAAGUUAAACUAAUGUCCAAACUAAUGUCGUCUCGUUGAUUGUUUUUAGAUUUUCACUAACAUCAUAGAAAUUUGAAUUAAAAUUUAUAUAUAUAUAUAUAUAUAUAUAUUAAAAAAGAAACUAUGUCAUUUGUUUUUAUUUUUCAAGACGGUGGGUACUAUAAAUACAUUGACCUUAAACAUGGGUAAAAUUAUUAUUUUUAUUUACAAAGAUAGGGUUAAGAGUUUUAUUAUUUUGAAAAUUUGGAUAUAUAGGCUUGGUGAGCCUUUUAAUUUCGUUCAAGUUCUAAUAUACUUAAUAAACUGGUUAUAAUAUAAGGUAUAAAAAAUAUUUUUGAGGUUUUUUUAAAAAAAAACUUUUGUGACAACACUGAAACAAAAUUCUAAAAUAUGUAAAAAGGUUUUUUUUUUUUUUUGUAUUCUUUUAUUAUUAUUUAAAAAAAAAAAGCGAAGCAAGUGUUCUUUAGAUAUGCCAUGACGAUUUUUUUUUGUGUUCUUUAGAUAUGCCAUGACGAUUUUUUUUUUUAAGAAAGAACUUGGUCAUUAUAUAUAUAUAUGGGAAAAAAAUGAUUAAAAGAGCUCAUGUUCCCUCCCAAUACAAAGAUAGAUCAUAUAAUCCCUGGCAGUUUAGAAUGGAGUUUUAACUUUCAUCUAACCAAAGUGACAUCAAAUGCCAGAGGAGCUCGGGGUUGGGGCGUCAGGUUGUUGAGGCGUCGGUUAGAGAAGCUUCUGGUGUUUGCUGAGGUGUUGGUCACGGUGGGAACUCCUAGUGUUGUGGCAACAAAUGAUAUUGUGGUGGAGAAGGAUCAAAGGCUGGCCAAGAAUGAGCUGCUUCUUCUUUUUUAUUUUUUCUACAAAAUCCGUCGCUUAUCUCCUAGAAUGGUGAUCUUGUGGAUGAAGAUAGCUACAGCUCAAGUUUUUCCGCUUUUGAUGAGAAGAAAACACCAGCAGUCCUGUCAUUGUUGGACUGUUGAGGAUGGAUCUUCUUCGCGUCACAUGAUAAUCAUGAGGGUGAAGGAAUUGGACCAACUAGUGGGAUUUGUGAUAGACAAUCUAGUCUUCGAUUUGGAUCGGAUUUGAUUUGAUUUGGUGAGAAGAUUGGGUCUAACCGAAGCCAUUUUGGUGGCCUCUUGGGCUGUUUUCCGUAGCUCAAGAGGGAGAACGAAGAAGAAAAUGAACAGUUAUUGAAUAACGUCUCUUUCGGUUUCUGAGGUUAAAUUAGCUAUUUUUCAAUUUGCCUCCCUUGAAAUUCUGAAACCUUACACUCAAGCCCAAAAUUGUCUUUAUCCUUGAGAAUGUUUUUAAUUUCACCCUUGGAGUUAUGCAAUUGGACCCUUGGAUCCCUGCGUUACUUACAAUCAGUUCCCAACACUUCUGCCAUUCCAAUGUCUUUCUUCCAUUUUGCCUUGAGAUUUCACUCCCACAAAAAUAGAUUCAAUAUUUAUCUAUCAAAACCAUAAUUCAAAUCAAUAAUCAAACAAGUUUUGAAAUGAAAAUGUGAAUUUGAUCAGUUAGUUAAUUAAAUACGUGAAUUGUAAUUUUGCCAAAGAAGUACAAGUGUAAAAAAGUUCUUCAUCAUUUACGUCAUCAGUUCUUUUACUUCUUCUGAUGAGAAGUCCCAGUCGCCUGCUGUCAUCGCCGCCUCCAUGGUGGUGGUUUGUAGCGGUGGGUGAUGGUGAGCAGGUUUUAUUACAAGAGGAACAAAAAAUGGCGUAGUGUUUUCUUAAAAUUAAAACGAGAGAAAUCGGAGGCCACCAUAAAAAAAAAUAUAUAGUUUAAAAAAAGAAAACGAGAGAACCGCUUGGUCUGUGAUUUUUUCCUUAAUGAUUAUUAUUCCGCAGGCCCACUAGUUUCGUCAAAGAAACCCAAAAAAAAAAAAAAAAAGCCCCACAAAUAGUAGUAGCCUUUAAAAAAAAAAAACCCACAGGAUUGCUUCAUAUCAAUCAAAAUUUAGUUCUUUUUGGAAUGAUCAUCAUGAUACAUCCUUAUAUUAAUUUAAUUAUUUUAAAAAAAAUAAAUUUUCUUGAAUGUGAUUAAGUCCGAAUUUUUUUGUGGAUAUAAAAAAAAAAUAGUUCGUUUUUAUUUCAAGCUUGGAUAUCUUUAUUUCAUAAUUUAAUCAUCUUUCCCGUUAUAUCGCAGAUAAAUUAAUUUCUCUGAACAUGAUAUAUUUUAAUCACCAAAAGAUAACCAUAAUGUUGCAAAGAGUCGUUGACAAAGUGCAUCCAUUAAGAGGAUUCUUGAUGUUCCAACCUUCUAUGCAUGUAUUUCAACAUAAAUUGCUGGGAAUUGAGCAUAUAUAUUGUGCUAUUGGUAUGAUCCUGAUUCUGCGAAGGGAACUGCUAGAUUGUUUCAGCUUGCAUGUUAUAACUUCAGUGACUGCCUGCUGCUUAUGUCAAGGUCAUUUCUCACUUACAAAUUAAAAUCUAAACGUUUUGAUUGUAUUAAGGUUCAUUUGUUCUGAAGUUAUCCUCUCAAAUCUCUUGAAUUUUGUUUUUCAAAGGAGGAAAUAUAUAUCUUAAACUUUGACUCACCCUUUCAGAUAGAUGAAAAAUGUCGGCAAUGUAAUUGCUAAAAUGUUGAUGAAAUAACUUUAAAUAUUAAUGAGUACUUUAAAUAUUAACUUUGAUCUAAAUUAAUCUUAAACUUUGAUUCACCCCUUUCACAUGCCCUGAUGGACCUUAAGUAUAUGCCAGCAGAAUUCAUGAAACAAUGCUAAUAGUGCAUGAUACUUCGUAAACAUAAAGUAACCUUGUGAGCAUCUUAUUGAUUACAUUUAGCUAGACAUAGUUGUUUUUUUCCCUGACAUUUUCAGUGGAUUACAGGCUUCUUAUUUAAUAUUCUCCAUACAAACUGGAGAGUAUCCUACACCACCAUUAUUCUGCAGAGAAAACAUUUUGGCACUCUUUAGCGGAGAUUGAUGUUAUAUUUGGGCUGUUUAUUUGGAAGAAAGAUCCCCCAAUGUUUCUCAAGUUCAGGGUUUUUGUAAGUCUCAUCAAACAUGGAAAAAAUAUACGUUUCUAUAGGCUUUCCAGGCUUCUUUGGGGUUCCUCUCUUCACAUGUUGAACUAAGUUGUUGUUAUAAAUUCUUGCAUUAUCAACCGAUGUUCCUGUCCCUCCAGCCGUUGGCCAACCACUCUCUGAUACCACGAUAUCCAGAGAACCUCCUCCAGAUUUCUCCAAAGCAGCGUAAACAGUGUCAAGAAUGGCAUCGAAGAGGUUUUGGUAAUUCAGUGGCGGGUCAGAGACUAGUGACGAUGGAGCUGUGAAAAGAGCAUAAUCAAGACGAAUGUCUUCUGAGUUACCGGUGUAACUUAAGUAUGGAUACAAGUUAACCAGUAAUGGAGCUUGGUUGUUCAGUAAAAAGCGAAUGAUCGGAUCCAGAAAUGGUCUGUGGUCUCCCCUGAAGGAGCCUUUUGAGGGAGGGGAGGAAUCAUCUUCUAUGACCCCAUUAUCAAUAGCGGUUGAAACUUUGAUAUUUCCUAGUCCAGCUGAAUAGAGUGCGUUGCGAAUGUUUUUCAUGGCAGGGACUAGAAACUGUGCAUAUGAAUCGAAUGGCCUCACCUCAUUUCCUACCGCAAUGUAUCGAAACCUGACGUUGCCAAAACUCCUUACAUUUCUUUGCACCCAUGCAUUCGCGUUGGUCUGACUGGAAGCAAUCCUUUGAAGAUCCGCGUUUGGAACACCUAGCAUGAGCUCGAUGUUGGUGCCUUGAAGAGCUCGUAGAGCAUCUUGGUUUGGAUCAUAGAGUCGCAUUCUGCGAAUGCCCCUCUGGCUGUAGAGUUCUAUGACUUCUUGUGCCGGUGGUAGGUUACCAUUCAUUCCAUAGCAAACACCUAUCUGAGCACCUGUACAAAAAAUACUGUGAUUAUUUAGGUAACCAUAGAUUCUAAGUUGACAGCUUUAGUAAAACUGUCAGAUAGCGUAAAAUGAACAUGAUUAUGAGUAUACCUGUUGCAUCUAGGCUAGCUAGGAGGAGCCCAAAGAGUAGCAUUAUGGAAACCAUGGAAGGGCUUCUGCCAGCUAUAUUUGAUCUAGCCAUGCUUAUGGAAUAAACUAUGAAAGAGAGAUUGCAACUAUGUUUUCCAAACUCCCUUUCUUACCUUCCUUUUUAUAGAGAAAAGGGAGCCCCACAUCAUCAACAAACUCCUAUUAAUUGAUAUAUUCUUUAAUAUAAAAAAUAUAUACUCCUAGGUCGACGACUUGCAUCUUGCUGUGGAUGGAUACAUAAGAAUUCUCCAAUCCAUAGUGCCAAAUUCAUUGAACUGUAAACUAACUACUGUGGAUCGAUGGAUAUUUUCUACAAAUUGGAAAUGCUAACUUGAACCAUUAAUGCACAUCUAAACAGCUUUUCGACUGGGACCUUAUCUAUACAUAGCUUUGAAAUGUCUUAAGAACUAUUAAUUAUCCUUUUCUGGCCGUCAGUUUCCUCUAAAAACCAGACAUUUUAGUCGCAUCCUGUACGGCCUAAAUUCUUCACAGCCACUCCAAGAUGUCUCACAUAUCUGCACCAUUUAAGAGCAUUUCUUAGGGCAAUUACUAAACGUUCAAGUUAAAAUUCAUGUGUAAACUUGACAAUUUUCUUCACUGCAAAACAUGCCAUUUUUUGUGGCUAGGCCGCACAAACACACGUACCCUAAUUAGAGUUUGCUUACUGGAAACUUAUUUUCACUUGGAUUAUUUUGUGUUGCCAAAUGAGAUGAUUCCUAUCCACAUUAGGGAUUCCAACUUGACUCGGAGGACAAAAAAUUGAAGGAAAAUGUCAUAAACCAACAAGAGUAUGGUAGUGCUGGUUUGUUUUUAUUUAGAAAAAGUUUUUUUUUCUUUUAUUAUUUGCUUUUUUUUUAGUCCUCAUACAAUCCUCUUUUUGUAAUUUUAGAUUAGACGAUUCAUUACGUCUCGACAACAUCUGCCUCUUACAGUACAAAAGAAUUAUCCCUUCCAAAAUCCCUCAAUGGUGUCAUAUUGCCUCUUCUGGCUGUAUAUAUAUAUAUAUAUAUAUAUAUAUAUAUAUAUAUAUAUAUAUAUAUAUAUAGAAAGUAUUUGGAAAUGUGGUUGUUAUUGUUUUUUAAAAUGUUUUUUAUUUAGAAAAGAAUGUUAAUAAUAUUUUUUUUAUUUAUUAAAAAUUAUUUUUAAGAUCAGCACAUCAAAAUGAUUUAAAAACAUCAAAAACAUAUUAAUUUAAAGUAAAAAAAAAUAAAAAAAUUUCAAAUUUUUUAAAAAAUGCUUUUGAAAAGCACUUCUAAACAGACAUAGAGUAAAUGGUUCCCUUGCAUGUAGGUGCGUUUCUUUAAUAUGAUUAUAAAUUAAAAAAAAAAAAAAAGCGUUGCCCCACAUCCAUAAAUUGCUAGUGAUUGUUGUGUAGUAAGAAAAUGGCACGUGUCUAAUACAGUAAGCAAAUUGCCUUCAAGGCAUGACCAUCCCAUGCAUAUGUUUGUUUGAAUUUCUCCAUUUUUAAAUAAAUAUUAUAUGGUUUUACGCAAUGACGGAGCUAGAAUAUUUUAAAUGAGGAACAAAUUAAUUAAUAAAUACUAUAUUAUAUAGAUAUACAUUAAAAAUAAAUUCAAAACAAAUAUACUAACUCAUAUAAAGCAAAAUUAAUUUAGAAACAUUUUUAAAAUGAAAAAACUUAUAUUAUAAUUAUUCUCUUUAAGUUUUCAUAAUAACAAAAUUCAAUUCAAUUAUAUAAUAAUUGUAAAUUUUUCAUAUUAAAUUCAUAAUAAACUACACAUUAAUUCAUCAAAACCCAUUUUACACCUCAUGUUAUACAUAACGCAUGGAUAUAGAUUAGGAUUGAUAGUUUAAAUUUAUCAUGAUAAAUCAUUUAAAAAAAAAAAAGUCUUUCCUUUUUUAAGAAAAAACCAACAUUUAAUUUUGCAAAUAUCAAUUUUUACUCACUAACAACAAUUGAAAUAUUUGCUUAUUUAUCUCGUGAAAAAAAUUAAUUUCAUACUAUAAUCAAUUUAAUUAGAAAUAAUAUAAUCUUUAAUUAAUUCAAAACAAUUAAAUCAAUUUUUAUUAUUAAAAAAAUAAUUUAAAACAAUCAAAAAAAAUUAAAGAGGCAAUUGUCCCUUUAAUAUCUUAGGGUGCUCCGCCACUAGUUUUACGUGUAUAUAUAUUCUAAAUGAUAAUAUGAUUUUAUCAAUUAAAGAAUGUAUAUUCACUUCAAGUUGCGAUGAGCAGAUGCUCGAGAACGAUACUGCCUUGGCAGUUUCGAUCCAUGCCAUAUUAUUGUGUGGAAAAACGAUCAAAACUUCGGCUCAGAAGAAAUCUUUUUAGGUCAAGCAAUCACUGAAUUUAACCUAUUGAACUCGGAAACAUGGCCCAUGGCGGCUAAGGUAAUGUUUUUUACUUAUAUGACAAGCACAGAUCAUGAUAGACUUGGGCUGUAUUGUUUUUAGUUUUAAAAAAUAAAAAUAAAUUAAAUAAUAUUAUUUUUUGAAAUAUUUACAAGACAAAAACACUUUAGCAAAGAAACACUUUGAAAUAUAAUUUCUAUACACACUAAAUAAGAGAAAUCAAUUGAAGACUCGAAAAAUCCGGUGUUAAAUUAACACAAGAAAUGAUUAAUUAAAAGAAAAUUGUUAUACAUUGGCGUACAGAAGUGGCCGGCAACAUUAAUGCUAGAUGCAGAUUUAUAUUAAAGAGAGCAAGCCAAGAGUGAUGAAUCGAGAAGCAUGUCUGAGAAAAUUACAUUAAUGUUUAUAACUAAUAAUAAUACAGCUUUGCAAUGGAAGAAUGAUUGAUCUUAAAUUAAAUUGCAAUCGAGUUCGUUGCAAUUACUUGACUAAUUCUCUUAAUACAGCACAUGAAAGCCAGAGAGGUACAAGCAUUGAUGAACAAGACAGACUUUGAGGGAAAGCUAGGCUUGCGUAAUCUUCCCUGAAUAACUUGUCAACCUCGUAUCGGAGAAAUGGUUUUCCUAUCGUUUACCAUCUCAUGUGCCCCAACUGGAAAAGAUCUUCUGUCAAUGCAUCAAUGCACAGUUAAUUUUAACACCUUCUUCAGGUCUCACAAAUAAAGCUCCAGUGCCACUGAUUAUUCAAUUUUUUAUGUGGCUAGUUUCCCAGUUUAUGCAGCUAGAAGCCGAUUUGGAGCCACUUCUGUUUCGAUUUUACCUGAUUCCUUUGAGCAAAUCAUUUGUCUCUCACGGUUCCAUCUUCCUCUGAAAUAUUUUUUCCCUUAAUUUUGCAACUAUUUGAUCAUGAACCCCUUCAUUUUCCAUUAAGUACUGUUCAGCUACACGUUCAUUGCGAAAUACCCUUCUGCCAAUGACAUAGCUGCUUCCUUCUUUCUUGAUGAGACUGUGCUCGCAAGCUAAUUCUAAGACCUCAGAUUCUGAGCAAAAGCCUCUCCCAAACUGUAUCUCAAGUUCAGCUUUCGUCAUAGCAGGAGCCAAUUUAUUUUUCACCACUUGUGCACACACCCCAAGACCGGUUAUCUGAAAAACAUAGCAUUAUUUAACAGAGCAAAACAGCAACAAGAACGUGAAAGACUUGAUCAAUCAGUUCAAGGAAACUAACAAUAAAAUUUUUUAUUAUUAACUAACACAAAAGCUUGAGAAUGAGGAAAAAUAUGAUAGAAGGUAAAUUGGAAAGGAAAAGAAGAGUGAAAUUUAAAGCAGGGAACACAGAUCAAUCAAGGUAAACAAGAUAAAGGACAAACAUGACGGAAAGUAUGGAAAUUCAUACAGAAUCCUAGACCAUUAUAAGCCAACAAUAUCUUAUUUGUCCAUCUACAAAUUUAUCACUUGUAUACAAAGCUUAGAAACUCCACCAGAUUUUCAAGCAAAUAUUAAAUAAAUAACCACAAUUAGGUACUUAUGCAAAGAACACAUCUCUGAGGAACAUGACACUGGAAUUUAUUCAGGUCACAUGUUAGCAAUGGCGCUAAAGAAUAUACCCUGUCCUCAGUCUUGAGCAGUCUUGUUCUGAUCAUUCUCAAACGCACAGCUGAAUAGAAUUUCAAGGCAUUUCCGCCACAAGUAACCUCUUCUGCACGCCCUGAUUUUAAACUUUUUCUAACCUGGAUAAAGACAACAAUAACAAUUGGUGAAUAUUAUUUUCCCCAUAAGUUACUGUUUACAGCAUCCGUACAGAAUAUUUGAAAUGUUUUAGCAGGAAGUCUAGAACUCAACCUGAUUAAGAAAAAUAAUGAGAGUUUGUGAUUGGCAUAAUGAAUAAUUGAUCUUUCGUAGUGCUUGGGUCAUUAAUCGUGAUUGUAUAUCUUCAAAGGUGCCUCCUACCACAGUAUCAAUCUCAUGUUGGGGGACAAGUGCAGCAACCUGUUAACAAAAGGCCUGGAACGGUAUCAAGAACGAUGACUGAGAUAAAAUAGAAAAGGACAAACAUAGAGAUCCACAAGUGCAAUUUAUAAGGGAUCAAAAAGCUACAACAAAAGGUUACAAUAACUUUUGAUAACAGGGCAAGGUCAUGGACACAAAGAUGUGUGUGUGGGAGUGUCGGCUUGAGAAUUAAUUACUUACACUAUCCACCACGAUAACAUCUACAGAACCACUUUUAGUCAGAGUAUCGACUACACUGAGCAAAUUUUCAGCACAAUCUGGAUGUGAAAUAAGAAGAUUUUCUGUGUUUAUGCCCAUUGAUUCAGGAAGUAAAGGGUCCAUUGCAUUCUCUACAUCAAGAUAUGCACAAUAUCCUGACAAAAAGACAUUAUAUGGCUCAGAUUUAAAUAGGAUAUAAUUAUUUUAACCACAUGGGCAGCAAAAGCAUCUCGAAAGGCCAAAUACAAGUAAAAGAACAUGACAAGAUCAAUAUAAUAAUAAGUAGAUAACUGAUUAAUAGAAAUAGAAAAUCUUCAAAUAUAUCUUACUGUUGGUAGCUUCUAGUGUAUAAAGAUGAAUUUUUUAGCACUAAGAAUUUUGCUAGCUUCUGGCGUAUGAUGGCUAAUAUACACAAUAAUGUUUUACUACUAAGCAGUUUAGCCUUUUUUAUUUGGCCAUCCUCUGUCACAACCAAAGAUAAUGAAGAAAAUUAUUUGCUUCUUUCUUGUCUAAUUUAAGAUAUAGGAGAUGGUGGUAACUAAACGCACAGGGUAAGAUCACUUAAGUGCAUACAUCUAUCCAUCCAUGUCUCAUUCCCUUUCUACAAUUAUAAACAUCUCUCUAUCCAUCUAUCCAUGUCUUUGGGUGUGGGUGUGGGUGUGGGUGUGUGGGUGCAUUUUACAUGCAGAGAUAAAAUAUAUCUAUCUAUUAAUGUACCUGGUUUGGGUUUAGGUGUGGGUGUAUAAUCAUAUAUCACACACAGAGAAACUAUAAAGUUAUUUACUUGGCAAAUGAGAAAAGUUUCAGGAACAAUGGUGCAACGGUGAGAAUUUUUCAGCAAAAGUUUUGGAAAAGGAAGAAAAAAGGAAUGUACAUUGACUGUAAAAUUCAAGUGAUUUGGCAUACUGUAGCAUCAACUAAUCUUUCUGACAAAACUAACAAGUUCAGUGUCAAAAACAACAAAGUUGACAGAAAAUGACAAAAACACUCCAAAGAAACAUGAAAACCUUCAUAGAUAAAGUUAAAAGCACAUUAUGAAAAUCCUACAACACGAACUAGAAACCAAUAUAAACCUAUACCCAAGUUAUCAAGUGUGCAUUUCCUUGCACAGUUGCAAGAAAAAAGAAAGUGGAAUCUAGUGAUAAAAAUGCUUUCCAUCCUGUAUAAAACCAAAAUAUAGAGUAGUUCUGCAGUUUCCUGAGCUGCUGGUAACAAAAGACAAGGAAAAAGGUUACUCUAUGUGUUCCUAAAGAGCCUUCCUGAAAAUGGAAAAUGCGCACAGAUCAUGACAAAAUACAGAUGAAAGGCUAAGCCUAGUGGAACAUAGGUGAUGAAUCUAGUGAUCAUUAACUAACCAGUAACAGGGAAGAAGUGGGUGAAAUGGAGAGAAAAAAAUGACUUGAUAUCAGGACAGUUAUUUUUCAUAACAAGGAUUAAUAACUGAAAUUGGCAAAUGAAACCUCAAGUCAUCAUAUCAGAGUGCCAAAACCUAUGAAUAUUUAGCAAGGAUUUUAUUAUGCAGUGCUCCAAUAAAAUUAAUCUAAGGUUUUGUAAUCCAUGUAAGGGGUCUGAUUUUCAAACUGCAACUAAUCAAUUAAAAAUCUAACCUGAUAUCCUUGUUAGGGUUAUGCAUGCUAACUUUCAUAAAAUGUAAAACAGAAAGCAUGACAAAUCUAGUAGCACAUACCUCCGAGUUUUUGAGCUUCCUUGAUAAUAUGAAGUGCAAGAGUUGUCUUGCCAGAAGCUUCUUUCCCAUAGAUUUCAACCAUUCUUCCCUGCAGAGUGCAAGGCAGAUUUCUAACCAAAGUUGUCUUGAGGAUUUUUCAAAAUUCAUGGCUCAACUAAAAUGUCUACGAUCAGAUCAGGUAGACAUUCAUCACAAAUCAAUUAAUAUACAAAUGCUAGAUUUGAAGCUUCACGUUAUCUUCACAACUGUAGUUGCUAUCCCAACAAUCACAAAGGCUCAGCAUUGAUAAGCAUGCCAUAAUUUAGUUCCUUAGCAAUCCAUCACCAUGGUCCCAAAAGCAAAUGACACAACAAAGGAAUAGAAUGAAUACACCUUAAUAGCAAUCCAAAGAAUAUAACGUGGAACAAACAUGGUAGACAAAACUGAAAACCUAAUUUAAACUAACAGCCACGUUUUAUAACCAAAUCACCUUCGGUAAUCCACCAAUGCCAAGUGCAAGAUCAAGCUUCAACGAGCCUGUUGAUAUUACAGGAGCCCUUCGUGAGUUGAAAAACCGCUGCAAUGACAACAUAGACUCUCUACCAAAUUCACCAGCUAGCUGUGUGAGAGCCAAACGAAGUGCAUUAUCUUUCUGUUUUGCUUCACCAUCAUCAUGGAGUUCAUCAGGUUCAAAAUCUGAAACUUCAUCGAGCAAUAAAAAAUCAUUCUUAAACUCACUAAUCAAACCCCAAAUCCCUCACUCAGCACCAAUCAAAUAGUAUCGCGCUCUUGCAUACAAUCCUGCAAGUGAAUUUACAGAAACUGAAAAUAGCAAAAAAGUGACUGAUUACCUACAGAAGAAAGACUAUGAUCAUUCCUUCCAGUAAAAGUGGUUGCGUUUCUUCCAUUCUGCCCAAAAAAAAAAAUUGUCACCAACAAAUAAAAAAAAAUAUGACAUUAUAAUAAAGUAGAUAAAACAGAAAACCAAAUGAAAAGGUACCAAAAACCCAGUUCAAAAACAUCUUCAAUUGGUGAAAGAAAGCAAGGACUUAAGAAUCCUUGAUAUUUAGCAAGAUCAUGAGCAUAUCGUGUAUAACACAUAAUGCUACAAGCUUAAAAAUUGAAAAUAGAGCUAAAGAGAAGAAAUAGGAAGAGAAGGAACCUGAUAUAGAGAAGGGAGGAGAGAGGAAAGUCGAAAUCUUGCGAAGGAAUUGAAACGAUGUGAUUGAAUUGAAAGUACCAUUUUCCCCCUUUGUUAGGGUUUUAGGUUUAUCAGUCUGUUGAUUUUGGGGUCUCAGAUUUUAACUAUUGCUUGCCAACUGUUGUUUCUGUAAAUUUAUUCCUUUCAUUUAUUUUAUUUAUAUAUAAAAAAAAAAAGAUAUGCAAUUUUUCAUUCCUAAAACCUUCUCAAUUAUAUUUUGCAAAGGGUCUUCUAUUUUAUUUUAUUUUUAAUUUUAUGUAAGGGUCUUUUAUUCUUUACUACUAUCAUAUAAGCCCAAGCUUUUAAUUAUUAUUAUAUAUAUAUAUAUUAUUAUGAGAUUGCCUUUUUUAUAUAUAUUGGUCUUAAAUAAGUCAUGUUUAUUGAUGAAAAAAAUAGCAUAUUUAGAAAGGAAAAGGAGGAACAAUGGGAAAUUUUAUUAUUUUUUGAACUGGAUUUCGUUUUCGAACAACGUAUUCAUUAAUAAUUGCGAGCUUCGGUUCUUCAAUUGGUUCCUCGGAACCGGAGCAAGUAACUUGUUCACUAUGAGGUGAUGUUUUGUAUAUCCUCGAAGAAAUUCAAUUGUUAGAUCUAUUGAUUGAUGCCAAUAGCAUUUAUUAUAACAAAACUAAAUAAAAUGAAAAUGAAAUAGUAGAUUAUAUUUCAUUGUGAAUUGGAAUAGUAGCUUUGCUUUUAAUUUUUUAUCUUUUCACAAGCAAAUGAAUAUUUUUUUUAUUUUCUUCCACAUGACAAUUAGGUUUUUCUAAUUUUCAAAUACAAGUAAAUAGCAUUUUUAGCUUUAGAAAAACAAAAAAAAAAGCUUUAUCUUUACAGGUAUUUUGAUAUUUUUACAUAGAUAUUUUAUGUAAUUAAAAGGAUCAUGAGGAGUGUUUUAGUAGUAUUUUCAUGUUGUGUUUUGUAUUUUUUAAUUAAAAAGCUGCUGGAGCGUGUUUCACAUGCCCCAGUAAGUGAGUGGCACCCGCGCCAUUAAAAAGGAGUGUGAGACACUUUUCGAUAACCAAAAUUUCUUAUCCAUUGUAUAACAAGAUGUGCAAUUAUGCCCUCUUCCACAUAAAGUGACGCUUAUAAACAUAUCAUGAUUGGAUUAUCAUUGAUGAUCGAUUAUUUGAGUUUUUUUUUUAUCUUUUCUCUCUCAUUACAACUAUAAUGCAUUAUUGUCCUUUCUUUGUUGUUGUUUGUUUGAGUCUAGCAUGGGUUGUCAUACCCAAAAACCUUGGGUCUGGCAACCUUGUGUGAUGUCAGACCUAGGUGAUUGAGUCUAAUAUUCAUGUCUGGCUCAAGUUUAGUUAGGUUUAGUAAUGUUUCAGACCCAUGUUACUUAAAUCUGACAAACAUGACUCCUUAAUAGUAUAGGUGCCACCCAUUAGCUGAAGAAGAAAAGAAGGCAAAAGAAAUUUCUCACAAAAAGAUAAAAUGUAAAAUUAAAAGUGAAACUACUCUUACAAUUUACAUUGAAAAACUUAUUAAUGUAUAAUGAUUUCACAACACUAUUUAGCUUUUAUUUUAAUAACUAUGUUACAGAGUACGAUAUUUAUUCUCUAAUAAAUUAAGAUAAUAUAAGUAUCUUCUCUUUUGGUGAAAUACAAGCCAAUUAAGAAAAAUUAAGGAAUCGUUUGAUAUUAUUUUAAUUUAAUGUUUUUUUUUAAUUUAAUAUUAUCUUCCUUUUCUUUUACCUUUGAUUUUGUUUUUAAUUUUAACUUUUUUAAAACAAAAGAGUUGUUUGAAUGGUUAAAGAAAAGAAAACCUAGUCUCAUCGUAUAUUCGAAUAAGAAGAACAAAUGUUCUUAACAAAGCUUAUCUUUUAUUUUAUCUCGACUUAAUUUUUAAUUAUAUUGAUCUUAACCGAUUCAAUAUUAAAUUAUUUUUUAUUUUGUCUCGACUCAAUCCUUAAAGUACGGUACUUACCUUUUAUUUUGAGCUAGUUUAGUAUUGUGAUGGUCAUUAAUUUUUAAAGUAUUUUUUAAUUUAAAAAUAUAUUAAAAUAAUAAUUUAAAAAAUGUUUUUGUAAAACAAAAAUAAAUGAUCUCUUAGCCAGAUCUUUAACAGGCCCGAUGCAAAACUUACUUGGCCCAUCCUAGGAACCCUCACCUUGGCUUUCAAACUCGAUCUUGGCUGACUCUUGGAUGUUUGGGACUUGAUCUACCCAAAUUCAAGAUGUACAAGACUCGAUCCUAGCCACCCAUCAUGUCCCUGAUUUAGUCCCAGCCUAAUCUUCAUGUCUUAGAUCAGGUCUCGGUCUGACACCCACAUGCUCUAGAUAUAGUCACAACCCCUACCUUAGAGCUCCAGACCUGAUUUUAACCCGAGUUCAACGAGCUAGGAUUUAGAUCUGUUUGUUUUUGCAUUUUAAAAAUAUUUUUAAAAAAAUUUAAAUUUUUUUAUUUUUUUCUUUACUUCAAAUUAAUAUAUAUUUUUUAGUUUUUUAGAUUAUUUUAAUGCACUGAUGUCAAAAAUGAAUUUUAAAAAAUUAAAAAAAUAUAUUAUUUUAAUACAUUUCUAAAUGAAAAACACUUUAAAAAGUAACCAUAACCACACUCUCAAACACACUUAGGAAGCGUUUGGGAACGCGGUUGAAACCGCGUUCCCACAAAAUUCUUUUUUUUUUUUACUAAAAUUUAAUACGGUUUGUACGUUUUGAUGUGCUGAUGUCAAAAAUGAUUUUUAAAAAAUAAAAAAAAAUCAUUGGCAUGUAUUUUAACACGAAAAGUUAUUAAAAAAGCAACCACUACCAUACUGCCAAACAUACUCUUAAUCGAGACCUAAUCCUUAAUUACUUUGGUCAAUCUUGAUCCCAAAAGCCUUGUAUAUAGCCCCAACCCAACCCUACCUUUUCUAACUCGAUCUAGAUAUAAGGAUGGCUUAAUUCAUAAAUUUUAGGUUAAUAGUGUAAAAAACAAGUUUUGGGAACUUUUAGAAACCUUUUUUUUUCAGUGAAAACAUGUCAAUUUUUAUUUAUUGAUAAACAAAAAAAAACAGAAAUUACAAGUGGAUGAUCUAAUUCGGUAACCCUACUAAGAGCCCCAUUUUAUUGUAGUAUAACAGAAAAUCUUCUCCAUUUGGAGGCGAUUGUCAUAACAGCAACGGAAUUGUAUUCGACAUGUUCUAAUGAAGGUAAAUUAUUUAUUUAGUCCCUAUAUUUUUAACAAAGUAAUUAGUUAGUUCUUCUAUUUGAAAAGUAAUUUAUCGUAUCAAUAAAUAAAAAUUAUCUAACUUUAUCGUAUCAAUGAACAAAUUCCUUGAAGUUGAUCUAGCUAGGUUUCACCUAGAUUUAGUCUGAUUAGCUAGAUCAUGAAUUAUCUUGUUAAAUUAUCUAAAUUUAAUCAAAUCAAUAUCCAUUCAAAAGAAACUAUACCAAAGCUAGAUUACAUAUCAGCAUGGUAGGUUAUCUCCUCCACGUAGCCCAAUAUACUUUCAGCGUUAAAAAAAAAAAAUCCAAGGAUUCAUUUUAAUCUGGCUGGCCAAUUUCCGAAGAAAAAAGACUUCUAUAAUAUUUUUAAAAUCUUUAAAGUUUCGUAUUAUAUCUUUUCCUCAAUUAUCAAAUAAUAAUAAUGUUAUUAUUAUUUUUUCUUCCUUCAAAAUUAUAUCUUCCUAAAGGAGCAACUAAACAAAAUCAAACAGCAAAAAUCAACAACGACAAAUUACUAAAGAUCUGUAGAAGCAAAUAAUCAAAUGGUUAAAGCAAUGAAGAGCUUCUAGCUAAGUUCUAUUGUUCAAGGUAAAGAAAUGAUAGCUCGGAAAAAAUGAUAGAAAUACAUAGGCACAAAGAAACGACAAAUUACCUUGACUACCUUAAUAGAAGAGCAUAUAUUAUUACAUUAAAUCUAGUAAAAAAAAACAACUAAAGAAAUGGACAGCAAAAUCUGUCAUCUCAUUAAGUACCACAACAUUUGAGAAAAAUAUGAAAAAACUGCAAUCAAAUUACUACUUGAAACACGGAUUAAUGCAUUGCCCCCAUUCCCCGUUUAUGGAUGAUAAAAUUACACUGAUAAUCAGUACAUUCAAGGGCCAAGUCAUCGCAAGGCUCACCACAUGCAUGGCACGCAGGGUAAUCGUCUGUUUUUUCAACCAAAGCGAGAGGGUGAGGGUGGAUGUCGUAUGUGUAACUGCCCCCUAGCUUGAUAAAUGGAUUUUUCCCAAGAACGCAUUCUCGAUGAGCAUCAAAGUCACAUUCUUCACAACGGUAGAACCAGAGCUUUGGGUCUCUUUCUUUUUCACAAAUUUGACAGACAUAUUGGUAGUCAUUUGGAUCAAUAUAGGUGAGGAAGAGAGGAUGUUCAUCAUACCUGUGUCUCGCUUUAUCUGGCAGAGUAGCACAUUUAAAAUCCAGGUUGAAGUCACAAACAACGCACCUGAAUGUUUGAGACUCUCCACUAACACUACAGCCACUGCAAUGACGAUUCUCACUCUCCACGGCAAGAUAAAGGGGAUGCUCAUGACCACCAUGUUCAAUGGAAUCUUUUGUUAAUUUGAAGCAUCGCACGUCGAGGAAGCGAUGGCAUCUAUCGCAGUUGUAGCUGAAUCCAUAACAAUAUUGCUCACAAAUAGCACACUGGAAUGGAUCUUCCUCCCAUGUGUUCAAGAUGAGUAUCAGAGGGUGUCUGUCAUACUGCCAAUUUUUUCCUAGGCAAUCCUAUGCAGGCUUUGUCUAGAGAGAAAUUACACUUAGUGCAACUAUAAAAUGGAGUAAAAAUUGGUAACAUGCACCCGUCACACUUUGGAUCAUUGUUAAACUCGUCAAUGAGGAUUAGGUUAUGUUGAUGACUGAAAUGUUUGAUCUCUGCAAUUAUUCUUUCGUCUCCAUGCUUGAUCUCACGGACAACAUCAAAGCUAGAUUCCUUGAAUUCAUCAUUCAUAGUUAUACUUCUCUCAUCUCCAUCGCUCUCUGUAUUAGAUAGACGAUAUUGUAUACCACAAAUCACAUGUGCAACAAAGUCGCAAUCUUGGCAAUAAUAAACUCCAUAAUCUGUGUCAACUCCAUCACGACAAAUUCCACAGUACUUGUUUCUAGAGUCACAUUGUUCAAGAUAAUAGGUGUGGAUUAUUCGAGGAUGCUGGUGAAUACGCAAUUUAAUGGAGCGAGGAAACGAGAUGCAAGUUUUGUGGACUAUGAGCUGACACAUGGUGCACACGAAAGGGGAGUCAUCUCCAUCAGUGCCACAGGCAUUGCAUGUGAAAGAGACGAUCUUCAACGGAAGCGACUUUGGUAGACAAAUAAAUUGAUGUUCCUGACCUUCAACUUCCAAAAGGCACGGUGGAAGAGCACAUUUGAUAUCAAGGUUAAAAUUACAGAAAGAACAACGGUAAACAAAACUCUUGCAGGUUUUGUUGCACAAAUCACACAUCCAUUUCCUGGUAUGAUGAGCUGGUGGAUUUGCUAAUAGAUGAAGAGGGUGUUGAGGGUGCAAGCACCGCUUGAUCUCCUGGGGUAGCUCAGUACACUUUUUGUGAAGAAAGAAGUUGCAAGAUGUGCAUCGAUAGCUAGGACCCGAUAUUGGUUCAUCGCACCCAGAGCACAUAACUCCUUCAACAUGGAAUUCUUGCUCUUCAUUCGAAAUCAAUGAAUGAUCUAUGUGAGCAAAUUGAUGUGCCUGACCAUCAACUUCAAAAAAACACUGUUGAAAAGCACAUUUGAUAUGAAGAUCAAAUCUGCAGACAGAACCAUGGUAAACGAAACUCUCGCAAGUUUUAUUGCACAAAUCACAAGAGCAUCCCAAGAUAUAAUGUGACGGUGGCUUUGCCAAUAGAUGAAGAGGGUGUUUAAAAUGAAUGUGCCGCUUGAUCUCACGGGGCAGCUCGGCACAUUUCUUAUGAAGAAAGAAGUAGCAGGAGGUGCAACUGUAGCAAGGACCCCAGAUUGGUUCGUCGCAUCCAGAGCAAAUAACUAGUUCACCACUAUAUUCUAGCACUUGAUUAAUCAAGAUCAAUGGAUGAACUGGUGGCUAAAAUGUUCAACCUCCAUUUCACUCUCUCUUGAGCAGGUACAGAGGAGACUUGAGAGUUAGGAGACCAAAUUCAGUUCAAUAAAGGUAAAGUCGCUGAAAUGCAUGAAAUUGGAAAAGCCAGUAAAAUUUUUUACCAGAAACUUGACUUUUUCACUGACGGCUAAGCAAAACCAAAUAGAGAGAAAUCCAUUUAGAUCGGAGCUUACAAAGGCAUCGAUCAACUGCUGAAGAUCCAUUUUUCUUACUUCUUGCUAUCAUUCGAAGGCUAUCUGAAACAGAGUCAAAAACAAAAUUCAUUCAAAAGACUCAAAAUUCAAAGAAUCCCAGAGGGAGAAGGAGGCGUGGUCUGUCACAAAAUAGAAGAAGGUAGGAAUGGGUAGAUGAUUAAUCGAUGCAUCGGAAAUCCAUAGGUGCCUCCAUUUGUGCUGAGGAGAGUGAGUAUCUGUGGAGGAGAAGAAGCCCAAAGGUUCGGUCGAAAUAACUUUGAAGCUCUCUACAUAAUUAGAAAGGCAGUUUAUUUGUACCAUUUUGGACUUUUCCUUUUAGAUAAAACUUAAAAAAAUAAAAUAAAAAUCAACGUUGUAGACAUGUUCGAUAUCAUUAAUUUUUUUUAGUUAUAUAAUAAUAAUAAUUAAAAUUGAUAUUCAUAAGAUUAAAAUUAUGUACGAAAAUGUGAUUUUAGCCCAUAUCCUCCUUUUCUUAUUACUGUAUUUUUUUUUCAUAAAAACUUAUUUUUUUUAUUAGUGGUGUGGUUAAUUGAGCAAAAACUAAAGGCAAUUGAAAUAAAUAUACAGAAAAUUGUAAUGAUUUGAAAUAUAGAGGAAAACAUAUAUCUUUAAAAUCAAAAUUUCAUUCCCUUAUUCAUCUGUUUUUUGUUUUAUAAAAAAAUAUAUCUUUUUUAUUAGAAAUAUUUUUUAAAUAAAAAAUUACAAUAAUCUUAAAAUCAAGUUUUAAUUAAAAAAAAUCAUGAAUUUAUAAUUGUGGCGUGAAUGCAUUACAAAAUAUAAGAAUAAUAAAAUUUAAAAAGUAUCAUAUAAAAAUCACAAUAAAAAAAUAAAUAUUUUAUUUGCAUUUAAUAUUCAUGAGUAAAUAUCUUUUGAAAUUAUACAUAUUAGAUUCAUAUGUAUUUAUUCAAAAAGAAAUUGUUAAAAAAUAGUAAUAUUAUUUAAAAAUAUUGAUAUAAUCAAAUAAUUAUUUAAAUAUUACUUAAAAAAAUUUAUUUAAAAUAAUAUUAUCAUCUGCAACUUUCUCUGGUCAACAGAAGUUGCACCAGUGAUUAAAAAACCAAAGUUCAAUUGCAACCACCUUUUACUAAAAAAACAUAAAAGCAACACUUGAACAUUGAAAACCUCGAUUAACCAUAAAAUACAUUUUAAUAAGAUUAAAAACUCAAAAUCAUUAACUUAAAAAACUUGUUGAAAAUAUUGAAUUCUGCUUUUAAAAAUAAAGCCAUAGACACAAUAUUAUUUGUAUAGUCACAUAGUGUCCUUCAAUCUCCUUAGCAUUUUCCAAUUCUUAAGCUCGAAAAUCUUCAGGGACGAGGUAUUGAAUAAGGAAAAAAAUAAUAAACAAAGAGUUGUUAGUCACAUAGUGUACAGUGUCUAUAUAUAUAUAUAUAUUGUCUUAUUUUACAUUAAAAAAAACCCCGAAUAGAUUAAGAUAUUAUAUUUAUAAACUACUCAAGUAAAUCCCCAUAAUAUUUUAUUAAAAAAAUAUUCGAAGCCAAUAUAUACAUAUUCUAAUGUAGUAACCUACUACUUAAUUUUCUCUAUAAAAUUCCAUAUAUCUUUGGUGAAACACUUUUCAUUUAUAUAAGAAUUGUUGGAAAAUUGGUUAUGAUAUGGAGUAUUAAUUUAUCAAAAUUAUGGAUGAAAGCAAAAUUGAUUCUGACCAGUUUCAUUGAAUCAUUUUAAAUUUAUUGAUUCUGUAAAUUCAAUGAAUUGUAAAAGAUUUAAUUUUGCAUCUCUGCCCUUAGGUAUAAAUAGAGGUGGAAAGAGUUCAUUUUAUAUAUAUAUAUGACUCUCCUUUCUUUGCUCUUAUGCUCAACUUCCUAUAGUUUUAGGUUCUCUUAUUUUAAAGAAUUUUUUUUUGUAAUGUUUCGAGUUCAUAAGCCUUGAUUGGAAGUGUAUUUUUUAAAAGUGCUGUUGAAAUUUUAAUAGAUUAAAUACACUUAGAUUGUUUGUAUCAAUUGAUGAACAAUUUAACUUUAAUAACAAAUAAUAUAAUCCUUGAUAAUAAUUUUCUUUCUUGCAUUAUUCUGAUCUGAAAUUCUGCAAAUAAUUUUUAUUUGAUAUAUUAUUCUGCAAAUAUAUAAUUAGUUUUGCUAAACAAUUUCGAACAUUAAUAAGCUGAUUAGGGAAUAAGAAAAUCAGCUAAGGGAAAUGUACUAAACAUAACACAAUUAAAAAAAAAAUUACACGGUGAAUAAUUAUAAAAAACAUUAAAAAAUUCAUGGUGAAAACAUUGUUUAUAUGAAUUGAGAACCACUUUAAUUAUUAUUUUUUUCAUUUCUAACCUUGUUUUUGCUUUCCAUUUAACUAUUUUAAUUUGGUUUCACAAAAUAAUGUUCAUUCUAUAAAAUGAUAUUUGAAAUUAUGUGAAAAAAUUAUAUAAAUACAACAUAAAAAAAGAACACAAUCUAUUGUGUGUUGCAAUAAUUAUCCAUAAUAUUUUAUUUUUUUUUAGUUUAUUUUUUCUCACUUGAUUUUUUUUUAUUUUCAGUUUAAUCAUUUUCUUUUAAGUUAACUUGGAAUUAGGCUUGUUUUAUUUCAGUAGAUUUUAUAAGGAGCUAUUGCGAUGUUAAAAUUAAGUUUUAAUAUUGAAUUAAUGGUCAAUUUGUCUAAAAUAAAAUUUUAUUUUAUUAAUUUAAACCAAUUAAAAUUUUUAAAAUUUAAUGUCAAACUUAAACAAAUAUUCAACCUCUUUUUUAAGAGAAUAUUUUUUUUUCAAUAUUUAAAUUGAAUCAACAAAUCUUUUAUUAUUUAUUAACGCAUUAAUUUCUCAAUUUAUUUUAUAGAGCACAUAUAUAAUUUUUAGUUUGGAGUUAAAAUUUUUCUAAUACGGUAAAAGCACCGUUAACAAAGUGUUCACUUUUUUUGCAUUGAAAAAACAAAGUUACAUCUCACAGCGUAGCGGAGAAUCAAGCUAAGUAUUCUAAUGAUAAAAAUGAGGCAAGAACUCCUUAAGAAAUUUGAUAGUUAGGAAACUCCUAGGGUCUGCUAGCUGAAAAUUGUGAGCCCUUGUUAUAUACUCUGUUUUCUUCACCCACCAAGCACUGGAUUGUCUAAUGUUGUCAGCUAAUGCUGUGAAUGUGCCGGCUGAAUAUGGAAACUUUUGGUUUUUAUCUCUUCGGUAUGUAGGGAAUUUCCAGACGGUCAUCUUUCUGUCACUAUUCUGUUGCUUUCUUUACUCAGAUCCUUCUUGUCAAUUAAUUCAAUAUGGAAGAUAAUCAUUGACCAUCAACAGUUUUUUGGAGUAUUAGCGGAUUCCCCGAGAUAAAGGCUGUCCCAUAAACAUUCAAUUGGUUGAAGCUUUUCAAACUACUCUCUACAAUUCUAAGACCACCUAACAAAAGGAGAGCAAAAAUUCUGAGGGCUGAGAGAAGAAUUGAAGAUUUGUUAGUGAAGACGAGGAUGGAAGUUGCAGAGGAACAUACCCUUCACCAUUUUAGUCAUCAACAUCCUUUGGGGCGUCCCAUAGCGCCUUCCACCGGAAACAUUACCUGUGAUGGAUGCAGCCUCCGAAUAUUGCCUGGAAAGGACUACUAUAACUGCAAAACCUGCUCAUUUUUUCUUCACCGCGUAUGUUCCAAUAUGCCAAGAAAAACCCGACACCCUGCACAUCCAGAUCACUAUCUAACCCUUUUGGUUUCACCUCCAUUGGACAAUAGCAACUUCAAGUGUGCGGCUUGUGGAGAUCACAUCACUGGUUUCUGCUACAAUGUUACCGAGUCUAACAUUUACUAUCAUAUCUUAUGCUCAGUACUGCCUAUCUCGGUUAUCACCUCUUCCCAUCCUCACGCUCUCAAAAUAGAAUUUUCACCUCCAUAUGACUUCAGUUGCGAUCUAUGCAAGAAUCCAAGUUGUAAGGGUUGGUUGUAUAGGUGUAGCUUUUGCGAGUUUGAUACGCAUAUUGCUUGUGUCAUUUCCAAUAAAAAAGCAGAACCUGUGCCGCUGCUUGAUACUUUAACAAGGCAGAUCAUGGACGCCGACCGAAAGAUAGAUUAUGGAAGCCAGAGUAAUGAACUAAAGGGACCGAGCGAUUUGGUUUGACUCAUUUAGAACCAUUCUUGCCUAACAUUCCUCCAAGUCCACAAGACCGAUCUCGACAUCAGGAUCCAUCAACCCAAGUUUCUGAAGACAUGACAGUCGCAAGUUAUCAGUUCAGUGAGAUGUGUUUUUCAAUAGAUUUGCUCAAGUCUUAUCCUAGUGCUGAUCACCACCCAUAUUCUACAAAUAUGGAAGCCAGUUAUAUAAAAGAUGUUCCUAAAGUUGAAGCAAAGAUCAAGUCAGACAAUGUGGCAAUGCCACAAGGAGUCCAACAACACCGUUAUCCUAACAUGCCAGUGACCAAUCCCCUUUAUAGAGGUCCGAAUAACUGGUAUAAUGAAGCAUUCUUAGGCCAAACUGGGGAACAGAUAAUAGCUACUGGAUACGAGAGCAGGGCAGGCAUUAAAGAUCAGAGACCUAAAUCAAAAGCAUGUUUUUCUUUGGGGUCGGAGUGGCUUUCAAUCAAGAGCUUGUACUUGAGAUCUGUCGGAUAAUGUUAUGCAAAAUCAUCCUUGAAGUAAUUUAACAAAUAAAACAAGGUGUGUGAUGUUAAGAAAUCCAUGGAACUUCAUUUUUCUUUUUCUUUUUUUGAGCCUCCAAAGAAUGAAGAUGGCGAUGAACUACAGUAACUAGUUGUCUUUGCAGAGUUCUUCUCCUGUGUCUUCUUGCCCUUCUGAGGAGAUAUAGGUUCGUUGACGAAGAACAAAUCCUGAAAGGAACUUCCAUCUGUCAAUUCUAUACUUCUUUGAAAUGACAUGGCAUAGUUGGUGGUGAUUUUACUUUGUUUAUUUCGGAAACUGACUUGGAUAAGAAAACGACAGAGAACAAAGUCGAACGUAAGAUAAUUAACACAAUCAGGCCAUGGACGGCAUGAUUAAGAUAUUAUAGGUAGUAGUUAUACAAAACUACUUUGGGAUGAUGAAAACUGCCAACUACUUUUAAAGUGAUUGUUUAUGACGUUUUAUACUAUAAUUACAUUUGGCUUUUGCAGUGGUGACAGGUUAGCACUCUGUCUGUAAGGCUAGCCAGCGUGUGCAUUAGCCUCCAUUGGCUGCCAUAUGACGACAAGAGGGAAAUAAUUGUAAAAGGAAACAUCUUUCGGUUUCAUCAAUGAUUGCACGUACCUCCCGAUAUGAUUUCGGAUUAAUUUACUCGAGGCAUUGAUUUUACCUAAUCACUACAUGAAAUUGAUCAAAUGCGAGGUUCAAUUUAGCUAACACAAAAUGUUCGAUUAUUUUUUUCCUGCAAUAGUCUGAGCAUCAGAAUUGGCAGAUUCUUAGCUUUUCCGAAUCUCUACGUUAGAGGAUCACUUCAGCUGUCGCAAUACUUGUACAUGUUCUGUUCCAAGCCACUGCCGCAAUCAUUGUCGCUCCUGUAACUUUGAUGCUCAUUUAAAACUCUGAUGUAGCAAAUAUCCAGUCUAACUUGAUUCAGGAAUCCAACAGAAAUCUCAGCAGCAGCGCAGCACACCAACUGAUUAAGCCUAUAAUGUCCGUAGCUCCAUUUUUCUAAACUAAUAAAUCAUCAAACGAAUUGGGUUCUAACAAUUCUAUUGGAAUUAAUUAGCUGUAUAUCUUGUAAUUAGGAGAAUUAUUCUCCAUUCCAUAACUAUAGGAAAUCUCAUAAUUAUAGGAGAUUGUAAUCUUCUGUUUUUCCUAAACAGUACCAAUACCUUUGAUAUAAAUAGCCUCCAAUAGAAUAUGGUAUUAGAAUAUUGUUCAAUUCUAAAGAACAUGAAUCUCAAAAGAAUCCCGAAUCAAAAAACUUGUUUCUCGAAUCCAAACUCUCACCAAGAAUUUGUUGCACACUCAAAUCUUCAAAUUUCCUAACUAAUAUCCAACAGUAGCAGCUUGCAACUGAUCAACGAGCAACACCAACAACAGACUUUUUGUGCUCUAAUGAAAGACAGAACCAUCACUCAACCUGUAACAGUUUCUCAGCUACAACAGAUCAUCCAUAUCAUUAUACGAACUAGACUUAAGCUGACAUUGCCCCUUUCUUAACUAAUGGGAUGAUUCUCAAUGAUAAUUACUAUCAGAUUUAGGCUUCAGCCAUGAAAUUAUGUAUUGGUGCUAGCGGAAAGGUCGGUUAUCUCAUUGGAGCAAAGGCACAUCCAGCACUAAAAGAUCUUAAAUUCAAGAACAGAAACUAGGCCAUGAGGAAUGACAUCAUUAAGAGUCGGUUUAUUGACUCUAUGAUUCCUAAGUUAGCGAAUCGAUAUAUUGUUCUUCCUGCUGCCAAGGAUGGAUGGGGUGCAGUCUUGGCAACAUACUAUGGCAGUUCGGAUAAAAUCAAAUUUUUUGAACUAAUCAAAUCGUCAAUUCUUAUUGGCAAGUCAGAAUUGAUUUUCCCUCUCGACCUACUACAAUGCACUUGUCACUAUGAUUCGGGAAAUUGACAACGAGACUCCACCGAUAGCAGGCAUGGCUGCUGGUGUAAAACAACUGCAUGCUGCAAUUGCAUAAAUGUUUCUUAGUGGACUAGAUCUAGUCUUUGACCAAGCACACGACAAAAUGUUGAAUAAGGAGCCAUAUCUUAAGAAUAAUAAUAAUAAUAAUAUUUUAGGUUGAUAUGAUUUUUUAGCAUUAUUUAUCAAGUAGUAAAUUUCAUUAUUUUUAUUUUAUUUGAUAAAUUUAUGUAUAAAGUAAUGAUUCAAAUAAUUUUCACUUAAAAAAACAUAUUAAAAAUAAUAAAAAUCAUAUCUUAUAACUUCACUUAAUAAUUUAAAUUCAAAUUUCAUUAAAUAAAGUUAAAGCAUGCAUCUGAAACGUGAAAUUUGAGACAAGAGCAGACAUAAACACCUUUGACAAUUGGUUUUUAUAUAUCCCAUCUAGGUAUUAUUGUAAGGCAAGUGUUUUUUCUUUGUAUUCUUUGAAUAGUACAUGGGUCAUUUAUAAUCAUCACCACAAUAUAUUAACUAUAUUGCCAAUGGCAACGGCUCUCUGAGUCCAUUGUUUUAUCUAACAAACUUAUUUUGGAUAUUACUCUAGCUGUCUGAUCAUUCCUUUCUCAUAAUUUAUUUUUAAAAAGUUGAAUCACCAUAAUCCUAGCAUUUAUUGUUAUUUUUUGGCCUUUUUUAUGUUUUUUAAGACAUUCUGAUGAGACAAGCUCAUGGUUAUAGUGUUAGAAAGUCAAGAGAAAGGUUGUGAAGAAAAUACCUAGAAUGAUGGAGAAGAUUUUAAGGAAUUGAAGCAAUUGAAGAAUAAUUAAAUUAGGAAAUAACCAGAAUGAUGGAGAAGAUUUUUCAAGUUAAUAAAGGUAUUUGUCUAUAAACAAAACAACUCUAAAUACACUUUAUUCAUCAAACACAAGGCAUGAAGAACAACAAUAAUGAUAGUAUAUGUGGAUGGUAUGUUAUAUACGCAACAAUAAGGAUAUUUGUCGAGCGAAAUUGAAAUGAAGGUACUAGGUUAACUAAAGUACCUCUUAGGAGUUGAGGUUGCAAGAUCCAAAAAAGGAAUCUUUUUGUCUCAAUGAAAAUAAGUUUUAAUUGGAAUCUUCUAACAAAAACAAGAAUGGUGGCCUGUAAACUAGCUAAAAUACUUAUAUAGAUGAAUCACAAAUUAAACUAGGAAAGUACCAAGAUUAUAUUCUAACAAACAAAGGUAGUUAUUAACAUUUAGUUGGCAGAUUAAUUUAUUAGGCAUAUACAUAAUUAUAUUUUAAGUGUGGUAAGUUAAUUCAUGCAUAUGCCAGGUGAAAAAUAUAUAAAAGUUAUUUAUAUGAUAUGGAUAUACUUAAAAAAUAUUCUUAAUAGAUAUUUGUUAUUUAUAAAAAAAAUAAUGUGUAAAGUAGAAAAGAUAUGUAGAUGCUGAAUGGACAGGAGAAUAUGAGACAGGUAAAAGAUCUACCUCUAACUACUUAUAUUUGUUGGGGAGAGCCUAUUGACAUGGAGGAGUAAAAAGCAAUAUGUUGUCGUGAGAUCUAGUGCUUAAACAGAAUUCUAAGGUAUGGCUUAUGAUGUAUGUGAAUUACUAUGGAUAAAAGGAUGUUUUGGAAGACUUGAGAAACAAGAACAGAAAACUGAUGAAUUUAGAUUGUGACAACAAGAUUGCAAUUGAGAUAGCACAUGAUUCAGUCCAAGAUAUUUUCACUAUGCAUGUGAAGGUUAACCAUCACUUCAUCAAAGAAAAUCUAAUCAAAAGAUUAUUAAUGUUUUUGUUCAUUCAAUCAAAGUAUUAGUUAGAAGAUAUACUCUUCAAAAUAAUCUCAAGAAAUAUUUUAACACCUCAAUUAACAAGUUGGGAAUGAUUUAUAUCUAUGAUCCAAACUUGAGAGGAUUACAUGAUGAUCCAUGAUUUCAGGAGAUUACAACUUGUUGGAAUGAGUUGUAUAUUUUGUAAUAAAGGAGAAUUAUUCUCCUUUCCAUAACUAUAGUCUAUAGGAAAUAAUACAUAUAAUUAUCUUUUGUAUAAAUAGCCUCCUAUAGGAAAAUAAUAAAAUAUUUCUUCCUUUGAAAAAACUUUUAUAUAUAUAUAUAUAUAUAUAUAUACAUACUAGUUCAGCUUUUACCUAUCAGCCAAAUGAGUGGCUACGCAUCAGGUAUGGCAAUUAUCUUGAAUGAGUCCAGUUUCUAAACAUUAAACCGUAGGGGCAACCUUUUGCUGGGGUUUAUGGGAAGAUGAUUAUGGAUGGCUUUACUGAACAAGCAGGACAGACUCUGCUGGAAGCAUCUUGAGAGGAUUAUGGCUCCAUUAAGCUAUCCAUUAGCAACUUAUCAGGAGUGAGAUUACUGACCUCUCAUUAACCUCAAGAUUGAUAGCCCGCUAUUGUCGUCUAUGAUUAUCACACGGUCAUAUCCUCGCCAUUGCCAUUACCAUUUUCAUAACUGAAAUGAGACACUGCCUGCUAAAUAUAAAUGAAUUUCUCCUCCCCAUAAUUUCAUCUGUCAAGGAAUUAAAAAGCCGAAAGGAAAUUCUCAAGUUACAUUGAUGCUUUGGCAAGUCUAAUUAAUGUAGGAUGUUUGGAUUCAAAAUCCUUUAAAAAAUAGUCAGAGCAUGAAAGUAACUAAGCACAAAGGAAUAGUCGCUCUUCGCAUUCAUAAAUUGACUUGCACAAGCAUGAGGCUGGUCCCCACUGCAAACGUUUCUAUUUUGUGUUAAUGUGCUACCUCCCAAGUCUUCAAUCCACAUUUUCCAUUUCUGCAGCUAUGCCCUACGUUAUUUUGAUCCCCUCGUGACUGCAUUGAAUAAUAAUCAGAAGCAGCUGCAUGCUAGCGAAUUUCCUGUCACAGUUUUUUAGUAUUUUGUCAUAAAUUGACAGCAGUGCAUGCAGUAUGAUUAUUGUUCCUUCAUCUAGAAACUUGACAAGUAAAGCUUUGAACACAGCUGGUGCAAGUACCACUACAGCACAGUUGUCUUUUAAAAUGAAGAACUUUAACGACUUAUGCAAAUGCCACUAGGAAUUCUAUCAGCAGUCUGACGACUGCCUUUUAUUCUGCCUAAGCAUAAUUGACCAAUGAUCACUGCAGGCAGAACAGUCAGUGGAGAAGCCGGUCACGUUAACCUUUUUCCCUUGCAAAAUGAGCACAAAUACAAUAAGAAGGGGAAAAAUGAAGUAAAACCAUAUAAAGUGUACGUAUUCUUAGGUUAGCUCAUAACCUAACUUCCUGUAUCACUAUUCUAGGUAGAAAAAAAAAAAUCCUUUAAUUUGAUAUAUGUGCUUAAGUUGAUACAUAAUCAUCCAACACAAUCUUCCUUAAAGAGAAUCUAAUCUUAUCAACUUGCCCCCAAAUGCGAUUCACCAUAGGAACUGCAGUAAUUAAUGGAAUCCAACGAGAACAAAAGGCAAAAUGGAGUAUCAACUUUGUUGAAUUACGGCCGACAAAUGAUGUGCUUAUUGCUCCAAAUUGUAACAGUGCAUGCACUAAUUAUUUAUAGUACAAUUCAUGUGUGUGUGUGUGUUAUAAUGAGAUUAGGUCACCAUGAUUAGACCAUAACCCAAAUUUAUCUUGCCGGAAACGAUUGCUUAUAUAUCUCCAUGAGUGGCAUGAUUUCAUAAUAUAAAGUCAAAAUCAAUGAGAAUUUGAAGACAAUUCAUCUUUCUCUUCUGAUAUUUAAGGGGUGGAGAUCAUCAGAAAUGAAAUAUAAUGCAAUUGCUUUCUACACUAGCAGCAAUGGCUUUUGCUUCCAAUGUUGCUUUCUUGACAAAGAACAUUCCCUUUUAAUCCAAAAUAAUUAGAAAAUGUUAUCAUCUAUAGAAUUGCUCAAGCUAGUCUCCAACUUUAUCUCUGAUUAUCAAUGUUUUUUCUUCUUUAAGAGGUCUUCUAGUCUCAAACUAUACAAUAAGUUAAUUCUCUCUAACAUCUAAGUCCUUACUACAUCCCUUCUAAUGCUUGAAUAUGAAACAUUUUGAUUAAAAUUCCAAGUUUUAACUGUUAGAACUUCUACUUGCAAGAGAUUAUCAACAUCAUUGUUAGCUACUAAUUAAAUUUUAUCAUUAUAAAUUGUAGCAUUUUCUGUUGUUUUUAAAUUCAUACUAUCCAGUCCCUGUACAUGGGCCAAUGACUAAUUGAUUAUGACAUGCACCCCUAUAUAAGAUCCAAAAAUAAGGUAAAUUUUUCGUAAUGUAUGUUUCUUUCGUACGCACGCUAGACUUGCUUUUAAUUGGCUGGAAAUUCUUCACAAAAAAAAGUCACGUAGAAUAAGUAUAAGCUAGAAAUUUUAUAAUAUUCAAAUUAAGUUAUUGGAUAUUUACAAUAUAAAAAUAUAUAGAUAUAUAUAUAUAUAAAGAGAAAAAAUAAUCAUAUUUGAUAUUACUAAAAACGAUUCGUAGUAAUUACAGUUUGAGCAGUAUAAGAUUUCUCAGCAUAUUGCAUCAUAACGAAUUGUUAUUAAAUUUUUAUACCUUUGUUUUAGAAAAUUAAAUUUCCUCAUUGCUUUCCUUUAUGCCAGUUUUAACAAGAAUUUUUAAACUCUACCAGGUGGACUUGGGACACUGGUUUUGAUCAAAUCAUUCCGGACUUACUUUAAUUUUUUUAUAAAUUAAAAAGAAGUUUUUAUUAAAAAUAAAUAAAUAAAUAACGGGUUUCAACCGGGUCUUUCCAGUUUAAUUGGAUCACCGAGUCGACUUGGGUUUUUUACCAAGUUACUUCUGUUUUUUUCUUUUUUAAUUUUUUGAAACCCCAACCUAGUUUCAACCCCUUAUCGGCUUGGUCCUGGAUCAACCCGUCGGGUUUUAAAAUUAUAAUUUUCACUACUACAUUACAGUAUCAUUUGGGAGUAUAAUGAUUUUUGUUUUUAUGCUUUUUAAAAAAUACAUUUACCUUGAACAGUAUCAAAUUGAUUUUUUUCGUGUGUUUUUAUAAUUUUAAUAUACUAAUAUAAAAAAUAUUUUAAUAUAUUUUCAAGUAAAAAACAUUCUUCAAUGUAAUAUCAAACAUUUACUACAUCUCCCCCGAAUUUGAUCCAAUCAAAUUCAAAUUAUUUCUACACUCGUAACUUCACAUUCAUGUAGAAAAUGCAUCAAUACAAGUAUGGAUAUCUUAGUUAAAAUUCAAAAAGAAAACAUCCAAAAACCAAAUAUAUAUAUAUAUAUAUAUAUAUAUAUAUAUAUAUAUAUAACCGUUAAAAAAGAGAUGAGCAUGACAAAUAACCCGUUUAGUAUUGUGAUAAUGGUUGUUUUUUAAAUUAUUUUUUUCAUGAAACAUCGAAAUAUUUUUUUAUUUUUUAACAUUUAUUUUUUAUAUAAACAUAUUAAAAUAAUCUGAAAAAAAAAUUAAUUUGAAAUAAUUAAAAAAAUCAAUAUUUUUAAAAAAAAUUAUGAAACAUAAAAAUAAACAUAUUCACAUUAAAAUCACCUGUUUUUUUUAAUAUCCAAUGAGCUGGGCCUGUCUAGGUCAGAUGUGGGCUAAGGUGGGCUAACGUUUGAGAUGCAUAGUGGUUGAAGCUUUUCUCUUUCCUAGCUGUCAAAUCCUGUCCUCCAAAUUGCCGGGUUGUGCCUUAUUACGUAAAGGCUAAAAAUCUCUAGAUAUUUAAGUUUUUUAUCAUAUACUCUGCUUCUAUUAUAUUUUGGCCCACAAUAACCUUUCUAUUUGCAAUUUUGGUAUAUUUUGAACCCUAUAUAUGUCUAUCUUUGUUAGCGCCGGAAUAAGUAUAUGGCGUUGAUUGCGUCACGUGAAUGAUUAACUGAGAAUAUAAAUAAAAAGAUAAAGCGAUGCAUUCAUUGAAAAAAAUAAAAUAAAAAAGACCACGAACUCAUCUUUGCAAACAAAACAAAAAAAUCAUUAUUUUCCUCCACUUUCCUAAGAACCAAACAAACGAAUGAAGGAAUAAAGAACUAGUUUUCCCUUCACUCUCUCGAUACCUAAACACAGACAAACAUAAAUAAAUUAUGCUCCAAUGGAAAUCAAGAUCUACAACUCAAAACACCAUCCAAUCGGAAUUCAAACCAAAAUUAUGAUCCCAACCAUAGACUUUCUUUCUCUUUCUCUUCUUCCGUUCCGUUCUUGGCUUGGAUGGACCCUGAUGAUAAUGAUGUAGAGAGCUGGAUCGCUCUUUACAGAAGCCUAAGAACGAGCCACAGAAUUUAAUUUACGUUCCAUCAAAUGCCUUGUGGGGUUCUUCGACGUGUCAUUUUCCUCCAUUGAAGAACACAAUUAUAGCUUUGUUAUAUCUAUAUAUUGCCAUGUGACUUGCUGUGAAUUGUCCAUAUUAAAUACGUAUUUCUUGUGUCUUUGAAUGGGAAGGAAUGAUUUCGGACUUGGCCACUCUCCCAAGAGAAAAAUAAAAAAUAAAAAGAUUACUCUCUAUCUGUUCUUGUGAUUUGAUUUUGUAUGUGAAUUUCUUUUUGUAUUUUUUGUUCUUUCUUUUGUUAUUUAUCAUAAACUUUUUUUUAGAUUGUUUUGAUAUGUUGAUAACAAAAAUAAAUUUUAAAAAAUAAAUUAAAAAUAAUUUAAUAUAUUUUCAAAUAAAAAAACAUUUUAAAUAAUAAAUUCUAUCACAUUUUCAAAAAAUCCCUGAAAAUAAAAAUAAAGAUGAUUGUGACUUCCAAACAAUAAUGAGAUGGACAGAGAAGGCUAUUUUAAUUAUUGUUUUUUUGCUGGAGACGAACACCAAAUGGAGAAAAAGGAAAAGGAAAACCUUCUGCUUCCGAUGACUAAAGUCCCUGCUUAAACAUGAUUUUUUUUUUCUAGGAUUUUAUUCAAGCGUUUUUUUAUAUCUUAGAUAAAAAAAAUAAAAAAAAAACAAAAAAAAAACCAAAGAUAUUAGACGCAAUUAGAUCCAUGACCCUUCUUUUCGUCCGAGAAGAUGAUAUAUCUCUUAGGCCGAGCCCCUCAUAAUGACUUAUAUAAGGCCCAGGAAAAACCGGAUGGGGGAUUCUAAUAUAAAAAGAGUAGUAUAAUGUUACUGAUGAAGAAUACACCUUUUAAAAAAAAAAAAAAAAAGGGAUGCACAGCAGAACAUCUAUUGAUAUUAGAAAAAAAAUGUAAGUAAGAAAACCAAGCAAAAACUAAAUGUUGUUUAAUUAAAAAAAUUAACAUAAGAUUUUUUUCUGAUUCAUCCAUAUUAAUUCAUUUGAGUUAAAAUUAAAUGUCAACCAGUGAAGGGAUGUGUAUAUAUAAAGUUAAAAAAGGAUUAGGAGAUUGUUCUUAUGAGACCCAACUUGUCUAGCCUUUCCCUCUUUUCCAACCGAAAAGGCAAAUAACAUGAUUUUUUCUUUUUAAUUUUAAUACAAAUUAAGGUAGAUAACAUGUUGUUUGUUAAGGCAGAUGACAAGUUAUUUACCAACUUAGUUUCUAACUAUUGGAGAGGAGGUUAGAAAAUUAGGUUGGGUAUAUGAUGAAAAAUCAUUUUAAAACCUAUUUUCACUUAGAAAUAUUUAAAAACAUCCUUAUCAUGUCAAUAAACCAAUAAAUCAACUCAAAACAUCCCAAAAAUCAUAUAAAAUAAAAAAUCAAACAAAAAACAAAAUUCUCUCUUAAGCCCAAUCUCAUUUUUUCCAACAAUAUGAAAAGAAAAGCAUCUUAAUGAAACUUUUGUUGUUGAAUGAAACUCGUUAACAUUAAGAAUGAUUUUUUUCGUAGUUGAAAUAUAAUUAACCAAUAACUUUAUCUUUUCUUUGCCAUUUUCUAGCAACUCUCUUUCUUUUUAUUGAAAAAUAAAAAAAAAUGUUUUGAAUCAAAACAAAACUUUCAAAAAUUAUUAGGACUCCAGUAGAGUAGAAGAGGAGAAAAAUAGAUGGCAAAAAUAGAACUUUUUGUGGGAAUUCUAGUGCAGCCAUAUUAUUUUGAUGUGUUUAACAUUUUGGUCUUCUUUGUUUUAAUUGUACCUGGUAACAACAAAUUAUAAGAAAUUGAUCACUAAUUUGGUCCUAGUUAAGAUUGAGAAAAAUAGUUUGGAAAAAAAAAAAGCACCGUCACAAUCCAUAAUGAUUUAUAUUUGGGUAUACAAAGCGUAAGGCUACAAUAAAAACUUCUCGCCUUUUAGUGUUUUAUUUAAUAUUGACAUUUUAGAUUUAUAUUUUUAUGGUAAAUAGCUUGAUAUGUUUUUAUAUAUUUUUUUAAAUCAAUAUGUUUUAAUUAUAUAUGUUGUGUUGUUUUAUAGUAUUAUAUUCUUUAAUAUAUCUUUAUAUUAAGUUUUUUCAUGUAGAUUAACAUAAUUAUAUUUUUCAUUUCAAAAAUGUUAUUGAUUAAUAUAAUGAUAUUAUAUAAAAUUGCUCAUUUUUUUAAGGAAUAUUUUUUAAAAAAAUUACUCGGACAUCAAAAUCUAGAAAAAAAAAUUAAAAAAAAUUAUUUUUUCAAAAUUUUAAAAUUAUAUCAUUUUCUAGCUCGAAGACAAUUUUAAGAUGAAAAAUAUUAUUAUGUUAGAUUAGAUGAAAGAUUUUAAGAUAGAAAUAUAUUAAAAUUAUAUUAUAUAUAUAUAUAUAUAUAUAUAUAUUAAAAACGUAGAAACAUAUUAGAGAUUUAAUCAAUUAUAUAAAAAUAGAUUAAACUAUUAAACCUUUUUUUCAAUUAUGGGAGUUGAACUUAUACUAAUAAUCUCUCCUCAUUUUAAUUUAAAAGGGAUUGAGAUUAUUUUGAGGGCAUUUCACAAUUGUUUUUACAAGUUUAGUGGAUUAAUGCAUGAAUUUGUUUAUAUAUAUUAAACUAUCUCUCCAAUUGGUCUUUAAAUGCUUUUAAAUCCUUAUAUUUUAAUGUAUUUUUUCAAUACAUUCUUUAGUCAACUUUAUAACGAAAAUACCACUUAAGUUACAAAAUUAGGAAAUUAAUUUUGAAGAGUAGAAACAUGUUGUUAAGAAGGGGAAAAAUAGCCUAAAUCAAAUGAACCUUGAGAAAAUAAAUUUGAUGAAUUAGGCGUAAAAUAAUAAUAAUAAAAAUUAAUAUUGACUAGAUGAUUUAUUACAAGUUAUGAUAAAUACUCAUCAUUUUCUCAACUCGUGCCAUGUACAAUCAUAAUUUAUGAAUCCAUAUAAGUUAUUUUUUGUUGUGAAAAUAAAAAUAAAUUUAACUAAAGGACCAAAACAAUUAAAAGAAAGAGGAUCAAAAUUGAAAUAAAAAAACAAAUAAUUGUUUUAUUGAAAGGUGAAAUUAAAAAUAAAAAUAAAUUUAACAAAAGGCCUAAAAAAUCAAAAAAAGAAAUACCAAAUUGGAAAAGAUAAAACUAAAACCAAUAACACUCUUACAAAAAGAUCAAGGAAAAAAUAGAAAUAAAAAAAAUAAAGACUAAGUUGUAAAAAACAAUAGAUGACAAAUUGAGAUUGAAUGAUGAAAUUAAAAAAAAUUAUAUAAAAAGACCAAGAAAAAAAUAAAAAAUCAAAAGAGUAAGGACUGAAGUUAAAAUACCAACAAUAAAAAGAGCUGAACUGUAAUUUUUAAAGAAGAAAAGAGAUAGAAAAAAACAAGUGUCCAAUGGUGACAUACCAUGUCAUCACCUUCGACAUGCGUCGCAUUAUGAGAAAAAUAACAUGACAACGCUUUCAAUGACACAAAAAAAAGAGUGGUUUUUGCCACCUAGCGAUGAUGCACACGCUAUCUAAAAUGCAUGUGCGUACUCAUCUCACGAGCUGGUGCCUGUGCUGCACAUGGUAGCAACCUUUUGAAUUUAAUUAUUAAUUAAAUCAUGUGAAAAGAUCAAAACACCAUUGAUUCACUAUGUAAUUGCAAAAAAACCAAUGUGAAAACAUUGAAAGGCCCCUAAUGCAUGGUUUAAUUUUUAUGAUUAUAAAGGUAAACCUGUUAUUUUCCUGUAUUCAAAAUAAUUAAAAUAUAUUACUACCAUUAUUUUUAGUUUUAUAAAUUUUAAUUUGAAGAGCAAUUAGAUCAUUUUAUUAUGCUAUAAAAAUAAAAUAAAAACACAAAAAUCCCUAAUAAAUCCUAUAAUAAUUAAUGGCCUUGGAGAAAAGUUUUCAGUGCCCCCAAAACCAAGACAUUUGUUUUUCUAAGAAAGGCAAAGACACUAUUAUACUCUUACAAUGAAACGUGACAAUAAUUAGUUUGUGAAAUUGUAAUUGUAAUAUACUCCUUUUAUGAAUUUGUAUCUAAAGUAUUUUUUAAACAACAAUAAUUAGCUUGUGAAAUUGUAAUUGUAAUAUACUCGUUGUCACAAUUCACAAACUCCCACUCUAAUAAUAAUACAACCAUCUAGGUGGUGGUCCAGUGGUAAGAACCUGAGACCAAGGGGUUUGUUCCAUCUGUGGUUUCAGGUUCGAGCCCUGUGAUUACUCAUAUGAUGGCCACUGGAAGUUUACAUGGUCGUUAAUUUCAGAACCUGUGAAAUUAGUUGAGGUGCACACAAGCUGAUCCGAACACCUACGUUAAUUUUAAAAAAAAAUGCAAAAUUUAUGCAAAAGAAAGAGCAUCUUGGCUCCUCUCAAGGGAUAGAGAGCUGUAUGGGACCCGUUCCCUCUUCUCUUCAAAAGAGAGAAGUAAAGAAAGAAUGAACCAUAUUUUAGUCUAUGUGGAUCCUCCUACGCUUCACUUUAGCUCCUGUAUUUUAAAAUUUCUCAAUGUCUAACUCUAUAAUUUAUCUAAAGUUACAAUUCAUUCUUCAUCCGUAAAUAACUAAUAAAAAUUAGGCCAUAGCUACAUGAAACGGGUUUGAAGGAUGCUGUAGCAUAAACCAUUUAUGAAGGGGUGAGUUGAUAAAGAGCAAUGGUCAAAAAGUAUGCUCUUUUUAUGAUUUCACUGUUUGUUUCGGUGUUUUAAAAGUAUUUUUUAAAACAAUUGAAAAUUUUUUAUUUUUUUAUUAACUUCAAAUUAAUAUGUUUUUAGUGUUUUUAAAUUAUUUUGAUGUGUUGAUGUUAAAAAUAAUUUUUUUUUUUUUAAAAUUAUUAACAUAUAUUUUAGCAUGAAAAAUUAUUUAAAAAACAACUGUAACUAUACUAUCAAAGAAGCUCUAAUAAUCACGAACAAUAGGACAUGUCUUGUUAUUGAAAACCUUAUUCAAAAAGAAAUAACUUAGUAUAAAAUAUACGAGUUUAAAGGAUACUACAGCAUCAAUCAUCUAUGGAUAAGUGAGUUGAUAAAAAACAUGGGGUCAAGAGGGAUGCUCUCCAUGUGAUUUCUAGCUUGAAUCUCUCUGUCCACUAAUAUUAAUGGUCACGAGCUACCGGGCGUGUUUUUUUUUUAUUAAAAGCUUUGUUUGGGGAAAAAUAAUUUAGUAUGAAGCAUAAAACCGGGUUCAUGAUAUCCUACUUCCAAAAAAAAAAUGAAAAGAAAGAUGCUGCAGUGUUAUUGUAGGGCACAUCGCUAUAUCUAUAUUUUUUAUUAUGGCCUAUUUAUUUUUGUAUUUUAAAAAUAUUUUUAAAAAAUUUAAAUUUUUUUUAUUUUUUUAUUAACUUUAAAUUAAUAUGUUUAUAGUAUUUUCAAAUCAUUUUGAUGUGUUGAUAUCAAAAAUGAUUUUUAAAAAAUAAAAAAAACAUCAUUAGUAUAUUUUGACACGAAAAACUAUUUGAAAAGCAACCGCAGUGUCGGCUUCUAAAUUCAUGGAACUAAAAUAAGUAGAUAUCUUGGUUUAAAAUGUUAACAUUGUAAAAAUGAUCACAUUGAUUGAUACACUAAUAUAGCAUUGAAAACCCAACUUAUCAAGCUGUUAUAUCACUAAGUCAUUUAAUGAUAUAUGAUAUUAAAUAUGCUGAGUCUUUUUUUUUUUUUUCAUCAUAUAAUAAAGAAUUACCAUAACUAUUAAUGAAAGGGUAGUUUAUUUUCAGGUUUUUCUUUCAUCCUUUCUUAUUUUUAUUUCUUAUUUUCUUUUCAAAAUCUCAAAUUCAACAUCAGUCUAGCUACGUAAUAUUAAGGGGAUUGUAAAUAAAUUUUAAAAACAUUAUGACACCGAUAUGGAGAAAUGUUAGUACAAAAAAAGUGAAAAUGAAAUAUUAUUAGAUUGAUUAGAAAUAUAGUAGUGUACAAUUAAUAUAUAGUAGCAAAAGAGUACAAACAAAUAAAUAAAUGAUUAGAAAGACAGACAACCCGCUCCCAUCAUUUUGUAUUCUCUGUCCCUCGCUUUCACCCUGGCAGUCCCGUCCGUACCCUGUCCCCUCCUCCUCCGUGAUUCCCCUCUUACCUGCUACCCUUUUGGCCAGUCACUCGCACGUGCCAGCCCACCUGCACCACCCCCUCUAACCAUGAGGAUCACUACUACCCUCCCAAAUCCCUUGCUCUCUGUUGCGCAACAAAAUAAAAAAGUAGAGAGAGAGAGAGAGAGAGUUGUGUCCUCUGUGUGUUGUUAUUAUUAAUAAUAAAGUAUUUAUAUUUCUUUUUUCUUUUUUCUUCUUCUUGGAGUUAUUGUAUUUGUUUUUGGUAUAGGAAGUAGUGUUGGGGUGUUUGCACCCUGUUUACUAAUUCUCUCUCUCUCUCUACAUAUUUGUAAAAUUCCUCUGACCCUCACUUGAAAGAUCACUUCUUGGUUGUGGGUUUGUUUGGUUUCUUUGUCUGAUCAAAUCUUUUUAAGACACAGAGAGAGAUAGCAAAAUCUUAUAUUGCACCUAUGAGGAUCAGGAAAAGACAGGUUCCCUUACCUCUAUCUUCUCUAUCUCCUGUACCUCUCUCAGAUCCCCAGUUCCAGUCUCCUGUGGUGCAACUUCAAAUACACAAAAACCCACCUCAAAAUCUCCCUCAACAACCUCAUAGGCUUGCUUGCUAUGAUUCCCAUCCAUCUGAUCAACCAAAUCAACCGAUCGGAGGUGGCCAAGAUUGCUCUGCAGUUAGUGCUGGGGCACAACAAGAAAAGAAGGUAAGCAGUGAUUGUUAAUUUUGGUUGGUGAGAAAAAAAACACUAUACCCCCCUUUUAAUAUAUCUUGUUUUUUAGUUUAUUUGGUUGGUGGUUUAGUAGAGGAGUGCAUUUGUGUUCAGUGUUACAUGAAAAAGGCAUUUCGUUGGAUUCACCUUUUAUGGUUAAUUUUGCACCCCCAUAAGAUCACAUUAGACAGCAAGUAUGGUUGAUUGUAUCCUCUCUUCUUUUUUUGUGAUUUUAUUGUGUAGAUUAUGUUGGAGAAAGAUGAGAGAUGGAGAGAUGGAGAGAGGAGUAAUGAUACCAGGUGAGAAAGAAUUGAAGACAUAAAGUAAAAAAUCCAUGUUCUUCUCUUAUUUCAUAAAAUCUUGUACUAGAAGAGGUUGAAAAUAGAGGCCCUUGUAUGAAUUUUACCAGGAAAAAUACUGUAAUUACUAAUUAGUGGAUGGUACUGUUCAAGUGUUUUUAUUUUAUUAUUUAUCAGCUUUGGCUAGCAACCAUACCUCACCAUCUACUCUAAUCUAAUCUAGGUGCUCUCUUUUUUCUCUAUUUUGGCUAGCUAAUUUGCCCAUGCGGUGCAUGUUAUCAUGGGAUGAUGGUCCUACACAUUUCGCUCUACAUUCUUGCAUUCUUCUCUUCUUCUUACUUGCUACCUAGUAUUUGUUUCCUUGGGCUUUGUGAAUUUCAUGUGUGUGUUUGUGGAUCUUCUUGGUCUGGUUAUUUGUUUUAGGAAGGGAAGUUUCAUGGGUGCAGACAUAGAAACUAUGAAUCUUACACCAUCAAGUUGUUCCCGUCAAGGUAAAAUUCUUAUCAUGUUUCAAAACAACAAUACUAGCUAUGCCCCCACAGACUCACCACCAUGAAAGUCAUAUACAUUUUGGUAUUUGUUGUUUGAUUGCACUAUAGGAGUUGAGAGAUGGGGUGAGGGAGAGAAAGCAUAUCCAUUAAAGAGAAGAGGAAGGUUCGAAAGACCAUCAGAUGAUGAAGAAAUAAUAAUGGAGAAAGCUAAGAAAAUGAAGACAAAGAUGAACAAGAAAUGCGUGCUGCAGAAAGGAAAUAACAAAAAAGAAGAGAGUAAUGAAAUCGUCAAAGAGGGCCUUGGUGGUGCUACUAAUAAUACUAGUGUGAAAAGGAAAGCUAGAGGUGGUGCACUUAUGGAAGGAUCGAGGUGCAGUCGUGUAAAUGGGAGAGGAUGGAGGUGUUGCCAGCAAACUCUUGUGGGAUACUCACUUUGUGAGCAUCACUUGGGCAAAGGAAGGCUGAGAAGCAUGAAUAGCGUCCGAAGCCGAUCCAUGGCUCGCACUGCACCCAAGAAGGCCGAGUCCAAGCCAUUAUCGAGCUCGUCCUCAUCGGAGGAAAAAAAAACGAAACGUUUAUUAUCAGAUACCAAACUUGAUGGUGUUCCAGCUGAUGUAGAUGGAGAUGACACGAAGCCUCUAAUGAUUGCAAAGAAGAAGGUGAAGCUUGGCAUGGUCAAAGCUCGAUCGAUUAGCAGUUUGCUGGGCCUAGCAAAUAAUGACAUUGCAGUAUCAGAGAGUAGCAAGUAGAAUUGCAUGUUUAUGAAAUUAAAGUCGAGAGUCGAGGUCAUGUUGAGUACUGCAGUUUUUCCUUUUCUCUGUUUAGAGGCUCUUAACGAGAGAACAAAACGAUGUUUGAUAAAGUGUAUUUCUUAUAGCACCACCUCCAUUUUAAUGCUUAUGGUAUGAUCUUUAUAAAAAUAGAGAUGUAACGAGCCAGAAAAGGUUUAUACUAGAUUAUAAAUAGCUAAAAUAUGGGUAUUUAUUUCGGGUUUAAGGUAUAUAAUCUGCCGUAAAUGCAAACUUUGGCGAACAGUUAAAUGGUAUCAUAAGGGGGAACCACCCACAUGAGAGUGUUCUUGUUUAAUACUAUGGUUACUGUGUAGCUUUUGACCAUGGUAAACAGCAGUUGAGAUUUGGCUGCAUCACAGGGUGUUUCUUCGAGUUUAGUUUUGAGUGUGUUUUUUUAAAAAUAUAUUUUUUUAAAUUUUUAAAUUGUUUGGAUAUACUAAUAUAAAAAUUAUUUUAAAAAAUAAAAAUUAUUUUAAAAUAAAAAAUACUUUAAAAAAUAAUAUUCAAUUACACUUUCAAACAUCCCAAUAAUAAGUGGAAAUUGUUCAUGGAAAAACUGAAAGCAUUCCUUGUUUCUGUCCUCAUGCAUCAAAUAUAGCUAACUAUUCCAGAUCUUGUCCUAUUGUGAUCAAUAUCGAGAAAGAGGCAAGAACAAGGGAUUAUGACUCUGUUUGGUUUGGUUUCUUUAUAUAGCCUUUUCCUUUUGCAGCUGUGAUGGCAGCUUGCUCACUGGACUCCUUUUUCUCUACUUUGGAGCUCAAAUCGAUGUUUAAUAAAUUGGUGGCACAACAAUAAAUAAAAAAGAAUAGGCAAGAAUAAGGAUUUAUCACUCUAAUUAACAAGGACAGGGCUUUCACAAUAAUAAUCUUAGUAAAAAUACCCAUUAUGGUACAUUUAUUAUUAUUAUUAUUGAAAUUCAUUGUUAUAUUAGUUCAUCACAAAUUGUUUUUUUUUUUAAUAACCAAAGAACUAUUUCAAACUUGAAUUACUUUUGGUAACAUGUGUUCUGAAUUUGAAAUAGGAUGUAUAGUCUCUGUACACAAUAUAUAUUGAGAAAACAUCACUUCAACUUCGUCGUGAUCAUAAGAAGAUAUUUCUAUGUAUUGAACCUGAGAUCUCAUCCCAGAUGUUUACAAAAUAGAGAACAACACUAGUAAUGAGAUUUUUGUUAUGCUCUGGUUCGGACAAUUUUUUUUUUUUUGGGUAAAAAACAAAAAAUAAAUAUGCAAGUUUUUUAAAUUUAAGUUUUUUUUUAAAAUUCUAAUUAUAAAUAAGAACGUCUAUUCAACUUGUUUAGCUGCAGGUCAAAUAAUGUGUUUUUCAAUACAAAAACAUUAAUAUCUAGGUGUUAUUAAUAUAUUUUUUACAUCAAGUAAAAAAUAUAACUGUGAAACAUAAAGUCAACACUUAUGUUGUUUUUUUUUUUAAUUUGACCAUCAUUCUUUUGAUUUGUUUUUUCUUUUAUUAAAGUUAUUUUUUAUUUCAAAAAAUAAAAAAUUACUUAUCAUUAUAUAUUAGUUUUUCAAGCCCUAUAAUUGAAAAUUUUGGUUUGUCCUCCAAUUUAUUUUUUAUUUCGAUUUUCACAUUCAUUCUUUUAAUUACAAUUUCUUAAAUCCUUUUUUGAAAUGAUAUUUUUUUUCAGGUUUCAUCAUUUAAUAUUUGAUUGCAAGGAUUGAGCUUCAUAUUUUUUUUUAUUUGUAGUGCUUCUAAUCUAAUGAUUUAGUUAUAAGUUUGAAAGGUUAAUGUCAUUCAUAUUUUUUUUUUCUCUUGUUUUCUUUUAUGAUCUCAUUGUAUAUUAGUUUUUCUUAUUUUUCUUUUUAAAGAUUGUUUUUAUGAUUCUCUUAAAUUUUUUUCUAUGAGUUUAUUAUGAUCUCAUAACCUAGAUCAUGAGUUUUGAAGGUCUUUUUUUAAUAGAAGUUUGUUUUAUUUUAUUUUUGAAGAUAUUAUUUUAAUCCACUUAUAUAUAUAUAUUUUUGUUUUAUCAUCAUCUUAUAUUUGUUUUAUAAAAAAUAUAUAUAUUAUCUCAUAUAUUGCAAUCUCAACAUUUUAAAAUUACUUCAUAUUGAAUUUUUAACUUCCUAAUGUCUUUACAAUAAAAAUAUAAUUUAAGCGGGGGCUCAGAAUCUAAGGAGUUGCCUCUAGCUCGAAUAAUGAUUGGUGAAACAUGUAAAAUUUCCUAAUUGUCUACAAAGGCCGGCCAGACAGGCACCUCCACGUAUCCAGUUUUGCUACACAGGUCAACAGAGGCAUUGCAGUCUUGACUACAAUUGUAAAGCGAUGGUCUUGACAAUUAUAGACUUGAGCACUUGUUGAAAUAUCUCUCUUAAUAGUGGAAACGAAUGUAAAUGGAAGCACGGUUGCCCAAGACCGGAGAGUGCUUUGCACUGAGUCGCUGUGGACAUAUUUGUGGAUAUAUACUGGUGUCUCUGUAGUCUAGAGACCAGAAGCUGGGUGGUGUGGGGGCGGUGGCCCUGCAUGGCAUUAGAAUGUGUGCAUGCAACACUUUCUAAAUUGAUGGUUGAAAAUGCCCAGCAUGGUUUAUUUUUGUGAACUAUAUUCAGUGGAAUAUUAUAAAAUCUUCACAGCAAAUGAUAGCCCUGGAGUCCAGCCUAUCAACAGUAGCAGUCGGAAAGAGCACCGCCGUAGCACAAAUGAUAUGCACCACGCACUAAUCCAUCCCUAUCACACGUCUAAGCUAGUGUUUUUUAAAUCGGAUGAUAUUUGUAGGCCUCGGGGUUUCAUCCCCAAUAAUGUGUGUCCUGGGGGGCCUGUGCCCUCCUUAUUUCCAAUAAGAAAAAAGAGAAAAAGAGAGAUUUCUUGGCUAGUUUUCUUGGUAUUUUAACAGUGCUUGAAAUUUCAUGGAUGUUGUGUGGAUAUACUUUUGCUACGUGUAAAUCAAGCAAUUAUUCACGAUUUAGUGUUUGUGUGUGUAAUUAAGCAUCAUUUCAUUUGAAUGAGAGGAGAGGAGAGGAAGAGAAAACCUUUUGAAUUCCAAAGGUGAGUUUUUCUUUUUUCUUUUGUAGUUACAAUUCAAAAGGUGAGUUAUAUAUAUAGCAGAACGCAUUUGAAGUGUUUAUAGUUGAAAUUCAAAAUUAUAUAUAGUUGCUAAUAUUGCUGCGUACGUGCAAUCAGGUUUGAGUAUCGAUAUUAACUAAAUUUUCCAAGGCUUUGUGUGCCUCGAGCAUUAAAUGUGACAGAUUUUGAUCGAUGGAGACCUCCAAGAUAGAGAAAGCCAUUUCCACAAGUUGAUAGACUCAUCCUCUCAGCCAGCUGGCUAGGUAGAUGCAACUUAAGCCAGAUAAAGGUUAGGACUGUAAAAUUACGUAGUAAGAUCUGCAUAAAUAAUUACUUAUAAUUAACUUUCAGCUCUUAAGAUAAGGCAGACCAGCAAGAUGCAAUCAAAUGAAGACAAACAUUGCUCUAAAACAAGGUGUCGGUACACAGCCACUCUCUUGCAUAUAUAUAUAUAUAUAUAUGUGUGUGUGUGUGUGAGAGAGACACUAUUUAAUCUAAAUUAGUUGUUUCUUGAUCAAUAUUGAGUUGCCAAGAAACUUUGUCUUAAUUACUUGGCGUGGGGUGAACCGGCCAACCCAGUGGGGUGGUGUCACCAAUUGUAAAGCCAGGGGUCCCAACGGCUAGCUAGCUAGCUAGCUAUUGUGGGCAUCUUUACCCACUAAGAUAUCUAAAAUCAAUGUCGUGUAGUCAGAUAAUAUUAGCCUGAUAUCAACAAACUCAUGAUAUAAUUAGACAGACGCAUGCUUCUACAUGUAUCAGCCGAAAGGCAAGGACAGGAGUUAAUGAGUUUCUUAAUUAAGCUUGCAUGUUCCUUUUUUUAUACAGAGAAAACCAUCUUAAUUUACUAGUUAUUUGCAUUAACUGGGUGUAUAUACUGUUAAUUAAGCUACCAGCUAGCAGAACGUACAGAAGUUUACAAACUGGAGGUGCCUGAGAAUUGAGGUGAGCAUGGAGCCAGCCUGGACAUCACAGAAUGUAGAAACACAACUGAAAUUGACAUGGUCCGUUAAUCAUGAUUAAAAUCAUAAUCAUUUGAUGAUUGAUUCAACUUUCGCCCCAAGUGGACCUUUAUGCUUAAAGCUGUCUCAUCAGCCAUAUGUAUUCUUCUGUUGUCUUCAUUUUGUAUCCCAAAAUCCAUUACGCAUCUCAUUAGACCAAAACAAAAAUAGAAAAAUCGUCGUGGGACUCGCAUUUCGUAAACACUACUUUGGAAAAUUCCUUGAGCCUAUUACAUGAGUUCUUACUGAAGAGCAGUACUGGACAUUAUUUCGUCAACAAAGGGUUUGCCUUCUGACAACAUUAAAAUAACAUGUUCCGUAAUACUAUACUCGAAAUAUGUACCGUGAAUACUAAGCACUGGUUAAAUAAAAUAAGAAAAAUGCAAGUCGUAUGUUGAAUACACACACACACACACAAAGACUUUGUACUCUUAAGUCUUUGCGAGGUGACAUACUAGGUGAUGUGUACUUGUGUUGUCUGCAUAAUAUUCCAGGCUGCACUUGCACUUGGCACGAGGAAGGUCUGGAAUGCACCCGCCGCCGCCCCUAAGGCGUUAGGAUUCCCUCAGUUAAUUAACAACAUCAUCUAAGUUUGGCCUUUGAAACUCAUCGAAAGUCCUGAAAAAUAUCUUGAGUGCACAUCUAUAGCUCUAUCCGCUCUCUCUCUCUCUCUCGAUAUAUAUAUAUAUAUAUGGACACACACACACAUACACGUAUUGUAUUAACUAGCUGUUUGGAAUCAAUACUUUUUUUAUAGGCCAGCUGGAAUUCAAUACUAAACAGGCAAAGUGUGAAAGAACACAAUAAAGCCCAGAAGGACUAGAGUAUAGAAGUCAUGCCCUCCUUUCUAGCUUGUGGGGAUUGAGUUCCAAAACAUAUAUACUUAAUUAGUCAUGAGUUCGAGGUUAGUGAGAGAAACCAGGAAUCAAUACGUCUUUCUGGUAAUAAGUUGGAUUCUUCAACACAAUUCAAUAGUAAAAACACACGUUUUUAGUAGCCAUCCCCAUGAAACUAUUGUGGUCACUCUUUGGUUUAAGAAGUUAUUUCCAUAGUUAUUAAACCCGGUCCGGCCCGGCGGGUCGACCCGGUGGCUGGACCGGUUCGGGUUUAAUAAAAGACCGGCUGUGGCAACAGCCCGGCCAAACCCGGGCGACCCGGCGGGUCGACCCGGGACCCGGGUGACCCGGGCAAACCCGGACGAGACCCGGGUUUUUUUUUUAAUUUUAAAUUUGGGAUAAAAAAAAAUUUGGUUUAAAUAUUUCAACUUAAAAUGAUAACAUAAUAUCUUUUUAAUGUGGGGUUUGAAGCCCUUUCAUAUAUAUACUCUAUGUUCACAUGAAAAAAAUUAUAUUUUUUCAAUGUGGGAUUUAAAACCCAUUAGUAUAUAUACUCUAUGUUCCCAAGAAAAAAAUCAUGUUUUUUCAAUGUGGGAUAAAAAAACCUUUUGGUUUAAAUACUUCAACUUAAAGGGAUAACAUAGUAUCUUUUCAAUGUGGUAUUUGAAGCCCUUUCAUAUAUAUACUCUAUGUUCCCAUGAAAAAAGUUAUGUUUUUUCAAUGUGGGAUUUGAAACCCAUUAGUAUAUAUACUCUAUGUUCCCAAGGAAAAACUCAUGUUUUUCCAAUGUGGGAUAAAAAACCUUUUGGUUUAAAUACUUCAACUUAAAGGGAUAACAUAGUAUCUUUUCAAUGUGGGAUUUGAAGCCCUUUCAUAUAUAUACUCUAUGUUCCCAUGAAAAAAGUUAUGUUUUUUCAAUGUGGGAUUUGAAACCCAUUAGUAUAUAUACUCUAUGUUCCCAAGGAAAAAUUCAUGUUUUUCCAAUGUGGGAUAAAAAACCUUUUGGUUUAAAUACUUCAACUUAAAGGGAUAACAUAGUAUCUUUUUAAUGUGGGAUUUGAAGCCCUUUCAUAUAUAUACUCUAUGUUCCCAUGAAAAAAGUUAUGUUUUUUAAACCAAAAUGUUUUUUAUCCCACAUUGAAAAAACAUGAUUUUUUCUUUAGGAACAUAGAGUAUAUAUACUAAUGGGUUUCAAAUCCCACAUCAAAAAAACAUAACUUUUUUCAUGGGAACAUAGAGUAUAUAUAUGAAAGGGUUUCAAAUCCCACAUUGAAAAGAUACUAUGUUAUCCCUUUAAGUUGAAGUAUUUAAACCAAAAGGUUUUUUUAUCCCACAUUGGAAAAACAUGAUUUUUUCCUUGGGAACAUAGAGUAUAUAUACUAAUGGGUUUCAAAUCCCACAUUGAAAAAACAUAACUUUUUUCAUGGGAACUUUUUUCAUGGGAACAUAGAGUAUAUAUAUGAAAGGGCUUCAAAUCCCACAUUGAAAAGAUACUAUGUUAUCCCUUUAAGUUGAAGUAUUUAAACCAAAAGGUUUUUUAUCCCACAUUGAAAAAACAUGAUUUUUUCCUUAGGAACAUAGAGUAUAUAUACUAAUGGGUUUCAAAUCCCACAUUGAAAAAAUAUAAUUCAACUUAAAAUACUUCAACUUAAAAGCUUAACAUAAUAUCUUUUUAACGUGGGAUAAAAAACUUUUUAAAAUAUUAUUUUAAACUUGAUUAUUUAUAAUAUAUAUAAUCUAUAUUUACAUGAAUUUUUUCAUAUGAAAUAUUAAUUUUUUUUUAAUUAUUACGGGUUAAUCCGAGUCAACCCGAGUUGACCCGGGUUGACCCAUGAAACCCGAGACCCGGCCCCUUGGCCGGGUCAACCCCCGGGCCGGGUUUAAUAACUAUGGUUAUUUCCACUGGGGAGGGAUCGAGUUCUUGCCUAAAAAAUUCUAAAAUCUUGAACAAGUCCCAGCCCGCACAUGCAUAUAUUCUGAAUUUGCCUAGCUUUUAUGAUUCAAACUGAGACUGCAGGUGAGGUGCCCGCGAGUACUCCCGAUUACCAACCCCAUUUUGGCAUAUUCAGUACUGCGAUUUGCGAUGCUUCCAUUCGGCCAAGUACUCUGUACGAGGGGCUUCUUCUAACAAGUGAGUGAUGAAAGGCACAAAAACAUCAACUGAAGAAAGGAAUGGAUCAUUAUAUUUUAUAUGGGAUUUCAAAAACUUUGGAUGGCAGAGUUUGCAUGUUGGACUUAUUUUCCAAUCGAUCCACUCCAUCCAUAAGUUUGCAGUGGUUUCAUGUAUAGACGAAUUUCCUAGUUUUUUCCAGCUCGCCAUAAUGUAAAAUUCUCCAGAAGGGAUCAUUUCGGUUUGGAGUCAAAAGAACAUGCAUAUGCUCCUCUGCAUUGAAAAGGAAAAGGACGGCGACGAGCUUGAUAACCAUGAGGACACAAUGAAGCUUGAGAGAAGAGGGGGAGGGAAAAAAAACAAGUGGCACAAAUUCAAAGACCUUAUUGUCAAACAGUGGAACUUAAAGGUCCACAGGCUUGGAAUUGCUCUAAAUAAUGUAGAGGGGAAAAAAAAAACUUAGCUUCAUUUUCAUGGAAAAGAUGCUCUAUUCCUAGCAUCUUUUUGGGCCAUACUCGAGUCGAUUGACAGUGAAGGAUAUACAAACAGGUGAAAGAAUUUAAGAAACCCCUCGAAGAAUUUUCACCUUCAACGGAUAAAGAUGUCUAAGUCUCUCUUUCCAUCUCUUUCUCUCCAACUUUUAUUUGUUGCACCACACUAGCAAACAAUUUAUAUGCUUAUAGAAUAACGUGCAGCUUAGGUAGGGGAAUUGAAGGCCCAGCACGUGUGGCUGAGAUUGGCACCGAGCUUGUGGGCCACCGGCUACCGGGAGCUGGGACUCUGGGGCACUGCGCCAGGGUGGAAAUAUGAAUUAAUGGGUUGUGGCCAGCGUGUCCAUGGGAAUUCGGACUCGUGCUUAUUCAAAAUCAGAAACAACUAGGAUAACGCAGGCAAAAUUGAAUAAAUAAAUGAGAAUUUAGGAAAAAAUUUAUAUUAAUUAAACAUUAUAAAACUACCAUUCAAUUCAUACAACUUAAAAGCUUAAAUUGUUAAUUAAUGAGACUUUAGGAGAUGUCGUUUUAUGUCAUACGCCACUUUCGUGCUCAUAUAAUUAAAUUGUUUUUUUGGUAAUAAAAUGAUGCGUUUCCUUUGGACAUAUUCCAAGCGCAACGUUGACCUCUGUGUUUGGAUCUGCACUUAAUGUGCGGAUGCUUUCCUUCCUUGCCCCUCGCUUCUAGCUGUCAAUGGGAGCCCGUUAGCCAAACAAACCCUUCAGAAAAGGAAAGUUAGCAAACUCGAAUUUAGCUACGACAAUAGGCCGCCCAAUGACGCAUUCAUGCAAUUGAUUAAUUAUUCUUUAUGGUAUAAAAAAUAAUUAAAUACUCUCUUGAUCUGCGUUGACGGUUCUCAGUUUUUUUUUCCUUUUGGAAAUACGUUUUCUCUAGUCAAAUAUUUGAAACCACUUACGUCUCUUUUAUUUAUUCUAUUUAAAAAAAUAAAGAAAUUGGAGAAUAACAUGAAAUUGAGAAAAAAAAUUAAAUUAUAAAUACAUUAAAGAAUACAGGGGUUAAACAUAAAAUUGCUGAAGCUGUGGAUUAAUUGUUUAGUUUUGUAAAAAUAUGCACAGAUACCUCUUAAUAUCAGUUUUGAUUGACAAUAUUCUCUAAAUAAUUUAUAUUUCUAUUCUCAACCCUUAAACUAUAAAAUGCUUUGAUCCAUACUCUUUUCAUUAUAAUUUAAUCAUUUAGUUGAGCAUGUUUCCUCAUCCUCAUAAAAUAUCAAAAACCUUUAAAAAUUAGUCAAAAAAAAUAUUUUUUUUAAAAAUAAUAUCCAUCAUUGUUAAGAUAAGCACAUUGAUAAUGUAAUAAAUUAAUAAAAAAAACUAACCCUCCACAAUUUGAUGACUUAUAUAUAAAAUUUAAUAGCUAACCAAAUGAAAUAUAGCAAAUUAAAGGUCCGUAAAUCUAAACAUCCUGUGGUUCAAGAAUUGAAAUCCAAAGAAAAAAAAUUAUUCAAGAGGAUGAAUUUAAAUGUACAAUAUACUUUUAGAUGUGUGUUUUUUUAUUAUUAACGUGGGUGUUCGGGUUAGCUUGUAUAUAUCUCAACUAAUCUCAUAGACCCUGAAAUUAAUAAUUAUAUAAGUCUCUAAUAAUUCUGAAAAUUAUAAGAUUCAAAUUGAUAAUCUUUAAAAAUUAAACCUAUAAUAUAUUUAGUUGAGUUACACCCCUUAUAUUAUAUUUUAGAUUAGUUUUUAUUCCGAAAUUGGUUAAUAUGUACUUAAUUUUGGUAUGGAAACGUUUAAUUUGGAAAAUAAAAGAACACAAGGGCGCGCAGUACAAGGCCCUAUUAUACGUACGAGUCCUUACCCACCCAAUCUCCAGCUAGAUACGAAGAACCAUCUUAUGAUCCAUGUUCUCAAUAGCUCAGGCAAGAUUCGAGGACUACUCUCCGCCCUAGAGAUCAGUAGUGUCGGAGAAUGGCUCCUUGCAGCUAAAAUUGAUCCUAGCUACCUUGAAAAUGUCUUUAUAGUAUGGGUUUGGCUGAUCUUCACAUACAAUAUAUAAAGUGUCUGCUUGCAUUGACUUUUCUCCCAUAGUUAAUUACGAAAAAGAAAUUAUUGCAAUAAAGAACAAGAUUGUUACGAGUAAAAAUCGUCACGAAGAACUAGGUUCAUGAGAGGCCACGUCAGAAUAUGUAAAUUCUAGUGUCUGAAUAAAAUCCUCAAUUUACGUACGUCCAGCAAGGUGAGGAUUUCAUCAAUCCAAGUCUUCGGAGGUGUUUGGCAUUGAGGUUCAACCUGUUUUUUAAAAAAAUUUAAUUUUUUUUUUUUUGCUAAAAUUAAAUGCGGUUUGUACUUUUUAGAUCGUUUUGAUGUGCUGAUAUCAAAAAUGAUUUUUAAAAAAUAAAAAAACAUUAUUAGCAUGUUUUUCGGCACAAAAAACUAUUUGAAAAGCAACCGCUACCACACUCCCAAAACCCUCUUUCUAUAUGCUCAAGCUAGCUGAGGACACCAUCAAACUAUCAAAUUAUUAUUCUUCUACCUUUUAUAUUAUAAAAAAAAUUAUUUUAAUUAAAUGAGGUUUUUUUUUGGCUACCUAGGUUUUUUGAAAGCAAAUCUAUAAAUAUUUGUAGUCAACCGUUGAUUUUCAAUAAAUCUUCAAACAAACUUGUCAAAAAUCUUUACAACAAAUAAAUCAAAAUCAAUCCAAUAAAACUUCUUUAUUUUUAAUAGUGUAAUUUCACCAUUUAAUGAAGAAAGCCUCAACCAAUAAUUAAUUCUUGUCAUAUAUAGUUUUCACAAUCACGUUUUCUUGGUCAACACAAGCACAGUCAAAGUCCACAAUCACGUUUUUCAUAAUAUAUAUUUUUGAAAAAAAAAAUUUUAAUUUUCAGAUUAACACUUUAAAACGAUUUAUGAACACUAAAAAAUUUAAUUCAAAGUCAAAAAAACAAAUUUCAAAUAUUGCACAAACAACGUUUUGACUGCACUACAAAACUCCCCGUAAAUAUAUACAAGUAAAAUACACAUUUUUUCCAGAAAAAUCUGAAUUAAACUGAAAGUAAAAUCCAUGUGAUUCACUUAAGUAACAUAUAUUAAACCCACCAGUCAUAAUACAAAGCAUUAAGCAAAACAUUAAGAUUAGUUCAGAAACGGAAAGAAAAGAAGAGAUAACACUUGAUCAAAGAUCUAUCCAACUUCAUUUCAUUCUUCAAUAAGACUCUCAAACAGAAAAGAACUUGUUAUACUUGCACUAGCUAGGCAGAUCACCCAACACCAUCUAGUGAGUUUCCCUAGUCGUUAUUCUCAGCCACUCCAACUGCAAUGUUUGCUUAGCCCAACAAGCUACUCAUUGAUCGAGCUUUCACCACACCAAGCUUCAUCUUCCUCUUUGACAUCACCAAUGGCUUCUCCUUAUCAUCUUCAUCAUAUACAACACUAACUUUAUCAUCCAAAGAAGCCCCUUUAGUCUCUUCUUUCUUCUACGAUGAUAAUGAAUGGCUCGAUACUUCCUCAGACGCGUCCUUCUUUGGUACAAUACUGGCAAUGGAUUGGCUUCAAACACUAUUCAUACUUCUUAGCCUUCCUUUACCCAAAUGAUGUUCGCAAAGAGAGUAUCCCACAAGGGUUUGUUGACAACACCUCCAUCCUCUACCAUUAACAUGACUGCACCGUGAUCCCUCCAACAGUGCACCACCCCUAGGCUUUGCUUUUACAUUGGAACCUGCACCUUCUUUUGUUUCCUUCUCAUCUUUUUCAUUAUCACCAUUCUGUUGCACACAUUUCUGGUUCAUCUUUGUCUUUAUUUUGGUUUUCAUUUUCUUGUUUCUAUCUAUUAUCGUUUCUUCAUUCGAUCUCCUUUCAAAGCUCCCUCUUCUCUUCUUUAGUGGGAAUGCCUUCUCUCCCUCACCCCAUCUCCCAACUCCUAUAGUGCAACCAAAUACAACAACGUAAACACUGACAAUAAUUUUUUCUACUUUGAAAUGGUUUUUGAACACAUAUAAUCUUUAUCUUGAUGGGAAGAACUAGACUAUUGAAGAAUUGUAACGUGUACUCCUUCACUCAAGAAACUUCCCCUCCUAAAAAUAAACCAAACCCAGAAACCCAAAUCCACAUAAUUUACAGCGAUAAGAAAAACAAGGAAAAACCAGUAAAUAAAAAAUGAGUGCAAAUUAAAUAGAGGAAGAUGUGUAUCUAUUUUGGGGACCAGUAGCGUGGACCCAUACUAGCAUGCACCUCAUGGGUGUAUGGAGAGUGUAAAUGGACUAGAUUAGAUGGGAGAAGGUAUGAUGGCUAGCCAAAGUUCAAGUUCAUAUAAAAACACUUGCAAACAGUAUUUUCACUUACAGUAUUUUUAUUUUCUUUUCCGUAGCCAAAACAUUAAUCCAUAGGUCUCCUUAUUUUCACCUUUUUCACUACAAGAUUUAAUGAAAGAAUAGAAGAACAUGGAUUUAACUUUUUUUUCACCAUUUUCUUACCUGGUAUCAUUACUCUUCUCUCUUAGUUCUCCUCCUUUAAUCCCAUCUCCCUCUUCCAACAAAACCUACAAUAAAAUCUCAAGAAAUAUUGAUGUACUAAAUCAUAAUGUAACCUUGAUGGGUGCAAAUUGGCCAUACAAAAAAGUAGAUCCAACAAAAUUGACUAUUUAAGUGACAUUGAACCCAAGUGCACCCUCAUGUAUAAUCACUCAAUAAAACUUAGAUAAAAGGGUUGUAGUGAUUUUUUGUUUCUUUUAACUAACCAAAUUAACAGUCAGUACUGCUUACCUUCUUCUCUUCUUAUGGCCCAACACCAUGGGAGCAAUCAUCAUGACCUUUGCUUCCAUCUCCAAUCGGUUGAUUUAGGCGAUCAGAAGGCAGGUGAGGAUCAAAGUAUUCAUCUUUUUGAGGUUCUUGAAGGAGACUCUGAUGUGGGCUGUUGUGUAAUUGAAGUUGCACCACCGAAGACUGGUUAAACUGGGGAUCUAAGAGAGGUAUAGGGGAAAGGGAUGAAAGAGGCAAGGGAACCUUUUUGUUUCUAAUCCUCAUCGGUGCAAGAAAAGAAAGAUUUGAUUACUGAAGAAGGAUAGAAAGGCCAAAAGAGAAAAAUUAUAGCCUAUAGAAGUAGAAAGUAGUGAUCUUUGAAGGUCAGAUUUCACAUAUAAAACUUAGAGAAAGAGAGUGCAAAGCUACCCAAAAGUAUUACUACUACAACAACAACAACAAAUAUAAGACCAAAAAAUGAAAAUUGUUAAUUAUUAAUUAAUAUAUGCUAUGCUUUAAUAACACCACAACAACAACAACUCUCUCUCCUUGUCUUUCUCUUUCUCUCCUUGUAUAUUUCCUCACCUUCUUUCUCCAACUUUUAUUCGUUGCACCACAGAAAGGUUAGGAAUAGGAAUAGUAGUAUCUUUAUGUUUAUGGAGGUGAUGUUCGCACGUGUGAAUACAGGGAGCACGUGUGGGAAACCUGUCGAAGAGAUAGCCAGUGAGAGGGAAGAAGAGGACAGGGCAGUGACGAGGAUUGCCAGGGUGGAAUGAAAGAACACAAAAUGAUGGGAGUGGGUAGUAAGUAGUUUUAUUGUUUAUACUUUUUAGAAGAGAGGGCCCCCAACACUCGCACACACAUGAGGCUCUUAUUAACAACGACCAAGAUUCUUUCUAAUUCUUUGCCCUCAGUUCAGCUUCUUGCAAGCUUAGAUAGGGCGCUGCCCAGGUGAAGAAAUAUUUUUUAAAAAAAAAAACAUUGUCACAAUAUUGUAAAUGAAACAUUGAGCUAAAUAGAAAAAGGAUAUAUGGUGAAAUUAAUGAAUUAAUAAAUUGGUAUGCAUAUAAAGAAACUUCAACAUUGUUUAGACGUUCCUCGAAACUUAUUAAAUUAUAGUUCCAGUGUAUUUAUGAUUUUGUAUAUUAGUACCUUUUGUUUUGAAAAUUUUAAGCCGACUAGAGUCUAUUAUUGAUUCUUUCUAAAAUACCCAAAUUGUCUUUCUUAAAUUUAAUUACGUUUGAUUUUAUUUGUAAUAAAUGAUAUGAGAAAUUUGACUAGAAUUGAAGGAUGUUUUAGAAAACACAUGAAAACAAGAAAAGAAUUAAGUCACAAACAAAUAUAAAAAUAUAGAGAUUUAAUAUUAGGUUUCAAGACUAAGAAAAAUUAACUAAUUAUAUUGUUAUGAGUCAUGUACGUUUAGUAUCUCAUCAAAUGUGAUAGAGUGGAUGACAUAGUUUCUCUAAUAAUACUUGAUGAUGUUCCAAAAUUAUAUAUGCUGAGGAACAAGGUUUUUUAGUAUUUGAAUAAUGAUUAAUCAAAUGUUCAUGUUAAUAUUCCCUUUUUCAUAACUUAGAAAGUACAUAAUUGAUGGUAAAAGUUCUAAUACCUGUAGAACAGUCUUUUUUUGUAGGAUUUAAGGACUCUUCUAUGAUAACUUCAGUAACUUUAAAUGAGGAUUGUAAUAAAUAAAUAAAAAAGAGCUUUAAAUUCUAAGAACAAAAGUGUUUGUUUUUGUUUUUGUUUUUGUUUUUGUGUGAUUCAUGGAAUAUUUAUAUUCUCUGAACUUAUUGUUUUGAUGGAGUGGAGAGAUUAGAGAGUCAUCUGGUCUUAAUAGCAUUAAUGAAUGAAAAUCUCUAACACAUAAUUAAUUAGAAACAAAUAUCUCUUACAAAUUAUUAAUGAGAUGAAAAUGUAGACCAACCGGAGACCUUUUAUACAUUUACAAAUGUAGAAAGAUGAUUAUUAUUUACAUGAAUAGUUCAUGUUAAAAGUCUUAAGAUAGAACUCUGACCAAUUGGGUCUUGCAUGUGGCUGAAUCCAAGUAUAUUGGGUACGACACCUUGGCAGACCAAUGGUGUCUUGGGUUCAGAACAUGGUUGAAUCCAAGUAUAGUAGGUCUGACAACUUGUUAGAAUCACGGUGCCUCAGGCUCAACUCAUGGUUGAACUCAAAUAUACUAGGUCUGGCACUUUAUCAAAUAUGUGACGCUUUAGGCUCAACAUGUGAUUGAACCCAAGUGUAUUUAGUUUGACACCUUACCAUACACACGAUGCCUUAGGCUUAGCUCAAGGCUAAACCCAAGUAUAUUGAUCUGGCACAUUGCCAUACCCACAACGUCUUAGACUCAACAUGUGGCUGGACCUAAAUAUAUUUGGUUUGACACCUUGUCAUACAUAUAACGUUUUGGGCUCAAUUUAUGGUUGAACUCAUACACACAACACCUUGGGUUUAGUUCGUGGCUAAACCCAAGUAUAUUGGGUUUGGCAACUUACCAGAUCCACAACGCUUUAGGCUCAACAUGUGGUUGAACCCAAGUGUAUUGAGUCUGACACCUUACCAUACACACGAUGUCUUGGGCUCAAUUCGUGGUUGAACCCAUAUACACAACGCCUUGGGUUUAGUUCAUAGCUAAACUCAAGUAUAUUAGGUUUGACAUCUUACCAGAUUCACGAUGCUUUAGGCUCAACGCGUGGCUGAACCCAAGUGUAAUGAGUCUGACACCUUGCCAUACACACGACGCCUUGGGUUCAACUUGUGGGUAAACCCAAAUAUAUUGAGUUUGAUAGCUUGACAAACUCGCAAUACUUUAAGCUCAAUGUAUGAUUGAACCCAACUAUGUUGAGUCUGGCAACUUACCGCACUCAUGUUGGUUUGGGCACAAUACAUGAUUGAACCUAUGUAUAAUGGGUUUAGCAGUUUGUCAGACUAACGGCAUCUUAUGCUCAAUACAUGACUGAACCCAAAGUAUAUUAGAUCUAGAAAUUAGCCAGAUUCACGUUAACUUGAGCUGAACAUAUGGUUAGUCCAAAUAUAUUAAAUUUUAAAUUCUUUCAAAGCAUCAAAAUAUUGAAUGAAAAAAACUGACUCAUUAAUACUAUAGUAAAAACCUUGAAGGGUAUUGGAUGUUAUAGAUUGCUUGAAAAAAAAAAUAUUAGGAUGUAUGAAAUUAUGAAGACCACUAAGUUAAGAUUACUUAAAUAUUCUUGUGUCCAUAUUAAAAAUUAAUGGAUACAUAUAAAUAUACUUUUUAAGUUGCAUAGUUAAAAUUAUUAAGUCGAGAGAAUUCUUUAACAUGAAAUAAUAAAAUUAUAAAUUUUAUUUAAAAUAGAAUUAAGAUAAGUGGACCAUGUAGAGGAUAAAACUAAAAUACAUUUUGAGAUUAGAUUUAUAUUUUUUUUUUUGUGGAGGAUCUAAAUAGAAUUUUAAAUCUUAAGAAUGGAAAUUCAAAUUUUGAAUUGCAUAGAGCUCUAAUUCAACAUUUUCAAGUAUUCAUUGAUAAUUAUUGUUAUGAUUAUUUUUUCCAAAGGAAGGACCUUCAGGUCAUUCUUAAGAGAAAGAGAAGUAAACGCAAGUGGCCAACACACAAAAAAGUGACACUAUUAACUUCAACUUGAAAAGGGCAAAAAGCACCUGAAAUACCGUGCACAUACAGCAACCAAGCAAUGCAACUCUCGUUACGGUCUCCUUGCUUAGCUGGCGAGGUCGCAGGGCCAGUAGCUUCUGCUAUUCCUGUAAGAAGGUUGACAGACUGUGUUUUCAUGAACAGAUGACAAAUAGCAUUGAGAAUUUGAUGAAUCUCGCCGGAUAAAUUCUAUAAUUAGCACAAUAAACAAAAUAGUAUAGUUUAAUCGUUUUAUAUUUUCGAAGUACGACAUGAUCAAAAUAUGUUAUUUUUAACCAAUUAACUGGUUUGUAAUGGUAAAUAAAACAAGAAAAUAACAAGAAAAAUAUCAAAACUAUCCAAAUCGAGUAGGCCUUGAUAAGAUUUUUUAUAUCUAAAAAUUCUCAUUUAAUUAUGGCAGACUCGUACUGACUACUUAAAAUUAUUAAUUAUUAUAUGAAUAAUAAUUUUUUAAAAUUUUAAUUAGAGUUUAUUUUUUAGUUGACAAAUUGGACAAAAAUAUAUAUUUUGACUCGAAAAAUAAUUUUUAAAAAGAAUUUCAUAAAAUUAUGGUUGUUAUGUUAAACGAUCUAUUAAUUAAUACAAUUAAAUACAACUGAUCGAUCAAUUAAGGUAGAAGAUUAGAGUUUGACCAUGACAUGUUUUAAAAAUACGGCAUGGUUAAUCUAUGCUAUUUCACUAAUUAUUUUUUAAUCAAUAUCAAUUCGUCAAUUUUUUUAAUUUAUUAAGCUAAUUAAAAAAAAAUUAAUCCAAUCUCCCAUGACUUUGAGCUGUUUCGACUGACCGAUGAGUAGCAUUCAUUGAGUCUAAUUCAACCAUUCGAAUGGCAUGAUUACCGUAGAAAUAUAUGUAGGAUGUUUUAUAGAUUUCAAAUGUUUAAUUUAAGUUCAAUUUGUUAAACUAAUAUAUAUAUAGUAUUAAUUAAAAGUACUGUAUUAUAUAUUAUAUAUAAUACUAAAAACGUUGUGGUUUUAUAGGUUUUAUAUAAAUAGUGAAGCACUUGAACUGUUUUUUAAUUAUUAUUUUUAUUGUGUUUUUUUUUUCUAAUCCCAAAUGCACUACAAUUUUAUAUUAAUCCAAGAGAUUAUUUUAUUUAUUUUUAAUCCCUAAAGUCAAUAAAAAACAACACAAGAAAGAGGAAGUUUUUGAUUAUCACGAUUUCAACAAUUAAAAUAAUCAGAUUUAAUAUCAAAGAGUUUGAUUCAACUAGAGUAGUUAAUGAUUAUAUAUUUUUUACAUUGAAUAAAUUCAGACUUAAUAUAAAAUCAAGAGUAAUUGAACAAAUUCUCUUGAUUGUUGGCUUUAAAAUUUAAAUUCAAUAAAAAAAACAAAAACUAUAUACUUAUUUAUCAUGUCAAUCUCUUAAAAUUCAAGAUAAAUAAUUUUAAAUUCCAGUGUCAUAUGUGGAGAAAUUUUAUAGUGAUUAUAGAAUAAAUAAUAAUAUCAUAUUAGUUAUAUGCACUAGAUCUAUUUAAAAGAAAAUAAUGGAUAUAAUUAGUAGAGAGAAAUCCUAAAUAGAUAAAUUCUUGUUAUUUUUUUUUAUAAGUAAUAAGUUUUAUUUAUUUUUUAAAAAAUUAAACUCAUAAAAUAAUUAAUAAAAUAUCACUAAUUACUCCACUUACUAUAAAAUUUCUUAACUUGUGUUGAUAUCUGGUUUACAUAAACAUAAUAUUCAGUGUAAUAACUAGUAAAUUUCUUUUUUAUGUGAACAAUAGUGUAAUACAUGACAAAAUAAAAAACUAAAGUCUAAAACGAUUUCCACGAGGUCACCCAAUUUAGGACAAGGCAGCAAAGUCAACAGUACACAAGUACUUGAAAACGUGCGAAUUCUGGGCCAACAUUAGCUUGGCAGCUCAUUCCGAUAAUCAAACCACCACGCGGAUCCAUCUUUCACCCGAAUCAAUAAUGAAUUUCAGCAAAUCCAAGUAUCCAUCCCACAAUCUUUCUGUACAAUAUUCAGACCAAUUUUUGCUGGUAAAUAGGGUAUCAAAUAAUAACAAAAGCUACAGCUUUUCAAGAUCACAGAGAAUUCCAUCCAAGCACCUCCAAACUAAGACUACAGCUCUAAAUCCAGAAACAGAACUUUACAUAUGGCGAAAGAGAUCACAAUAAUGAGAAGACAGACAAAUUCUACACACACACACACGUUCCAUCUCUGCUUUCUUCUUUUUAGAUAUCUGAUGUAGAACAAGUAGCGGAAGCAUACAUGCUCAAGAGGGAUCAUCCGAAAUUCAAAGGCAACUGAAUUUCAGCAGCCGGGGUGUCGAAAGUUGGAAUGCUGCGAAACUGACUGGGUCAAUGCGUUUCGCCGUUUGCUAAAUUCCAUUGUUUCGGCCCCGAAAUUGUCAUUUUUGCCAUUUUAGAAAAGUUUUGUUUUAGUCAUAACUUUUGAUUUCCAUGUCCGAAUUGACUUUCGUCAAUUCCUGCUUGCUCAGGAUUUAUAGGCCUUUCAUAUUCUGCAUUUAUCUCAAAUUUGUCAUUUAUGGUAAAUUUAAUGUUUUAUGUUGUUUCCUUAUCCGUCAUAAGUUUAGAUUAGGGUUUUGCUUUAAAUAUCAUUGUAAAGUCUCUGGCCGGAAUUCACCUAAUGAUUAUUGAAUAAAAAAAACCUUUGAGUUUUCUGAGAGUCUCUCUCGUUUUAGAUAAUUUUACAGAAUAUUGACGUUGGUCGUAUUUCUUCACUGUUUACUGUUGCGUCAAUAUCAUGCACUGAUGUGUAUCCUUGGCAUCUACAACGCAUAAUGGUGUAAUAUGGUCCUCAUGAUUAAUCGUUCUUAUCUUAUUAUGAUCAUGAAGAAGACAUGCUGCACAACCACAUGCUUUCUUGAGUGGACCAUAAGAAAAAGAAGGACAUAAACGUAAUAGUUGAACUCCCAUUGACAAAAGGCAGAUGGGGAUGAGCUCCGAAAAGAGAGAGGCUACGGGGACCAGCUUCACGUGCACUAAGCAGUAAUUAUGGGGACUGCAUCUUAUUUGCCUGGGUCAAAUUUUAUGGGCUGGGCUUGUAUUGUUUUUAUAUUCGGGCUCUUUUCCUGGACCAAAUGGGCCCAGUACCUUUUAUUAAUUGCAAAUAAUUUAUGUUAUUGUUAGUUACAAUUUUUUCAAUGCAGAACCAAGACACUAUGCAUGCUCUUAUAAUUUACCGUAGACUUACUAUGUUAUUUUUUUUUCCCUUCUUUACGGUCAUCAAUUUUUUUUUUAACCGAUUGCAUCCUUUUGGUGCUAAAUUAAAACCCAAUUGCUUUCAUUUUGUUGGGCAAUGCAAUAUUGAUAGAAAGAGAGGAUCAAAUAAAAAGAAGGGAUAAAAUGGAUUGUUGUUUAAAAAGUCACAUGAAAAGUUCAAUUUGAUUCUCGUGCUUUUCAAGUUAUAAAUAUUCAGUCCUUUAAAUUUUUUAAAAUAUAAUUUUAGUCUAAAACUUUAUUUUUCUUAGUUUUAAGUUCCUAGUUUGACAGAGAAGAGAGUGGUUUGAUUUUGGUGGAGGAGAGAGAAUCUUAAUUAACAACAAUUCCAACCAUAAAAAAAAAAAUUAAUUUUAGUGUAAAUGAGUUUCUUUUAAUUAGAAGAGUUUCACCUAGAUGUUAUUUGUUCUUCUCCUUGCCUAAAAAUGAUAGACUUGAGCUCAAGAAGCCUUUUGAUUUACAAUUACUUUGGAUUUUUAGGCAAGUUUUUUUUGUUAUUUGAGGUCAUAUAUGAUUUUUGGGUCAGAAUAAUUCAAAAAUAGAUCUGUAGAUCAAAAAAACAUCAACCUUGAUUUACCAGCUAUCACUUUGGAUGGAAUUGAAGGAAAAGUAGAUGACGUGUCAUUUUUUUUUUUCAAAAUCAUUAUAGACAAACAAUAAGCCAUCCACCAUUUACAAAAAAACAAAAAAAAUUAGUCAACCCGACAACACGUGCUCGGGCCUUUUUUUUUUCAUCUGAGUUUUUUUGUCCUUUUUUUUUCUUUUAAUGCUAGGCUUUUAUUGAUUUUUUUAUUUGUUUUUUAAAAAAAUUUAUGAUGUUUUUUUUUAAUGUAAUACGACUAAUUUUUACUUAGUUUACAAAUAAAAUAUUAUCAUUUUUUUUUCUAAUUGUAAGGCAUUCUAUCUAUGUAGCUAUAUAUAUAUAUAUUGGGAUGGAACAAUGCUAUGCUAAGAGUUUUAUUUUUUAAUUGUCUUUUCGUUAAAUGAAACAUUAGUUUCAAGAAACAAAGUUAUUAAAUACAAUCAAGUCUAUGACUUGUGUUUUUAUAUCAAAUAUUUACAUCAAUAUAUAUCUCUCAAAUUGUCAAUUUGAUAUUUGGUUAAAUAUAAUAUAUUUUUACCUGAUUUUCACAUAAAUUAAUAAUUGUUUGUCCUAAUAUGUGUAACCUUAUAUAAUAUUGUUCCCAUCUGAUUUUAUUCAAUCUUUUUUUUAUGUGUAUGUCUAUUUCUAUUAUCAUUUGAUUAAAUUAAAAAUUAUUAAAUACAAUUAGGAACAUGAUCUAUUUUGGGAGAUCAAAUAUUUUGAAUUACAUUUGUUUCUUGAUUUUUCCAAUUUAGUAUUUAGUUAUUGUCAACAACUUUUUUAUAUAUAGUUAUUAGCACAUAUAAUUCUCAAUUUAUUUAAUUAAAUACAAUUAUCAACUUUUCAAUUUAUGAUUAAGAUUUUUUAUGUCAAAAAACACAUUGGAAAAACGUAUAUAUUAAAAAACAAUAUCUUACCUACAAUGAAAUGUGAGUCAAAUAACUAGUAUCAUAUGAUAAAAGAGUAUGGUAAUUCACUAUUUUUAUAUCUACUUUUAUUUAUAUUGGAUGCAACUUUUAAUCUUUCAUUAGGGCGGACCUUAAUUGAAGAUCUAUAUGAUUUUUUUCAUAAUCAAUUUUCAUUACAAUAAAGUAUUAAAAAAUUAAAAAAAAUUAUUUUUAUAUUUAUUAAACAAAUUUAUUCAAAGUAAUCUUAUAAAAAACUAUAAAAAUAAAUUUAAAUAUGUUUUUAAAAAUUUGAUACAAAACAAAUUAUUUAUAUUUUUAAAUUUAGGUAUGGAGAUUCAUUGAAUGAAGGAAAAAGUUCCUCUAUGCCUACCUCUAUUCGAAUAAAUUAAAGUUGGCCUCCAAGUAAAAUUACCAACUACUUUCAUAUUACAUUAUAUUUGAAGUGUAUAAUUUUUUAAUUGUGGAGUGGAUAAAAUAAUUCAGGCUUAACCGAGUCUAAAAAAAAGGCGAGGGGGGAGAGGACACAUAAAAGAAAGGAAAAGAUGAAGAACAAAAAAGAAGAAGAAAAAGGAAAGGGACCUAAUUGAUCCCAAUAAUAUUUGGCCUAAUCGAACCCAAUGAGAAAGGGAAAUGAUAGAGAAGAAAGAAGGAAAAGGGAGAAGGAUAAAAGCCCAAUUUGGCUUAUAAAAAAAAUAAGAAAAGAAAAGGAUCACCUAAAAAGAAGGGGAAAAAUACUAGAGAGAGGAAAAAACCCAACCAAACCUAGAGAAUGGAAGAAUACGAGGAAGAUAAAAGAUGGUCCAGUUGGGCCCAACAAAAAAGCCCAACUCGACAAAAAAAAAAAUGAAAGAGAAGAAGGAAGGUGUGGAAAACAAGGGAAACAAGGAAAAAAGAGAGGAAAAGAAUCAUAGGCCAAUGAAGUUACACUAGCUAGGAAGAAUUUCCUCACACAACUAAGCCAACAAAACCAAGAAAGAAAGACUACUACCAAAGGUUGAAAGCUGUUGCAUACAUCACUUGAAAAUAAAGGGUCUGCUUACAUGUAGGCACAUGUAUUACACGUUCCAAACAAUGUUUUCCCCCUUUUUUAUUUGUCUUUCAUUAUUUAAUAAGUUUUUAAUUUAGUCUUUAAGUUAGCCCAACCAAAGUAGGAGAAAGAGAAAUAACACCCCAACCAUGCCUAAAAAACCCAGCCCAACUGAACUGACCUAGAAAAGUGAGGAAAAGAAGGGAAAAAAAGAAGAGAAAAGGUGGCUAACUUAAACUGACAAACAUACUUUAAUUUUCAUCUUACAAAGUUAUUAGUACGGUGCACACCUUAACUCCUAAAAAUGUCAGCAUAACUCACACUUGAACUCUCUAAAUUAUUAGUACGAUGCCUACCUAAAAGCAUUGUCUCAUUAGUUAACAAGAAUAACACCUAUAUGAAUAACUCAUCCUGACAAGCUAAUUCUGUAGUCAUUCAUGAUGAAUUAAAUAUUCUUUAUUAUUAUUUGUGUGAAUAAGUCUGUGACCUUAUGGAUAAUAAUAAAAAUAUAGGUGAUACAAGGUAUACAAGUACUAAAGACCAUUAAGUAUUAAAAAGAAAUGAAUAACACAAUAAAUCUACACAUAAAGACCAGAACACUCAUUCUCGUACACUUUUAUUUUCCUUCUUUUAUAUAUUAUUUCUCUUAUACGUUUUGCUAACUUGGACAUUAAAGGUCCUUUAUUUUGUAUAAAAGAGUUGUUUUAUAAAAAAACAUGGAUUAUUAGCCUAAACCCAACUUAAAAAAAAAAUUCAUUAAACAAUCAUGAAGAAGCCAAGAUUUAACUAAAGUUUUUUUUUGACUUAUUAGUCAAUUUGAUUUUUGUUGAUAAAUACCCAUAAAGUAUCGACGACUGACUUACUAAAAGGUAGUGAAAGAUCAUUAAUGGUGUUGCACAUAUGCAAUAAAGGCCAAAACAAUCUAUUACAUCUUAUUCAUUUUGUUUUCAAACUAGUUAUGGACCUGUGUUGCGUUGCAAGGUUGGUUUUUUUUUUCUUCUAAAAAAAUAAUAUUUAGACGUCACAAACAUAUUUUUAAAGCAGGAAGAACAAUCCAUGACUAAGUCAUCGACCUGAUUGGGUCAAAUAAGUUGGUUCUAUUUUAAUUAGAUAAUAAAAAAAAUAUGCAAAGACAACAAAUGAAUCAAAUUUAUUAAAAAAAAAAGAUCACAAUAACUUGUGAAAAAAACAUUUUAUCAAAAUAAAAAAAUGAUAUAGCUCAAUUCUUAUUCUAUAAAAUAUAAAACGAUAAAAUUAGGUAAAACAAAAAGGACAAAAAAUCAGCCCAAUAUAACUCUGGUUAGUAUGACAAACUUAUAAUCUAGACGAUAAAGGUUGAGCUAACCUAGAUUAAUCCUCUAAAUCUACAACUCAGUUAUAAAAUCAAGAUAACACGAUAAAAAAUAGUGUUUUUAUAAGGGGUUUGAGGUUUAGUUAACAUACAAGCUGGCAUUUAAUUUUUUUUCUUUUAUAUUCGUUGUACUAUGUUAAGAAAAGUAGUUGUAUGUAAGACAUCCAUAGGGUAACAACACCAUUUUAUAAGUAAUUCUUAAAUUUUUAGUUUGCUUUUGAGAGAUCACUAGUUCGAGUCUUAUAAAUUUUAGAGUUAUUGAAGAUUUACAUGGUCAUUAACUUCAGGGCCCGUGUGAUUAGCUGAGAUAUACACAAGCUAACCCGGACACCCAUGAUAAUAAAAAAAAGUAAUUCUUAAAUUGUCAAACUUCAAAUCAAGUUUCUUCUUUUUUAAAGGUAAAAUAACGAAACAGAAAAGAAAAGAAAAGUUGGAUUGCACUCAUUUCUUCCACGCUUUUAGCUUGUUUGUCUACAGAAAAGUUGGAGGGCAUCAUUUCUGGAGCUGGAUGAUGAGCUCAACUCAUCUUCUUCGACUGGUCUGGAAAAAUAUUGUAAAAUAUGUAUACGAUGACAAUAAUAUAGGCAUUAAUAAAUAAUAUUAGAUAUAUUGGUGAAUUCGAGGCUUGGUCAACGAGCUUACUUAUUCAAAGUUUGUUAAAAAGAUUCACCUACUCUCAACAAACAAUAAUUUGCCUUUAAUAAAGCGCGAACAGCUCAACUGUUCCAGCUUGAGAGGCUUAAAAAUUAAUUAUAAUUAGUAUCACUCUUCAUAAACAUGUUCCAAUAACAUCAAAUAAAAGUUGGUCCACUAAUCACAAAUUAAAUUAGCUAAAUUGAACCAUGGACUUGUAUAUUAUAUAGUCCUAUAAAAUAACACGAAUAUAAUCAUCAUAAUUGAAGCUUUUUUAACACUCUGGUAAAAGAAAUUGAGUGUUUAAUAUAAGUUAAAUUUUAGCUUGUUCUUUGUUUUAUUUUAAAUGACACUUGUAAGUUUCAAUUGACACCUAAAAAAAGAAGAAGAAGUUGGAAUAGUAAUUUGAUAUCAUUUGUAUAUUCUCAUUCCAAGCAAAAAAGACAAAAACCUUGUGUAGGUUGUGUCAAACCUAAAGUUUAAUAUAAUAGAAUUAAUAACAAUACUAAUGCAUUGUUUGUGAACACCGUGCAAACUGUGUUUUAUAAAAAUUUUAUUUUUUUUUUGUUAAUUUUUUUAAAAAAAUAUGAAAAAACAUCAUUUUAAUACAUUUUUAUAUAAAAAACAUUUUAAAAAACAACUACAACCAUACUUCAAUGACAUUAUAUUUUUGUACGCACCAAUAUAAUAUAAUUAAUAACAAAAUAAUUUGAAGAAAUUAUCCCCUCCUUAGAUGGCAACCCUAGGUCGGCACCAAUAUUUAGUAAAAUGGAAAACAUUUCUCUUUAAUUUCUUCAAUUGUACCUUGUCCCAACAUUUAAUUAUGCUCAUCAACAUAAUUAUAUCAUCAAUUUAACAAUUUAAACAAGAAAUUCCUCAAAUCCCUAAUUCUCUCCGCCUAAAUAUCACGUUAAACUACUAAACAUGCACAAUUAAUAUUAAUUGUUCCAAAACAAAGGUUAUUACCUUAUAAUAUGAAGGAUUGAAGAAGAAAAAUGAGAAGAACUUCUUGAUUUCUCCCCUCCUUCCCUUCUCUCUCAAUUUCCCCCAAUUCUCCUCCUCCUCCUACCAAGCUUUAAACUUCCUCAAUUUUUUUUAUGUAAACAACCUCCCUAAAUCUUCGGACACUCCUUUUUAUUCUUUUAAUCAAAAGAUUUUGUGUAAUUUAUAAAGAUUUUGCAAUAAGUUUUGAUUUUUUUUCUUCCCUUCUCUUGAGCAAUGGUGACCAGCUGCUGUUGGCUUUCUUAAGAAGCCAAGUGCCCUUCUUAUAUGGUGUCAUAAAUCCCAUAAUUACCAUAUUACUUUUCAGUAAACUUUCAGGUGUUUUUCAUCCAAUCGGGUACUCCAUCUCGGUCUGUUUUGAUGGUCAACUAUACCCGAACCUAGAUUUAAUUAUCGAACACUACCCCCAUAAUUAUUUGUUAUUCCAUCACUAUAUUUAUUUUCAGGGUCUUUACAGUUCUUUUGACCCUCCACCCAAAAAAACACUUUAUAUUGAUUUUUAGGGGUAUUAAAAUCUUUUUACAUGUUCUAUUUAUCAUUUUUAAAUUGAAUAAUUUCAAAUAAUUUUUUUCUUUUUAUAUUAAAUUCACAAUAAAACGAUCAAAAUAACUUUAGAAGCAAGAAAAUUAAACUUGGCAUAAAAUGAGUAUUUUUAUAUUUUCAGUUUUUUAAUUAUUAUAAUUUAAGCUAAAGAUUAAUUUUGUAUUUAUACAAAUAUAAAUAAAUAAUAAACAAUUAAAAUAUACAAUAAAAUGAUGAAAAUACCCUUAAAUUUAAAAUAAUUAAGCUUGAGGUCAAAUGGUGUUUUUGAUUUUUCACUAUGAUUUUUUUCUAAUUGUAAAAACUAAACAUGAGCAUAUUUACUUUUGGCUAAAUAUAUAAAAAGGAAAAAAGUGGGUGCACGUGUGGUACACCCAAGGCAUGUGGAACAUGCUCGUUCCUUUCAAGCAAUGCGUGUUGCGUUCCCGGACAUUGGAAAAUGUCCUUGCACUGUGUCACCUUCUAUUUGGCGUGACGUGUGUCACUAGUGGUAGUAUGAUUUGGUGUUGGUGGGUUUUUUUUUUCCCUUCUCUCUUUCCUCCCUAAAAAAUUGCAAUUUAUUAGUGGUAUUUCAACUUCAGUCCUUAUUCUUUUUAUUUCUAAUUUUUAGUUUUGGCCUUAUUUAGAAGUUUUAUUUAUUUUCAUUUUUCAUCAUUCAAUCCCAAUUUAUCAAUUAUUAUAUUCUUCAAUGUGGUUCUUAUUUUUUAAAUUUUUAAUUUUUUUCCUUGGUAUUUUUGUAAAAGAUUUAGUAGUUCUCAAUUUUUUCAUUCAAUUCAAAUUAAUGGUAUUAUAUUUUCUAAUUUGGUUUUUAUUAUUUUGAUUUCUAAUUUUUUUUCUUGCUCUUUUUGCAAACGCUAUUAUUCAUUUCAAUUCUACCCUUUAAUUACAACGUUGUUUUUAUUUUUUAUGUCAAUUUUAAUCCUUAUUUGUUUUAACUUUCUUUCAUCCUUUUAAUAUUAUUUUUCAAUUUCACCCUUCAAUUAUAUAUAUAUAUAUAUAUAUAUAUAUUAUUUUAAUUUUGAUACUGAUUAUUUUAAUUUCUAUUUUUUAAAAUUACUUUGUAUAGCUGAAUUUUUUUUUUCAAUUCCAUCCUUCAAUAUUUCAAUGACUAGGAAUUGGACUUCAUGACUUUUUUAGAUUGGAUGCUUCAGGUCUAAUAAAUCGAGCUAUUAGUUUGAAAAAUUAGCACAAUUUUUUUUUCUGUUUUUUUUUUAUAAAAGAGCUUUAUUAUUAUUAUUUUUUUGAGUUAUUGUAAUCAUAUAAUCUAGACCGCAGUUUGGUAAGACAUCCCGAGUUGACUUAAGUCUAAUUAUUAUAGUUAAAAGUUUCUCAUGACUGGUUUUUUUUUUUUUUUAUAUCUUUUUUUGACCCAAUUUCAACAAUUGAAUAUUAUUUUUGUACACAAAAAAUAGUCGAGUUCCACAAUGAAACGCAUGCACCUAGUCUAGUUAUAGCUAUAUCCACGAACGGGUUCUAAAGCCAUAAUUGCAUUUCAAUAUAUAACUAACUAGUCAUCUCAAAUAUUUCAAUCAAGAAAAUUUUCAAAAAAAUAAAUAUACACAAUUAGGGAUGAAAUUAUGGAGAAACAUUGAAAAAAGAGUUGAAACUAGCUAAAUUAUUGAAAAUUAAAAAGCCAAGGAUCAAUUUGAAAAAAGUGCCAAUAUUGAGGGACUAUUUUCAAUGCAAUCAUGAAUGAAAAUGGUCAAAAAUGGCUAAAAAAUAAAAAUUGAAAAUCCAAGGAUUAAAUUGAAAAAGAUGCCAAUAUUGAGGGACCGUUUUAAAUUCUAUUAGGAACUAAAUUUUCCAGGAAAUUUUAAAAAAUAAAAAACAAGGACUAACUUGGAAAAUGAGGCAAACUUGGAAUACCUUUUUUUUAAAAUUAAAAUUUUUUUUGAGCUAAAAGAGCAUCUUUAACAAAAAUAAAUUAAAACGACGUUGUUUUGUAUUGAAUAAAAAAACAAAGUAACAUAAAAAUUUAUGUCAUUUUGAUGUCCAGGACCAAAAUAAUUCCUUUUUCCCUAGUGUGGUUACCUGCAAAAAUUUCUUAAAAUUAUAUCUUCUAAAAUUAAUUUAAACUACAGGUAUCGCUAUAGUCUAGUUUGAAAUAUUUCAUGUCCAAUAUGUUUCAACCAAAAACAAACGGAAUUACCAUUAGUUAUAUAAAAGACAAUACAUCAUCUUCUAAAACAAUCUUAAAGACUACUUCAGAUUCCUAAUCUCAAAAUGAAAGAGAUAAGAUAGAAGAAUAACACAACAAAGACGAGAGGGUAUAUGAAAGAAAGAAAAAAAAAGAGACAUAUUUAGUUGAUGGUGAACAAGAGGGUAUAUAAAAGCAUUUCACCCUUAUAUUUUUUUUAUGUAGCAUAUUUGAAACAAUAUAUAAAACAUUUAUUCUUUUUUAUUUCACUAUAUUAUGUACGUUUUAAUUAUUCAAUAAGUUUUCCAUAAUAAUAUUUUUUUUUCUAUCAUAAUAUGGACAAUAUAUAUUUCUAAUAUAUUAAGUAUUUUAAUUUUUAUAUAGAUUUCAAAGAAAAUAUUCAUUAAAUAAUUAUUAGUUAUUAUUUUUUUAAUUUUUCAUUUAACUUUAUAAAACAUAUUUAUUAAAUAAAUUAUAAUUUAAUUUCUAGUACUAUAAAGUAUAUAUAUAAAAAAUAUGAUUUGAUAAUUAAAUUUUUUUCAAUUUUUAUUUAGUGGAAUCAUAAGGAGAGUUUUGUUAUACUAUUAAAUUUGGGCUCAUAACCAAGAAUAUGCAUGGUUAGGUUGGGAUACAACCGAUAUGUGUAAGCUAGAAGAAUACUAGCGAUGACUUUUUGGAAAUCUAAUUAUAAUUAUUUUUUAAAGUAUUUUUUAUUUAUAAAUAUAUCAAAAUAAUAUUUAUUUUUUAUUUUUUAAAAAUAAUUUUUGAUAUCAACGCUUCAAAAUAAUAUAAAAACCACAAAAAAAAUAUUAAUUUAAAGCAAAUAAAAUAAUAAAAAAUACUCAUAUUUUUUCAAAAAUACAUUUGAAACGUAUAAACAAACAUAGCUUUUCUUAAUAGUUUUCUAAGAGACUUGCUUAAAUCUACUUUCAUGCAUUGUACACAACCUAAAAUCAUUUUUGAGCUUGUUUUUAACUCAAAAAAAAUUAUUUAAGCUGUUAGUUAAAAUUUUAAAAUAUUACUUACAUUAUUCUAUAACAUUUCAUCAUUUCCAUGCUUACUUAAGGCUUGUUUUUGGUCUAUUAACUUACCAUGAUGCUUCGUUAAAGUUAAUUUGGCAAGAUUGAUUGAAAAAAACAAAGAUUAAGUUGGCAGGCCUAGACUUUUAUUGUCAUUCAAGCAUUGCUCGUGCACACUUUUCCCUUGUUUUGAAUGUAGACAAGGACUUCCUUGGAUAGACACUACCCGUUUACAAGUCUAUAUUCGCAUCACCAUAGGCCACCACCUUUUGUUUAUUUGUUAUAUUUUAUUAGAAGCUCCAACGUUGAGUUCGACUUGCAUAAAAGAAACUAGUUUUUUUCUCCUCCUAAUUUCCAAUGUCUAAAAUCCCAAUCAUUAGGUUCAUAAAAUUUAUUUAGUCCUCGACAUCAUGCUUUAAGUUCAGUUUUCACCAAAUAAGGCUUUCAUCGUUUCCUCAAUAAUGUUUAUUGGGAUCGUUUUGUGCAGUCCAAUUUAUAACCUUCCCAAGCCAUCAAGUAAUGAACAAUUUAAAUCAUCUAAAUGCUACAAAUUUGUCAACACUUUCUUCAAUUUAAGAGCCGAAGGGAGUGUGAAGCAAUAACGAAGAAUUGCAGAGAACAAAAGGAUCAUUGAUAAGAUUGAAUUUAAAGUGAUCCAGAAGAUAUUAUUGUGAAUAUUCAUAUCAAAGAGUAGCUCUCACGUGGUUGAGGAAAACACACAAGUCAAAAGGAAGCAAAGAGUAGCUCUCACGGAAACUUAGUCCCACUAAACCCAGCCUUUACCUCACACUUUUCACUUCUACUUACCGACAAUUAUGUCUUCCACACCCAAGUUGUAAGUAAGCGGAAACACACAAGUCAAAAGGAAGCAAGAUGCAUGGAAUCAAGCACAACAGCAAUUACAAAAAAAAUCCCAACCUUCAUUAAAUUUAGACCAAAGAUGAAGAAGUAGAUGAAUGAACAUUUCCUUCAUUUUGGUUAUGCGAAAUAGAUAGUAAAAUUAAUUUAAAUGAAAUGUAUUGUUAAUUAAUUUAAUUUUUUUUUCUUAAGGGCUACAUCUCUUGGACGUGAGCUGGCCCAAUGAAACUAUUUGUAGAGAUGUAUGUGCGGAGUGAAGACCGUCAAAAGAAGGUGCAACAAUUCGUUAACAACCACGCUCAACACUUUGUGGUAUGUUUGGUAAACCAUUUUAUUUCGUAAGUUAUUAUUUUCUUGAAUUGAAUAUGAUGAUUUCUUUUUUUUAAUUUUCAGGAGGUCUAUAAUAGUUGGUUGAGAGAGAGAUAUAAGGAGGAUCCUUCGACCCAUCUGGAUUUCGAUCUAGAUUUAUGGAUGGAGGUAGGAUCGUCUAAUGGACUCGAUAAAAAUCAGAUGUACCGGCUCUCCAACUCUACGGUCAAGAACUUGUGGGCGGCCCGUAAUGUCUCAACCGUUUGGGAGCUUUCAUUCAGUAUCGAGCACCCAAUCUAAGGAGUUUGCGGCCUUGUAGCAAAAAUACGAGCGACUCUCGGCGGAUUGUGAACAACUACAUCAAAUGAUCAUGAACAUUAAAUCACAGAUAGUUGAUCCAUGUGCGCUCCUUUUUUAGCUGUUUAGUCCAAGGAACAACUAGCCUCCUCCUCCUCCUCUAGUUCUGUCAUUGUUCUAGUUUAAUUUUUUUUUGGAAACACUAAAUUUGUAAUGAAUAUUUGGAAGAAUAUUAUUUCACUUUAUUUUAUAUUUAUGAUGUUUAAUACAAUUUUAUUUGCAUAAUUGGUUUUUUUUUAUUAAUUUAUAUAAUUUUAUAUUAUUUAUUCUAAAUAAUUUUUAAAAAAAACAAUUUUUAAAACACCACCAAUGGAUUUCCAGAUGGACUUUUUCUGUCGGUAUUUUACAGAGAGUUGAAAACUAUUUACUGAAAAUAUCACAAUCACCGACACUCUAUAGACGGAAACAGUCCUUCGGUAUUUUACCAAGGGUUGAAAAAUAUUUACUGGAAAUGUCACAAUCACUGACACCUAUACUUUCAAUCAGUAUUUUACUGAGAGUUGAAAAAUAUUUACUGUAUAUGCCAUGAUCAUUGACGAAAUAUUUCCAGCAAGAAUUUUUUUUGGCACUCAUUUUAUCUGUAAAAUCAUUAGUAUUUUAUUUUAUUUUUAUUUUUUACCGAUAGAAUGUAGAAUUAUUGACAAACGCUAUGUUGAUGGACUAUUUCCUUCGAAGAUUUAGUAGGCAAAAAAUUUAACAAUAAAGUGGCAAUCUUACACCGCCAAUUUAAAUUAAUUAGCAAAACUAUUAAAUAUUAUAGGGGACUACCAUGCAUUUAGCUCCAGAAUUAUAGGCAGUGUGCUUUUUUUAGAAACACGCUUGUGUGCCCUCCGCAAUACACUUAAUCCACAAACGUCAAACAUAUGGUCAUAAUUUCAUUAAAUUUCGAAGUGUGAGCAAGUUCGGCCACCAAAUUUGUUAUCAACUCAUCAUGCUAAAUGAUAUAUCAAAGCAGAAGAAAGAAAGAAAAGAAUGUUGAGGGCAUAAUAUCAUAGAGAAAAACAAGGGGAAAAUGAAGCACCUACAUGCUAACAAUUAAAAGAAGAGAAUAAUUCGAAACUAUAUAAAUCCCUUUUGAUUUAUCUUUUUCACUCAUAUUUGUCCCAUCACCCUUCGGAAUCAUAUGCUUAAUCAUUCUCCUGAUUUCAAUAAUAAAUUAAUAUUAUUCUCGGUGUGUGUUUAUAAACGACUUGUACUGUGAUUGCAAGAGUUCAACAUCCAAGGAAAUUUUUAAAAUAUAUUCUUAUCACCGACAAUGUCUGUAAAACAUCCUUUUUUUCUUUUAAUUUUGGUUAAAAAGUAAGAUAUAAUCUUUGAUGUUUCACUCACCGAUCCUAUAGUCAACUUACCGUCACCUUUGAUUUGUCUCGUUACUAGCCACCAUGACAAGCGAUCGAUGCCAACUCAAAUAGCGAUCGCCUAUCAAUAUCAAGAACACGUCAUCUUUACUAUAUAUUUGUUUUGAUCUAAGAAUUCUUCACUGAGAUAUGUGUGCAAGAACUACCGAACCUUCCCCCUCUAAUUGCGGUGGAGUAUUAUCGAAGAAAAGUCAAUUCUUAAAUGGUGUUUGAAGUCUAAUAAUAAUAAUUUUUUAAAGUGUUUUUUAUUUUAAAAUAUAUUGAAAUAAUAUUUUUAAUUUUUAAAAAAUUAUUUUUGAUAUUAUCAUAUUAAAAUGAUCUAAAAAUAUAUAAAUUUUUUUUGUAAAAAAAACAUUUUCAAAACACAAUGCCAAACAGACCCUGCUAACAUUACUGAAUUAAGAGCAAACCACCACUCUCUGGUGAGAUUUUCAACUAAGUUCCGGGAUUGGUAUGAGAUUAAAAAAAUAGUAAUUAAUUGUUAUAAACAUAAUGGUUUCAAAAGCAAUUUUCAAAGAUAUAAAAGUUGAUUUUUAAAGAUGUCUAAUUAUAUUUAUAAAUUAAGAUGUUAAAUAUCAGUACAAGUAGAGAAAAAUAAUUAAAUUAUUAAUAAUAGAUGAGAGAUAAUUAAAAAUUUAAAGUACUACGUAUUGUUUUGAGGGGGGAAAAACAAACAAAAAACAAUGAUGAUGCUUAGUAUCCUUUCAGUAAUUAACUCCUCUUCCACAGGGGAACAACAGUAAUUUCAGCCCCAAAUCAGGAUACUACAGUGAAUUUAUUACGUGGAAAAUUAUGCUAAAAAUCCAAGUUGGCAAGAUUUUAUGGAAGAGAAUCUCAAAUUGUAUAGAACAAUUAUUGAACGUUCACCUUGAAGGGGACAUGAGCCUUGGCUCUAGUAACUAAAAGUCUUCAUGGAACAGGGUGUCUUGGCUAGCUAGAAGUAAAACAUUUGACUAUACCUAUGUUGUGUGCAAUGUUUUGUUUUAUUUAUUUAUGUUCCAUGAUUAUUUUUUUCUGAUGAAACAAUUUAAAGACUAUAUUUGUCAAGAGGAUGAAGAGGGAGAAUGAUGAAUUAAGUAAAAUGAAAUGAUAUGAAGAAAAAUGAUGAAUGAAGUAAUUGUUUAACCAAUAAAAGAGAGCAAGAAAUAGAAAAAAGAAUCAAUUUAUUCAAUCGAAAGCAUUAAUUAUUACAAAGAAAUGAGAGGAUAUUGAAAAUUAUAAGUGAAAAAGAAUUGAGUCAUUAUUCCUUUUGCAGAAAGAAAAUACACCAAACCCCUUUCCUUUUUAUCUAUCAUUUCUUCAAUUCCAAGCACACCCACAUAAAAAAUAUAUUUAUUUUUGUAUUUUAAAAAUAAAUUUUUAAAAGUAAAAAUAAAUAUAUUAUUUUAAUAUAUUUUUAAAUAAAAAAUAUUUUAAAAAAUAACGAUAAAACUCUCCAACUAAAAACAUUUAAAAUGAGGGAGGUUGACGGACGAUGCUAAGCUCACGCUAUGGAGUAGAUGGAUAGAUGACGAUGAGAGGCGUUUCACCAGGUGAAACUGAAAGGGACGGUUUUAAAGGCAGGGGUUAACCAGACAGGGGCACGCCUAACGAUUCCAAAAUUGGGUUAGUGAGAGCAGUCAAAAACUAAUUUAUAAGUACAUAACAUGUCAAUUUUCAUGACAAUUCACACUAUUUUUAAAAUAUUUUAGAUUAUUUUAAUAUGUUAAUAUUAAAAAUACUUUUUAAAAAUAAAAAAAUUUAUUUCAAUAUAUUUAUAAAUUAAAAACAUUUUAAACACUUCCAAACGGCUCAAAUCCAACCACUAAUCCAAACGCGUAGCCUGCAAUGGGUCCCGUGUUUUAUGAGUUAAUCGCUUCCAGUGAAGAUUGAUUAAUCAUAGCUAGCUGUUACAUGCAUUAAUAUAUUACUUUUUACUUGAUCUCCUUGCUUUCUUGCUUUCAAACACCUCAAGCUUUCCGGUGUGGAUGCGCUUAUGAACAAGAAGAUAAAACAGAGCUCGCGAAGAAGCCUGGGUAUAUUAAACGCGAGUUUGAAAAAAAAAACCCAUAACUUUAAAUUCAAUAGUUGGAUUAGCCUUGAUUUUUGCAAGAAGGUGCUACAAGCCAAGUUUUAUACCGAGUCAACUCGUUGUAAUCAGAAGAAGUCCAAAAAAUCUUUAAACUAGACUUAGAACAGGUUGUUUUUGUAAUGUUAAUUAUUAUUUUUUACUUAACUUUGAAUUCUUUUGAUUAAAUUGGUUUUCUACUUUUAUAUAAAUAGAUAUUUAAAAAAUUAUCUAAGUUUUCUCUACCUAAUUUUCCAUAAUUUAGGACAGUAACAUUAAGGUUAAAGAACUCUAGUUUUUACGCGUAAAACUUUCUUUAUUCUUAGAUAUAAAAAGGUUCGGGUUUUUUUUUAUUUUGAUGCUACUUUUUAAAAAGCGAAUUUAUUAUAUUUCUACGAAGAUAAAGACCUUUUCUUCUUGUUCUUGAUACUUGGGGAAUCACCUUUAUAAUAAUAUUAGAGGGAGAAAUGUGAAUAUAUUCAAAUUGAGAAGACAUUUUAAGCUGACUACUCGUUUUCUUAAAGGUUAAUCUUACUAUUAAAAAAACAGAGACUUUUCCUUGCCGAACAUGAGCUACGUAUAAUCAAUGCGACAGUUUUCUAUAUAUUGGCUAGCCAAAGUAGUCACUGAUGCACAAAACAAGAGACAGAGAAAAGCCUUUUGUUUAAUUGCUUCUUGCUCUGUUCAAGAAGAAAAACAAUGUCUCCUCCUCCUUCUACCAGUUUCUUUUCGGUGGCGAUCGUCUUGCUCGGAAUGAUGCUGCCCCUGUCGAAAGCUCAAUUAAGUGCAACUUUUUAUGCUAAUACAUGCCCCAAUGUGUCGAGCAUCGUUAGCAACGUUGUUCAGCAGGCUUUUCAAUCUGAUUCUCGGAUUGGCGCCAGCCUUAUUCGCCUCCAUUUUCACGAUUGCUUCGUCGAUGUAAUCCGAAUACCAUCAUUUAGUUUCUUCGAAGUGGUUUUUAAUUAAAACUUGACAUUAUGUUGAUGAAUAAAUUUGAUUUUGUGGACAGGGAUGUGAUGCUUCAAUUCUACUAGACAACAGUUCAAGCAUACUCAGCGAAAAACUUGCCGCUCCCAAUGUUAAUUCCAUUCGGGGUUUCGGUGUUGUUGACAACAUCAAGACUGCCUUGGAGAGUUCUUGCCCUGGUGUUGUCUCCUGCGCUGACAUUCUUGCACUUGCUGCUGAAUCAUCUGUUUCUCAGGUAAUUACUUAGUCCAUAAACUGAACCUGUUCUCGGAACUCUUCAUUUUGCUUGGUUUGGCAAGUCAAUGUGAUCUGUGUAUGCUCAGAGGUUUUCAGAAGUGAAAUAUUCUAUGAAAGGUCGAGAAAACACGAAGCCAUGACAUACUCUGCUUUUAAUGAUUCUUGUAGUCAGGAGGUCCUUCAUGGAGUGUUCUGUUGGGAAGAAGGGAUAGUCUAACAGCAAAUCAGGCUGGAGCCAAUACAUCAAUCCCUUCUCCUUUUGAAGGCCUAAGCAACAUCACUGCAAAGUUCUCUGCAGUGGGUCUAAACACCAAUGACCUUGUCGCAUUAUCAGGUAAUUAUACCUCAAAAAUCUCAAAACUGCAUCCAGAAUUCUGGAAAUCCAACACUAAUAUAUAUUUUUAUUUUAUUUUUUAAUUUCCAGGAGCGCACACAUUCGGACGUGCACAAUGUCGAACAUUUAGCAAUAGGCUGUACAAUUUUAGCAACACAGGCAACCCUGACCCAACAUUAAACACAACAUACCUGACUACUCUGCAGCAAAUAUGUCCACAAAACGGCAGCGGAACUGCUUUGGCCAACCUUGAUCCUACAACCUCAGAUACCUUCGACAAUAAUUACUUCACCAACCUACAAAACAAUCAAGGUCUUCUCCAAUCAGACCAGGAGUUAUUUUCCACAUCUGGCGCUGCCACGAUCACUUUGGUCAAUAACUUCAGCAGCAACCAAACUGCCUUCUUCCAGAGUUUUGUGCAGUCAAUUAUUAAUAUGGGUAAUAUUAGCCCAUUAACUGGGAGUAGUGGAGAGAUCAGGUCAGACUGCAAAAAAGUGAACGGAAGUUAGGUUAUGCGAUCACUACAUCGAGGAGCUAAUUGUUUUGGAAAAAUGAAACAGUCAUUAUUAUAUGAGGCAGAUGUGCUUUUAAUAAAAGAAAGAUUAAGUGUUUGUUUUAAAUUAGGGUGGCAAGUUGCAGGAAAGUUAGGGAAAAACAAGAAAUUUAUCAUUGGAACUUCUUGAGUUGUCAAAUAUUUGUUGGGGUUAGCUUUAUGAUUGCUCUUUGAAUGGUCAAAUAUUUCGUUUAUGUAUCAUUAGUGUAUCCUAAAGUCAUAUAAGACAUAAAAAAAGAAAGAAAGAUGUAUUUGAUGGAUUGAGACAGAUAUUAAUUAAUUUGGUAUAUAAAUGUAAGUAGAAAUCAAAACAAAGAGCUAUAUCACCGCAAGUAAUUGUGUACUUGAAACUACCUCCGCGUGAUUUAUAUUGCCGCAAGAGAUCAUGAUAAAGAAGGGAAAUAAUAUUAUAAUUUGCGUUUUGGAUAAAUGAAAGUUGUUAUUCACAAAUUAAUAUUAAUAAUCACUAUUAAUAUUUAACAAAGAAAUACCAAAACAAAAGGGUUUUUGUACGGUGAUAAAAAACACAGCAAACAUGUAAAUGCUAACUUUUGUUUUUCUUUGUAUAAAGAUGACAAUUUCACUAUGUAGUUUAUAAAUGAGUGAAGAGGUGAAUGGAUAGCAUAUGCUCUAAUGCCUAGUAAUAGUAAUAUUGGGAGAAGGAUGUUGUUGAUAUAGUCUUGAAAAAAUACAAGGUUUGCUAAUAGAAUUUAUAAAUUUAAUAUUAAAGAAUUGCUCUCCGGAUUACCUCCAACAAGAGAUAUAUAACACCAAAUUGACUUGAUUAUGACAAUUUCAUUUUUUUUCUUUGUAUUGAUAUCCAUAAAGAAAUGGUGGAGACCAAAACUUAGAAGGGAAAGACUUUUUUUAUCCUUGUUGUAGUUUAUAAAGGAGUUAAGGAGUGAGCAGAUACCAUAUGCCCUAAUGCCUAAUAAUAGUAAUAUUGGGAGAAGGAUGUUGUUGAUAAUAGUCUUGAAAAAGUGUAGGGUUUGCUAAUAGAAUUUAUAGAUUUGAUAUUAAAGAAUUGCCCUAAGAAUUACCUCCAACGAGAGAUAUAUAACACUAGAUUGACUUGAUUCUGACUUCUAGCUUGCCAAACAUGUUAGUAUAUAGACUAAAAAAUAAGAAGGUUGAAGAGUUGCAAAGAUAAGUGCAAUUCCAACCCUUUUGAUUCUAAAAAAGGACAAUUUAUGAUGAAUAUGUGUGGAUAACCAAGCCAUUAAUUGGAUCAUAAUGAAGCAUAUGUAUCCAAUACCACGACUAAAUGGCAUGUUGGAUAAAUUAUUGAGUUCUAAGGUGUUUUUCAAGAUUGAUCUCAAAAGCAACUAUCAUCAUAUAUAAAUAAAAUCAGGAAAUGAAUGG
rnacentral:lncRNA from 1 species